rnacentral:lncRNA from 1 species
AGAAUAGUACAUUGGAGAAGGAGCGUGAGGAUAUGAAGGCAUGUAGCUAUAAUUACAAGGGAAGUUGUUGUGGCCACAGCAGAAAUGUGGGGGAAUAGGGUGCCCAUAAUUGCCUGCACAGGGCCACCGUUGGUCAUAAGAAAAGUGUGGUUUUGAUGGAUCAACCUUCAUUUGAGGAGGAAAAGCCUCAAUGCCAGGAUGAUAAUACUGAGGGAAUGGCAUUUGGUUUCUCUGGUAUGGGUAUGAGUCCAUACUUCUGAUUGGCAUAAUGUUUCGUGAAGCUACCAGGCAGAAGAGAGAUUUUUAUGGGGUAAGUGUCUGACCUUGGUAACUCUAUAGCGCAACCUCUGCAUUUCACAAUCAAGUGCAGGAUUAGUAUCAUGUAGUACAAGUACUAGAGGGAAAAGUAAGGAGAAUAAAUGUCAACAAAGAACCAGAAAAAUCACAUGAAUAAAGUUCAUCGUAACAAAGAAAUAGAGGACCAAGAAUGAAUGAAAGAACACAACUUUUUAGCAAAUUAUAUGAGAAAAACACCUGAACAGAAGUUGCAAAUAAGAGUAGUCAUUUAUCUAUCUAGAAAACCUAUAUAAAGCUUCUCAGUACUAUAACUACAUGGCAUAACACCAAGAGCACAAAACCUUUUUCUCUGACUCAAACCAUGCCGAACAGAAGCAAAUUAAGAAAAUUCUAAAUGCAAACAAAAUAGGGGAGCUCGAUCGAACUUCCAGACAUACAUUGCCUUCAAUUUUCUCCUUCAUGUUUUUUUUAGUAUUUGUUUCAUGUUUUUUUUAGUAUUGUAUAGUAUUUAAGUAAAUAGGUACAAACCUCAUCUUAUAAAUCAGUUAUAUGAAUUGAGUUAAUCUUAAAGUUCACUUCUUAAUAUGAUAUUAGAGUCAUCUAGAGUAUUUCGAGUUUAUCCUAUUUAUUGGACUUAUUAGGUCAUCCACUAUCAGACCGAACCACCCAUAAUAUAUAGCUCUACACACGGCCUGAGCAUGAAAACACCUAUAAUAUAUAGUCCCACGUACAAGUUAAUAGCCUCAACUAGAAAUUAUGACAUUUUAUAUAUAAAUUGGUAGGACAUUUCAAAGUAUAUAAGUAGGUAGUGGGUAGGACAUUUCAUAGUAUAUAAGUCGAUAGUGGGUGGGACAUUUUAUAGUUGAGUAAGACAUUUUAUAGUAUAUAAAUGGGUAGAAUAUUUCAUAGUGUAUAAGUCAAUAGGACAUUUCAUUGUAUAUAAGUCGAUAAUGGGUAUGACAUUUCAUAAUAUAUAAAUGAGUAAUUGAAUAAUACUGGAAAGUAUUUCUCUAUGUAAAAAACCAACAUUGCCUUGCUUGCUUCACACUCUUAUCAUACUAUGCUUUCCUAAUAUUCAAAAAAGUUUCUUCAUAACAACAGAGGAAAAUUGCCAUAUUUAUGCAAUUUUUUCAUUUUUCUAUAAUGUGACCCCUGUAUAUAAUUCUGAAAAAACAACCAAUAUUUUUAAAUCCAUUAUCAAUCUCUCCAAGACUCAUUUAGUAUUAGAAGUGUCUCAGUGUAUCACUUUCCAAUUCUGAAAUAAAGGCAAUAGUAGAAAUUACGUUGUUGUAUAAUUAUAGGAUUUGCUAGAAGUUAACAGAAAAAACAACUCUUGAUUGGAUCAUCAACUAAAAUUUACCGAAAAUGUUUCUUCACCCACAUGGAAAUAGUAAGAAGAUAACUUAUAGAAGAGGCGAGGAAUGACUUACACUAAAAAUGACUUUGGUGUUCUGAGUGCGUGUGUUGCGAUGCAGCGGAUUACUGUAGUUGAAUUGUUACCGUGAGAAUGCUAAUUGAAGGGAAUGUGCAAGAGAACGUGUUACUCUUAUAUAGGACACUUGUGUCGGAGAAUAGAAAUGUUUAGACUCAAAAAAAUCUUUGUUUUCCAGAUGUUUCGCGCGUUGUCUACUGCUAACUACACCUAUCUUUUCUUUUUUGACUUAUUCUGUAAUUCUAUCCUUUCUGGAUCAUAAAUUCUUUCAGAGAAGUGUGGCAAAAUUGUAAUGUUGGUCGCUCUGUCAAUCUAAAUGAAUAAUUAACUACACUCUUGUUAUUUACUUUUUCCAUGCACCUUAAAGGCAAGACUUUCUAGAGCUGCAAAAAUUAAAAAAUAAAAACAGAAUUUAAUUAACAUUAAGUUGAAUCAAACUUAUAUAAAACAAUUGAAUUGUUUUUUAAAAUUGAACCGAAUUAUUUUUAAGCCUAGUAAUUUGGAACUGAAAUAUUAUUAUUAUGAAACUAUUAAAACUUAUCCAAAUAUUUACUUAUUUUACUCCAAAGCAUUGUAUUUACAAAAUAAUAAUCCUCCUUGACUGAGGUUGAGCUACAUAUCCCAUUAACUAAAAUAUAAUUUCACAAUUCCUCAAUUCUUAUCUUUGUAUUAUUCAUGUUUUAUUGUAUUUAUAAAAAUGCUGAUAAAUAAAUAUAGAAGUAUAAAUGUUACAAUUGCAUAUAAAUUAUCUCUACAUGUUACAAUUGCAUAUAAAUUAUUUGGUUUUUCUGUCAUAUUCCUGAAUAUGGCCUAUGGAUUAUUGUAACAUGGCAUAACAAAAAUGGAGUUUAGUAAAUAAGUCAUGUAGGAAGUUACCCUUCUAAUUAAUUGAAUUUUCUUAAACUAUGUAAUUUGCUCUUCAUUCUUACAAUUAAAUCUUCAAAAUUCUAAAAUCAAUUCUUUAUUUUUUAAUCAUAAUAGUAAUAUAUCAUAUGCCUAGUCAUGAAACCACAAUAUUGGGAAGACUAUUUACUUAUUUUCUCAUUUUAUUAAUAUUAUUAAUAUUUUCAGAUAACAAAAUGCACAUACAUACCUACAAUCCAAUUUAUAGAUAACAUAUAUGUUAUUUAAUCACCAUUUUCUUUCAGGAUCACACUUUUCCUCAUUUUUUUUCUACCUUUUUAUGAUUUUCAACAAUUUUUUUUCUCUGUUUUUUUUUUCAAUCAAUAGGAAUAAAUUUUUCCUAUUUUCAACUUUUUGAAUUUUCAACAAUUAGAACCAACCAUUCCCUUUUCUAUAUGUAUUGCAUCUGUGUUCUCCUUCCUUAAACAUGCUAAAAGGUAGCAAAAUAUAUCAUUAAAGGUUAAGGUGCAAUAUUAACAAAAAAUUUAUUGACCCAAAGAGGAUAUAUAAAAAAAUGGAAUUCCAAUAAGAUAAAGAUUGACUCUUUGGCCUUGGGUUCCUAAUUAUCACAAACAAAUGCCUCAAUCAUCUUCAUGUUCUUUUAUGAUGUAACAAAAAUAAAAAUUAAGCAACCAGAACUAUCAAUUCAUCAAUAAAACUCUCAAAAUUGUUUAAGGUUCACACUCACUUGGUUUAAUUGGUCUCAUUUCUUUUUGUUUUGUCAUUAUCUGUCUUAAUCAAUCAUCUGGUUAAAUUUUCAUGUAUAAUAAUUUUAACUACAUUUAAUAGGGAUUCAAUCAUAUUUUCUUCUAAACUGUGUCUAAUUCAUCUCACUAUUUAAUAUUUAAACACAAAUUCCUUUUUCCAAAAUUCAAAAAUAAUAUUUUAGUUCUUUUUUAUUUGAAAAAAUAUACUAGAACACAAACAAAUUAAAACUGAACUUUAAUUCAAAACCUCAAACUAACAAACUAACAAAAAUAACAAAUUUAUUCAAAAUACAAAAUAAGCAAUUAAAACAAACUAAAAAAAUAAGCAAAUAAAAAAAAACAAAAUAACCGAAAAAUAAAUAAAAAACUAAACAGAAAAUAAAAUUCAAAUAACUGAAAAGAAAAGAGAAUUAGAAAGAUAAAACCAUAUUUUUCUCAAUCAUCUCUUCUUAAGAAGUCAUCCAACUUUUUUUUUUUAAAUCUUUAUCUAUAGUCUUGCUUCAUUUGCUGGAUCAAAAUACAUAACCUGCAAAAUGAAUAGGAGGCAUACAGGAUUUUUUUUUUUUUUUGAAAAAUAAAAUAAAAUAAAAAAUUUCAAUAACAAAAAGGAGCGAAAAAAAUCAUUCCGUGAAUCAUCGAAAUUUGAUUAGAGUUGUAAAAAAAAAGUUGUACACAACAAAAUGAUUAAUAGUUGAAAAACUAUGUAACUUCUUAAUCCAAAUGUGCAACGUGGAGAUUUAAGUAAAAAAAUUGAAUUAUUUAUUUGAACUAAAAAAAUAUUAUUAAUAUUAUUAAUAUUAUUAUUUGUUAUUUUUUAAAUAAAUUUUAAAUAAGUUAUAUACGAAUAAGUUGUUGAAGGUGUUUGUGAAUACCAAUCAGGACUGAGUGAGUAAGAAUCAAAGCCAAGACCCUUAAGUGACCAAAGAAACUUUAACCACUAUACCAAACAAGUUCUUUUGUUAUAUUAUGAUUUUUAUUAUACUUAUUAUCAUUAUUAUAAUUAAUAUUAUUAACCAUAUAAAUAUUAUUAAUAUUAUUAAUAUAAUUUAUAUUAUUAAUACUAUUAAUAUAAUUUAUAUUAUUAAUAUCAUUUAUAUUAUUAAUAUUAUCAAUAUCAUUUAUAUUAUUAAUAAUAUUAAAAUUAUUAAAACUAGUAUAUUAUUAAAAUUAUUAAUAUUAUUAUAUUAUUAAUAUUAUUAAAUAUUGUUAAUAAUAUAAAAAUUAUUAAUAUUGUUAAUAAUGUUAAUUUUUUAAUAUUGUUAAUAUUAUCAAUAUUGUUAUUAUUAAUAAUAUUAAUAUUAUUAAUAUUAUUAUUUUAUUAUUUUUUUAAUUAAAUUUUAAAUAAAUUAUAUAUGAAUUAUAUUCGUAUAUAAAAAAUUUAUUUAUUUAAAUUUUUAAUAAAUUACAUACGAAGAAUAUAUUCCAUAUAUAAUAUUUUUAGUUAAUUUUUAAUUAAAUUUAAAAUAAGUUAGAUGUGAAUUUAUUAGUAUGUAACAGUUUUUUCUUAAUUUAUAUUACAUACAUAUAUAAUUCGUAUAUAAAUCUUUUUAUUAUUUUUAAUUAAAUUUAAAAUAAAUUACAUACGAAUUUAAUCUGUCUGUAACAAUUUCUUUUAAUUAAAUUUUAAUACAUUACAUACAAAUAUAAUCUGUAUAUAACAUUUUUUCUUAUUUUUUAAUUAAAUUUAAAAUAAAUUAUAUAUGGAUUAUAUUCGUAUAUAAUAAUUUUUUUAAAAUUAAAUUUUUAAAUACCUUAUAUAGAUUAUAUUUAAUAAUUUUUGUUUUUUGAAUUAAAUUUUAAGUAUCUUACAUACGAAUUAGAAUCCAUAUAUAUGGAUUUUUAUCCGUAUGUCGAUAUGUAAUUCAAGAUUUUCUUGUAGUGAAUGUUACUAUUAGGAUUUUAAACAACAACUGUUUCUUGUGGAUUUGAUAUUUAUCCUUAGGGAUAAAGUAUUACUUCUAACUUAGUACACUUGUUUUGAAAAUAGUCACCACCUCCCGAGAAAUCAGGUAACACUGAUUUAGUGCAUAUAUAUGCUAUAUAUCCUAUUACUAAAUGUUAUGAAUAAGUCUUUUACAAUGGAGUCUCUCUUAAUACAUAGUAUUUACUUGAUCGUUGGAAAAUCUUUUGCAGGUUUAAUCCCGACCAAACGCUAAGGAACUAAGGAGAAGAAGUGUUAAAGUCCGAAAGAGUGAACACUAAAGUACAAGAAAGUGAUCGAUAUCUACAAUAAUUAUUAUAUAUAAUCUAAGACAUUAUCUUACUCACUUAAGAGCAUUAUUUGGUUGGUAAUUUAAUAAUUUUUAUUUGUAUAUUAAAUAAAAAUAAUUAUUAUUGAGUGUUUACACACACCAUAAGCAAAUAGAAGAUUCCUAUUAAAUAAAUGAUUUAUCUUUUUAUUUAUCUAAAAAUAAAGUCAAUGGUUGUGGCUGUAUCAACUUUUCAUCUUAUCCUAUUUAAUUCUUAAAUUGGAAUCAAACACACCCUUUUUCGGCCCAAUUUAGUACGUUUUGGUUGGACCACAGACUUUUGAGUAGAUCAAACAUAGAUUGUUUCUUCCUGCACCUCCAUACCUUCUUCUCUCACCUCCAUAAGUUUUCAAAUUUCGAAAAAUACUCCUUUAUAAUAUUUUGGAUUACGUAAUCCAGAAAUCAUUUUUCAAAUUUGUAAUUAGCUACCGGAUUACAUAAUCCGGAAGCCAUUUUUCAGAUGCAUGAUUAUUCUCCGGAUUACAUAAUCUAGAAGUCUUAUUUAACUUCCGGAUUAUGUAAUCCAGAAGUCUUUUUUCAAAUGAGUCUCCGAAUUACAUAAUCCGAAAACUACUCUAUGGGGGUAACACAAGAAGGACAAAAAUGUAUUUUCAUAUUAUGUAUGGAGGUGGCAGAAAAAGAUAUAGAGGUGCAGGAAGAAACAGUCUCAAACAUAACAAGACUUCAUAAUAUUUGUUUUUAUGGGUAGUUAUAAUUAUAAAAAAUAAACUUGUGUAAUUAUAUAAAAAUAAUAAUAAGUAAAAUAGUACAUAUAAAAUUAUUAUAAAAAAAAUUUAUCAGUGUUAAAUAUCAUUGUCUCAUUUUAUAGUAGAAAUUUGAUUUCAUUUACUACACAUAAGAUUAUCAGAAUUACUAGUUAGAAAAUUAAUAUUUUUAAGAAUAUGCUGGAAUUAAUUAUUUAUAUAACUUCUCAAUCUAUUAUAAUUUUAGUUGAAAAUGUUUUAUUAAUCAUUGGUUAAAAGGUCUCGAAUAAAUAAUAAGGUUGUAUAUUAAUGUUAUAUUAUUUUAUUGAUUUAUGACAUACUAAUUUGUUAUGCCCACGCAUAUUUAGAUUGAAGAAUGAAUUUGAGUGAGUGAAAAAUUAAAAAGGAAAAUGAUUUAAUUUAAGAGGAAAAAGAAUCUUUUUUUUAUAAAUGAUUUAAUUAAUGUGAUAAAUUUAAAAAAUUAUUAAAUAAUAUAUUUAUAAAAUGAUUAAAUUAUCUUUAUAACUAUAAAUUUAUAAAUUAAUGUUAAUUAAGUAUUAGAUUAUAAUUGUAUCAUUAUCUUAUAAUUUUAAUUUUAAUUUUCUUAUUUUUAUCAUUACUUAUUAUUUUAUGAUUUCAUAUUAUUAAUAUUUUUAUAAUUUGGUCUAUGGUUCCCCAACAAAGUUUCUAAACCUGGUUUUGCAAAUCCACAGCUACCAUGUGAUGUUCUCUCUAGUUAGAUAGAUAAACCUAAGGGUAAGAAUUAUUCACCUGAAUUGUUAAUUUCAAUUCAAGGUUAUAAAAUAAUAAUAAUAAUAUUUAAUUAAUUUAUAAAAUAAUAAGAAAAUUAGAAAUAAUAACACUUACAGAGCAUGAAAGAUAAACGACACACACGACAAAGACCCACAGACGCAGUGAUAUUAAAUGACCCACUGCUUAUAAAAAGGGUCCUAACUUGAUCCUAAUGCAUACCCUUGUUCAAAUCUUUAAUCUCUCUUUCUUUUAGCUAUCAUCAAAAUCACGUGUGAACUUCUUCAUGGCUGAUGGUGCUUUUGGAAUGAGAGGUACUGCAGUAAUGAUUUUUAACAUAGGCAAUAUCCAAAUAUGUAACAUGGCAAUAGAAACCAAUCCUGUUGAUGGUCUUGUUGCCUUCAUCUUCUUUGUACUUCUCGUUUUCUUCCAACUCAGAUAUCCAGAUAAUCCCACCCCAUAUCACCUUCAUCCAAACACCAUUUGGCUUUCCAUUCUUAGCUUUCUUCUUUAUUGCUUCUUCAUCUUCUCGGGUAACCUCUACUUUGGUAUCAGAGUUAAUCACUUUCAAACCCUCAAGCAUGUAUUCGGUUCACUCUCAUUGCUUUGCUUGCUGGUGCUGAUGCUACCCGACACUUGGGAAUGCUUCACUUUCCUUAUUUACAUUUCAUGGUUCAUCAUUCAUGUGCUCUCGCUUUCAAAAACUCACUUCAUGGAAACAAAAUAUGAGGAGGGUGGUGCGUCCACUGUUACCAAUCACUUCAAUGGAUUUUAGUUAACUACUUCAUCACUGGGCUUCUGUUUGGAUGAGGACGGAAGUGGAAAGAGAAAUAAAAGAGAAGAAUAGUGGAGUUAACUCGAAAACUAAGAUUGAUAGAGAGGAAUGUAAAAUAUUUAUGAGAUUAUAAAUUAUUUAAAUUAAAAUAAAGAUAAAUGUGGAAACGUCAAUAGUAACAUCAAUUUCUCUCUCUCUCUCUUGAAACAUCGUUUAACUCAUGAAUUAGAACUGAGCUUCAGAAAGAAACAAACACGUAUAGGUGCAGCAGCGUGCUACAGCAACGAAAGCUAAUCGUUUUUUGUCACCACUUGCUAUCUAUGGUGCCAACUGCAACUCAAAACCCGCCAGCAACAACCAACAAAAGCAAUGCGAAUCAAAGAUUGAAAAUGUGGUUAAAAUGAAAUAUUGAAACCCUAAAAACUGUUACGUUUAGUGUGGUUCUGUCUGCGAGGUUUUCGGUGUGCGAUCACUGGGGCCGCUGCACUGUCUUUGAAUGGAAGAAUAUUAUCAUUUAUUGGAAACACGUAUACAGAUUAAAAAGUUAAUAUUUAUAAUAUUAUUAUCACACGUGUGUCAUAUUAUUUAUAUUCUAAUAGAUAAAAAAAUUAGUUGAUAGUUAAAUUACUUAUGCGGAAAUGAAUAAAUACAUGCAAUAAUUAAUAAAUGUUGAUUAGACUAUGGAAAAACUAUACUCGCUCUUUACUCUUUGUUUAUUUUAGAUAAACAAUUCUCAUUGGUUUUAACUUCAAAGUUGAUAUCAUACUUAGAGUGAUUAAAAUCUGUAUGAUUAACUUUAACAUUUUACACCUCACAACUUCAAAUACAAUUCACUCAAGAUUAAUCCUUAAAAUCCACUCUUCUUAGAUAAUUCAUAAAAAACUAAUUUAAAAUUAUUAUUCAAAUUUAUAUAUAAAAGUAUAUUUUAGUUUGUAGAAACCCAAUUUCUUCCAGGCUGAAGAUUAUAUUACUAAGUUCAGUUUUCUUAGAAGUAAAAUGCUAAUCCUUAAUUGAUUACUUAAAAUGAAAAGUGAAAUAUUAUUGAAAAUUUAUCAUAUUAAAUAAUAUAUAUUAAUUCCUCUAAAGUUAAAUAUAUGAAAAAUAUUUAUGUAAAGUGAAUAAAGAGCAUAACAUGUCUACGAACUAAUUAGAAAUGAUUAUUAAGAUAUUUUUUUUUUAUAGUUGAACAUAUAUUUAUGUUUCUUUAUCAACAAUGAAUUAAUAAAAUUAAAAAGAGAGAACAUAUAUUUAUGUAUUUUAGUAUAACUUAAUUAAAAUUCAAAUUUGACCCUUUUUACUUAAGUAACAAAGAAUACCCCACACACUACAAGAAUAAUAAGAUUUAGCUGCAAUAGAAAGCGUGGAUCACAAUAUUUGCGUAGGUUAAGUCUACACAAAAUGAAGAAGAAAAAAAAAACAUAAAUAGCGUCGGUCAAACACACGAAAAAUUCACACACUACAAGAAAACAAGUAAUUAGUUUCCACAUAUUUGCAUGGGCCAAAUGUGGACGCAUUUUCGUCGACCAAACCCACGCAAAACGGAUGCAAACUUAAAAAAAAAUAAAAAAAAAUUUAUAAUAAUAAAAUUUUAAAUUUUUGAAGGUUUAGCCUGCGCUAUGUCUUUGAAGCUAAGUCCCCGCUAUGCCUUUGAAGCUAAGUCCCCGCUACUUAAACGUUUUGAAGGUUCAGCCCACGCUAUGAUUUUAAAAUUAAAAAUAUUAUAAUUAAUUUAUUUCAAAACUUCUAGUUGUUGAAAAGUGGUACUGAACUCGAAUAUAAGCCUGAGAGAGCCCACAAAACUGCUGAGCAUACUGAACAUUUCUUCCUCCACUCCUUCUUCUUCUUUGACCCUUCUUCGUGACGGUGAUCGUGCGACCGUGAACAUUCAUCCUCCACUCCUUCUUCUUCUUUGACCAUGACGGUGCUUCGACCGUGAACGUGCAAUCGUGAACGGUGAGUUUCACAUUUCUUCCUCCAUUCCUUCUUCUUUUUUGACGACCGUUAAUAAGUAACCCUAGGUUCUUGAUGUAGGUUUCCCAUAUACUUGCUUUUUCUUACAAUUAUGAUGCCGAUUUGUGUAACCCUAGGAUGAUUUUGUUUAACCCUGGAGUAAGUGAGUUUGUUUCGAAGGCAAUGGAUCAAACUUUUUAUACUAUAGAAGGAGGGAUAAGGUGUCCUUGCAUAAAGUGUGUCUGUGAGAAAAUUCUUCCACCAUCACAUGUGAGGGCUCAUUUGCUACUAUAUGUUUUUAAACCUAACUACACAAUUUGGGUUCAACAUGGAGAAGAGAUGUCAAGUGAGGACAAUGUUGGUUAUGCAUCCAGUAGCCAUGGAAGAACGAAACCAGUUGAUAACAUUGGUUCAAUGACCAAUAUGGUGUAUGAUGCAUACAUGCAAGAAGCAGACAUAACAAGUCAUUAUGAUCACAUGGACAACGAUGAUGAAUAUGUAGAAGAGUCACCUAAUGCAGAAGCCCAAAGGUUUUAUGAUAUGUUAGGAGCUGCAAAUGAACCCAUUUAUGAUGGUGCCACCGAGUCAAAAUUAUCAGUAGCCAUCAGACUACUAGCAACUAGAACGAAUUGGCAUCACCUGAAAAAUAUUUAGACCAUUUCAUAAAAUUGUUAGUUUAUGUAGCUCCCAAAGACAAUUGCAUACUAAAGAACUACUACGAAACUAAAAAAAUUGUGUCAAGUCUUGGGUUGAAAGCCCAAAAAAUUGAUUGUUGUGAAGCUGGAUGCAUGUUAUAUUACAAGGAUGACAACCUUUUAACUGAAUGCAAAUUUUGUCAUCUUCCUCGAUAUUUUUCUCCUAAGGGUGACAAGGGAAGAUACAAACAAAUUCCAAGGAAGAGAAUGUUUUAUUUGCUAAUCAUCCCAAGAUUACAAAGACUGUAUGCAUCAGUAGAAUCUGCUAAGCAAAUGAGAUGUCAUUUUGAAAACAAAAAAGAAGAUGGCAUACUGCGACAUCCAUGUGAUAGGGAAGCUUGGAAGCACUUUGAUAAGAUAUAUCCGAAUUUUGCUAUUGCCCCACGACAUGUGAGACUUGGUUUAUGUUUCGAUGGGUUCACUCCUUAUGUCCAAGCUUCAACAUCCCCAUAUUCUUGUUGGCUUGUAUUUCUUACUCCUUAUAAUUUGCCCCCUGAAAUGUGUAUGACCAAACCAUACAUGUUUCUAACUUGUCUCAUACCUGGCCCAAGUAACCCAACUAAAAAAAUAGAUGUCUACUUGCAACCUCUUAUUGAUGAUCUUAACCAAUUGUGGAAUGAAGGUGUAAUGACAUAUGACAUCUCUACAAGAAAAAACUUUAUCAUGUGAGCUUGCUUGAUGUGGACAAUCAAAGAUUUUCCAGCUUAUGGCAUGUUGUCAGGAUGGGGUACUAAAGGGAAAUUAGCAUGUCCCCAUUGUAUGGAGGACACAAAAGCUUUUACAUUACCACAUGGUGGGCAAAGUAGUUGGUUUGACUGUCACCGUCGAUUCUUGCCUACCGAUCAUCCAUUUAGAAGAAGCAAGAGGAGAUUUACGAAAAACAAGAUUGAGUUGGAUGGGCCUCCUAAUUUCCUAAAUGGAGAGCAAUUGUGGGAAUUUAUUCGAGACUUUCCAAAGGUGACUGAUGGUCCAUUUGAUACCUUAUUAGGGUAUGGACAAUAUCAUAAUUGGACAAAAAGAUCAAUCUUUUGGGAUCUGCCAUAUUGGAAACACAAUUUGCUAAGACACAAUCUUGAUGUCAUGCACAUUAAAAAAAACUUUUUUGAUAAUGUCUUCAAUACUGUGAUGGAUGUCAAGGAUAAAAUAAAGGACAAUCACAAGGCAAGAAUGGAUGUUGCUGAAUUUUGUGGACGGGGUGACUUAGAAUUGGUUCAGUUACGAAAUGGGAAGUUAGGAAAGCCAAAGGCAAACUACACUUUCACAAAAAAAGAUGCAAAAUCAAUUUAUAAAUGGAUUACAGAAUUAAAAAUGCCUGAUGGAUAUGCCUCUAACAUUGCCAGGUGUGCAAACAUUGAUAAAAGGAGUAUGCAUAGUAUGCAAAGUCAUGAUUGUCAUGUCUUCAUGGAGUGUUUAAUACCAAUUGCAUUUCGUUCAUUACCAUAAUUUGUUUGGAAUGCGAUAGCUGAAAUAAGUCAAUUUUUCAGAGAUUUAUGUUGUAACUUUUUGAGGAUGGAUGAUUUAAUUCGAAUGAAAGAGAAUAUUUCUAUUAUUAUAUGUAAAUUGGAAAGAAUCUUCUCACCGGGUUUCUUUGAUUCAAUGGAACACCUGGUUAUUCAUCUUCCUACUAAGACAAUACUUGGUGGUCCUGUCCAAUACAGAUGGAUGUAUCCAUUUGAAAGGUAAUCACCCAAUCCUCAGUUUUAUUGUUCAUAAUUAUUGUUCAAUACUUAAAACUUUAAGGUGAUCUUAACAUAGCAUUUUCACUCAUUUCCAUUUAAGCAUUUAUUAUAUUCAUUAACUUUUAUUUAAAUUUGUUGUUCUUUUUACAGAUUCGAGUGACUUGGGCCUCUCAUGAUGAUUGGCAAAUUAGAAAAGUGUACGAGUCAAAGGUGAGAAAACGCCUCUCUGAUAUGCUUGGUAAAGCUAGGAUGAAAGCAACUAGACCUAACUGGAUUAGUGAACAAGCAUGGAUAGGUCUCUUGGACUAUUGGGAUUCGAAAAAGUUCAAAGAACAAUCAAUCCAAAAUAAAUUGAAUAGGUCAUCGACUCGAGGUGGGGCAUUGCACUCUACUGGUUGUAAAUCACACCUCGACAUUGCAUUGGGCCUAGUAAGUAUCUAUAUUUUGUUGCAUAAGCUUAAAUUUAGUAGAUAAUAUCUAAUGUUGAUAACUUUUCCAUUUAUUUCAGGAACGAAAAUUUGGUCGGCCAGUUGAACCCGAUGAAUUAUUCAUGGCCACACACUAAGAAAGAUGGACUUUGGGUACAUAGUCGUGCCAAACAGACGUACAUAAGUUAUUUCUCUACUUUUGUAUACAUGAUUUAUAUUUCUAACUUAUUAUUGUCCCACUUACACUUUUCACAAUGAACCAGGAAACCUACCAUGAGCGAUUGAAAGACCUCCAAUCAGACAACUCUGAAGGAUCAACUUCCAACAGCCAACCGAUCAAUCCAACAACAAAACUUCAAUGCUGGAAGGAUGUUGUUGGAGGCAAGAGUAAAGGUCGAUGUUAUGACACUGCAGACUUGGCUUCCAACAUUUGCCAUGAAGUGUCUUCCCUAACCCAACCUUCAAUACUUGCUCCUUCCAGUGAUUACUUUUCUCAUAAUGAACAACUUCAUCAACAAGUGAUGCAAGCAAAUGAAAGAACCGAUCAAGCAACUCAAAUAGCUGCUCAAGCAAAUCAAAAGUGUACAAUGUUGGAGGAUAAAAUCAACUUCAUGGAGCAAAAAUUAACCAUGAUGAUGGAGCGACAACAAGGUGACACCUCAACAAGCACAAGUCAGGUUCACCCUCACUAUGCUCGAAACUUUGAUGAUCAACCCCUGCCUUGAGUUCAUCAUUUUGUAAGUUUUCUUAAAACAAUAUUUAUGUAUGGUAGUAUAACUUGCUUUUCCUUGUAUUAACUAAAUUAUAUUUCAUUACCACCCUAAAGUUGCUUUUGGAGAAAUUACCUUCAUUGAUGUCACAUACUGUUGUUUAUGAAGUUUGAUAAUGUACAAAAUAAUCAGAAAGUAGAAGUUUCUUUUCCUUUGGUGGGUGAUUAGAUAGUAGCAUAUACUGAUUUGUUGUAAGCAAGGUAGGCUUUAAUAGCUCAACUUAUAAUUAUGAUUAUGAUUAUGCAGGGGGAGUUAGAUAGCACGAAGUAGUUGCUAGGAUUAUGAUGGUUUUCUGCUGCAGUUUUGGUACUGGUUUUGCUGGUUUUUAUGUUGUGCAAAUGCUGGUUUGUCACUGCAGUUUUGGUACUUCUUUUUGCUGGUUUCAUGCUGUAUAAAUGUUGGUUUUCUGCUGCAGUUUUGGUGCAGUUUUGGUGUUGGUUUUAUGAUGUACAAAUGUUGGUUUUCUGCUACAGUUUUGGUACUGUUUUUAGUUGGUUUUAUGCUAUAUAAAUGCUGGUUUAUGUUGUAGUUUUGGUGCUGGUUUGAUACUGUUUUGUUGCAGUUAAAGUGUUUUUGAUGUUCUUUUUGGAGCCUAGGCACUGUUGUUUCCAGGUUUAGUAGCAGGGUGUUAAGCAUAGUUUGUUUGAGUGUGUGUCCUUGUUCUUUGGGAAUGUUUGUAGUCAUCUGUUUUGUGGAUGAUCUCUUUAGUUUUAGGCUCUUUCUUAUUAUGUUAAAACAAGAACCAAAGGAACCUUAUAUAACUCAACUUUUGUUUGUCAACAAGUUACUAUUUUUUAAAGCGUGUUUUCUGUUUUUCUUGGUAUUUUGAAGAGUGUGAAGGUAAGCUUGUCUUGGUAUCUAUCAGCUCAACCUUAGUUAAUUAAAGUAACUUUAGUUCAAUUUCAAUCAAAAUAUCUUCAAUCACAAACCACAGAUAUCACGUUUCUACCUUUGUAUUUUUGUACAAAAUUCUAAGUUUAUUAUCGUGGGCCUUGUAUUAGAAAAUAAUUUUUCUUGUUCUUUUCCUUGUUCCUAUUAAAAAGAUUAUUUUUCUUACUCAUUUUAAAAACAAUAUUCAAUUUUCAAGACAAGUAAAAAGUAUAAAGAAAAAGUUAUAAAUAAAAAUUUUUUAGUAAGAAAAACAUUUCUUCAUGUUAGAUUGCUCCCUAUAAUAAUUUUAUCUUGAAUAAUUAUAUUGAAAAAAAUGAAAUAGGUAAAAAAUAAGAUAAAUACAAUAAGAAAAAGAGAAAUAGAAUAAUUUAAAAUUGAUUUCACAUUAGUUAAUGUAAUUUUAAAAUUGAUUUAUUUUAAUAAAAAAAAUAGUUCUGUUUUUUAAAUUGAUUUAUUUCAAUAAAAAUAUAUUUCAAACUGGAAACUAGAAACUGUAGUUACGUGAAAUUCUUUGUGUGUCAAACUUGUAGGCUAAGCCUGCACUUUUUCAAAGAAAUAAUAUAAAAAAUAUUUUGAAGGCUAAGUCCACGCUAAUUUGUGGCCAACAUGAAGGCUUAGCCUACGCUUAUUGUGUGCCCCCUCUACUUGGACAUUUUGAAGGUUUGACCCACGCUAAUAUAAUUUUGUGUGGGCUUAGCGUGGGUCAAACUCACAAUUUUUUAUAACUACUUGGACAUUUUGAAGGCUUGACCCACGCGAAUAUAAUUUUGUGUGAGCUUAGCGUCGGUCAAACUCACAAUUUUUUAUAAAUUUCUAAACUCCUUGUAGGCUAAGUCCACGCUUGACCUACGGAAAAAACACCCGCCGUGUAUAUUAGCUUCAAAAUUCUUAUUAACGCUAUGCCAAUAAUGAUCAUUUUACGUAGGUUUUUCAUACUUAGCCUCCGAUUUUGCCCCACGAUAAUAAACUUUUUUUUUUUAGUGACAUGUGUAUAUAUAACAAACUUUUUUCCCCAAAUGACAAUGAGAUACUUAUGAAAAUUAAUUUUAUGGAUAACACCAUUUCAUAUUUAAUUUUCUGGAUGACACUAUUUUAAAUUUAAGUUUUUGGAUAGCACCUUUUUUUCACGCAGAGAAUUCAGUUUCCAAGAACCUUUAUUUUUUAUUUCUCAAAAAAUAUGUUUUCUUUUUGGGGACCUGAAUUCUGGGGAUUUUUUUUUAAAAAAAAAAUCAAAAUAAGUAAUGGAAAAAAUUAAAUAAAAUUAUUAGGAUAUUUUAUAAAAAAAAUAUUAAUUGAAUGGUUUAAUUUUUUUAAGAAAAAAGUUAAGUUAUUCAUUAUAUUUAUACAUGUAAUAAAAAAAAUUAAGUGAAUAGUGUAAUUAUUAGGUUUAAAAAAAUAAGUAUAUAAAUUACAAUUUUAAAAUAAAAUACAAAAUAUAAAAUAUAAAAUAUAAUUAAAAUGGAAAAUAUGGUGUAAAUAAAGAAUGAGUUAUAUAUAAAUAUAUAUUAUAAAGUAUAAUAAAAAAUAUUUUAUAAUAAUAUUUAAUUAUAAAUAUAUAUAAAAAAGCAUUAAAAAAAAUAUGCGGUUAGUUAAAGUAUUAUUUUGUAUAUUAAUUAGAGGUAGAUGAAAAAUAAUACAUAAAUUUAUAAUUUCGUGAAAAUAAAUUUGGAGAUUUUUUUUUGAAAAUUGUACUUGUAUAGAUAAAGUGAGCCUAGAUAGUACCUGAAACUGGUUGUACAAUUAUUGAUGUGUCACCCCCUUACUCCUCACUUCAAGUCUCCUUCUUUAGUUGCUGGUGCUCGGUCGGGGUUGACAUAAAAAAGGUACUCUGACGAUCAAGUAAGUACUCUGUGGUAAGAGUGUAUAGUGAAAAUUGGUAAAAGCGUAUCUUACAUCUCUGCAGAGGGUUUAGUGUUUAGUCAUGGACCAAAUCUAUCAAAUAUCAGUGUUAACUGAUUUCUAGCGUGAUCCCUAAUAGUAAAAUAUAUUGUUAUAUAGGUACAUUUGGAGAAUAUCUGUAAUAAAUCAAUAUGUUUCACUAAAUCAAUGUUAGCUUAUUUCUCAGGAUGUCACCUGAAUUCGGUGGGACAUGAUUAUGAUUCGUUGGGAUUUUUCAUAUGUGUCAUUGUUGUCAUUUAUUGAGCGUCUUUAAUGUAUAUUUAAUUCGGUCGGUCGAUCACCGAGACCGAGUGAUUGACUCGUCGGGUACACUUGCCCCAGGCUCAAGAAACGUUAGUUUCCGAAAAGUCUAUAUGUGACUAUUGGGUGCCCCGAGGUGAGAUGUGACUUAGACUCAUUCAAUGCGCUAUCAAAUACAUGACGUACAUCUUUUCAAUGCACCACUUCGUGUGUACUGUUUGAUCGAAGAUAUCUAACGGUUAUGAAAUCAUGUCGUUUCGUAUGCCAAGUGUUAUGCGCCCUUGGAUGAGAAGCAAUUUCACUCUCUUUCUUCAUUGCUCUCUUUAAAUAGAAACACUUGUUGAACUUGCAACAUUUACUACCACUUUUCUUUGCUAUUGAGUUUAUCAAGCGUGAUCUGAGUGUUGAGUCUCGUUCAAUCUUCUCUCUUUCACUUUUUUAAUCCAAAAGGUUAGUAAUGGCUUUCCCCGCUGGAUCUUCUAGAAUUAUUUUGAGUUCUGAGUCUUUUCAGCAUACUCACUCCGCAUCUGGUGGUGUGAGGGAUUUUAGUGGUUGGGAUCAAGCAGUUGACCUUGCCAGCCGACCUUUUGAUGAUCCUAACUGAGUGGGUUGAUCCUCGCGUCUUGGACAUCCCUACUUGUUUUAAGGGUCCCACCGCUUUAGACGAUGUUUUGUUUGAAGUUUCGAUUUUGAGACCUGAUGCCCCCUCAGACGCGGUUGUAGACGAUAGUUGUAACCACACCGUCUGAGUCUGUCACGGUCGGAAAAAUGCUCCCCAUGACUUUUUCUUUGUAUAUAUUUGUUUUUUCAGCGAUUUACAUGUCACCCUUCCUUUUAAUGAGUUUACAGUGGGGGUCCUUCAGAUCCUCAAAGUUGCUCCUACUCAGUUGCACUCAAAUUUAUGGGCAACUCUUCAAAAUUUUAGGGCGGUUUGCGAUGUUUUUAGAUUGAAGCCGACUCCUCAAUCCUUCUUUUUUUACUACAAUUCUCGACUGACCACCCCUGUGAGUUGGUUAUCUUUAACAAGUCAUCCGGACAACAUUCGUUUCGCACCCUACACCUCGUCCUCUAAACAUUUUAAGGAGAGAUAUUUCAAAAAAAAAAACUUUAAGGAGAGAUAUUUCAAAAAAAAAACUUUAUGAUCUCGUCCUAUAACCAUUUCUUUAUGAUCUGGAAGGGAGACUGAAGUUUCCUUUCCAUUGGACCCAAAAUCCCACGCAGUACUAUCCUGGCCGAGGUCCUCCAUGAAUCCCCAUAAUAAAGAAAUUUUCUAUGUUCUCGACCAACUUCCGAAUAAGCUUGUGGCUUUGUAUAAGUCGUCCAAAAGAUGGACCGACCUGACCGAUAUGAGACAUUUCAAUGUAUAUAAUAUUCGUUCAAUAUGUUGACUAGAUGUUUAAUCUGUUUGUGUUUUGCAGAAAUCAUGUCUUGUAUUGACCUCGAAUCUGUGAAUAUUCUAAAACAAUUGAAGCGCCAAGCGGCCAAGCGUCAAAAAGGGUCCUUGGAGGUGCUAGGGGCGAGAACAUCGACCCCUAUUCUUGACGUGGUGCCACCAAUGGCUACCUUGCAACCUUCCAACCCAAAAAAGAUAGGACGUCCAGCUAAGACGUCCCAUCCUCGAACCGAAAUUGGGUCAUCUUCCUAUUCACUGUCGAUGUUGGUUGAACGUCUACAACUGGCGCAGGGCGUUCAAGUGGCAAUGACGACCCAAGAGGAAAAUAUCCCAAUUACCAUUUCAACAAGUGAUUUGGUGGCAGGAUUAACCAAAAUGUUGAGUCGCUCCCUUGUGGUGAGCCGAACGCUUAGCAAUGAGUUGGAGAGGAACUCAUCCACUGUGGUGGCUAAGCUGAAGGUAGAAUUAGACGAGUCCUCCAACUUGUUGAAGUCAACCAUGGAGGCCAUGGAAUUGCUGGACGAGAAGUAUCGUUAAGUCAAUGUUGAUGUUGAUGAGGCCAAAAAUAAGGUUUCAAAGAAACAGGAACAUCACUAUUUAAAAUGAUUCUAUGGUCAUACCUUUUAGGUUGUGGAAGUUGGGUAGGUUCUUGAAAAACAUCUUCAAAUUGAUUUAAUAAUUCAUCCAGUUGUUGUUGUGCACUCUAACACAUAAACUAAGAAUGUGAUGCAAUCUAAAAAGUAGUUGCACCUUGUAUGGCUAAUAAAAGAGGUUGACCCUCUACAAGCUUAACUUUAUUGGAAAUUUGAACAUUAUCAUUUUGCUUUUUCUCUCCUAUUAAAGUCACCUUAUCUCCCUUAUGAUUGAAGGUCAUAGUUAGUUGUGCACAAUUCCAUACAAUCUCCCCUAAUGUUUGAAACCAUUGUAUUCCUAAAAUAACUCCAAAAUUAGUACUAGGUAAUACCAAAAAAUCAGCUUGGAAAGUGUGAUUAUGAAACUGCCAUUCAACCCCAAUACACUGUUUAGUAAUUCUGAGUUGUCUAUCCAAAGCCACAAUUAUUGAAAAAUCAUUGAUGAAAACUGUCUUAAACCCAAUGAUUUCAUCCAUUUCUCACUAAUAAAGUUGUGGUGCUACUUGUGUCCAUUAAAAAUGGAACCCUUUUUUUUUAAUCAUACCAGUUAGCUGUAAAGUACUCCCACCAGCCACUCCUUGAAGGGCAUGUAAAGAAACAUGUAUUGGCGACUCAGGAAACAAUUACAGACUGAGUGUAAUUAAAUUCAUCUCCUCAUCUUUGUCUGAAUCAUCCUUCUCCUCCAUUAGAUCUUGGGAAACAAAAAUAACAUUUAAUUUGCCCCAAACCUUACAUUUAUUUAUAUGGUUCUUAUCCCAUUUUUCACCACAGAAUUUGUACAACCCCUUAGAAAUACGUUCACUAACCUCUUUUCUGGAAAUAGAACCUAGAGUAUUAGUCUUGUUGUCCAAUCCUAAGAUUGUCUUAAAGGAACUUUGUGUAGCAUGAGAUUGUAAGGUAGUAAUAUGUGCAUAUUUAUGGUAAAACUGAGACUGAUUCCUGGUCUUAAAAUUUUUGUGGUGCUCCUAUGAUCUUCCCAUUGAAAUCCCAUGAAUUUCAUUAGUCAAUUCCUGCAAUACAUCUUCCCAGAGACUGGCUAACUACACUGCUUCUUGAAAUGUAGAAGGUCUUUGUAAAUGGACUGAUUUCUCCAAUCUCACAGUUAAACCUGACAAGAAAAAACUCAAAGCAAUUUCUUCAAAAACUAUAACUCUGACCAACAAAUUAUCAAUUUUUUCCAAAUAAUCAAUUAAAGAAUUUCCCUGUUUUAAACGAACAAAUUCAACCACGGGAUCAUCAAAGGCACCAUCAUCAAAUCUUUGAGCUGCAUCCUUCAAGAUUUGUGUCCAAGAUUGAUGUUGGAAAUCAAAAGUCUUAAUGUAAUGACGCUGCCACGCAAAAGCCUUUCCAUCCAUUGACAACAACAAUAAUCUUGUUCUUUGUUAUAUUAGGGUGUCCUCCAAUUCGAAAAAGUGUUCCACUUUGGCCCUCCAAUCCCGGAAAUUGGAUCCAUCAAAUGAUGGAAAAUGCAACUGGGUUCUAUGAAGCACCGAAGAAGAAUUAUUGACAAGUUCUUGAUUUGUGCAAGAAGAAGACGAAAGUUGUUGUAAAACACCCCUAGUAGACAUAGAAGAUAUUAAUCCUUCAACAACCUGUUGUAAACUUUGUAAAUAUUUCUGGGUUGCUUCUUGAGAUUUUGCCACUAGUUUCUCCACAGAGUCCUCCCUUGAUUCUAAUUCUUUAGUGGUCACCAUCUCACCUAGCAAAUUGAUAUCACAGUUAAAGUAGAUUCCAAUAAUAAUCUCUCUUUCUGAUCACACAACUCACACUAUUCUCUCACUUUAGUGUUCACUCACACACACAAAGGUAUGCUCUCACAACACAAAUGUUGGUAGGAUAGAAGUAAAACUGUUAUAUUUUUAUUCUACACCCUUGAAGGACUUAUAAACCCAUAUUUUGUUACAAUACAACUGUUCUAUCUUGAGAACAUAACCAAAACUAACUACUAACUUUGUUUUAAAAGAGUUAUAUAACAACCUUAAAGACCUCAAAAGACAAGCUACAAAAAUAAAAAUAAACAGAAUUUAAUUAAUAUUAAGUUGAAUUAAACUUAUAUAAAAUAAUUGAAUUGUUUUUUAAAUUGAACCGAAUUAUUUUUAAGCGUAAUUUGAAACUGAAAUAUUAUUAUUAUUGUGAAACUAUUAAAACUUGUCCAAAUAUUUACUUAUUUUACUCCAAAGCAUUGUAUUUACAAAAUAAUAACCCUCCUUAACUGAGGUUGACCUACAUAUCCCAUUAACUAAAAUAUAAUUUCAAAAUUCCUCAAUUCUUAUCUUUGUACUAUUAUUUAUGUUUUAUUGUACUUAUAAAAUGCUGAUAAAUAAAUAUAGAAGUAUAUAUGUUACAAUUGCAUAUAAAUGAUCUCUUCAUCUUCAUGUUACAAUUUCACCUUUUAUAUGCUUAAUUCUUAAAUUGGAAUCAAAUUUUGAUUUUCUUUUUGUCCAAUUUAGUACGUUUUGGUUGAACACAGACUCUCAAGUCAAAUCAAACAUAUCACGACUUCACAGUAUUUGUUUUUAUGGGUAAUCUUAUCAUUAUAAAACUAAACUUGUAUAAUUAUGUAAAAAAUAAAGAGUAAAAUAGUACAUAUAAAAUUAUUAUAAAAAUUUAGUAGUGUUAAAUAUCUUUGUCUCAUUUUAUACUAGAAAUUUGAUUUCAUUUACUACACAUAAGAUUAUCAGAAUUACUAGUUAGAAAAUUAAUAAUUUAAAAAUAGUGAUAAUAAAUAUAAAUUAAUAAUAAUUAAAUAAAUUUAUUAAAUAAUAAUAUUUGUAUCAAAUAUGUUAUUAUAUUAUUUAUAGAAUAAAUCAAUAAAUAAAUAAAAAGUUGUAAUGUAAUAAAAAAAUAUAGUUAUUUACAAAAUUUUAAUUAAUUUAAAUAUACACACAAAUUUUUCAUAUUUUAUUAUUUAAAUACUUUUAAAAAUAAAAAUAAAUUUAUUAACUUAUAUUUUACAUCAUUUAAAAAUAAAAAAUAAAAUCCAAAUACACUCUUUCUUCGGACUUUCCUUUCUGGAUUGACACAUAAGAAUUCAACUAUCCCAAUGGGAUAACAAAAACAGUGACUGAUUUGUAUUUGUAUUAAAAGUAGUUAAAAGUUAUAAAUUAGUUGUAGGGUUAUCACUUAUAGAACCAUGACACUGUUUUAUAGCAAAUGUGAGAAUCUACUGUCUGUCGUUUUCAAGGGUCUUCAUAUGUCUAAAAUAUUAUAUUAGAGGAUGACACAAUAAACAGUAAUAAAAACUCACCUUACAAUCUAAUAAAUAAAUAUUUUAUUUUUAUUUUUUAUUUUUUAAUUUAAAACAUUAUUAUAAACGAUUAUCAAGUACAUGUGUUUUACUUUUUUGGAUGAAAGAAUCUUGAAAUUUUCUUUCUCCCAAACUUUCCUUUUCACGUGAAAGUUCAAUUUUAGUAAUUAAUUUAAGUUAAUUUAUUAUUAUUAAAUAAAAUGUAAUAAGUAUUAUUUUUUUCUUUUAAAAUAUAUAAUAAUUAAAUUUAUAACAAAAUAAAAAUAUUAAAAUAAUUAAAUUAAAAUAAAAUAAAUAUUUUGUUAAUAUAUGUUAAAUAAAUAAAAUAAAAAUAUUAAAUUAAUAAAUAAAAUAAAAAGUAACUAAACUUUAAUGAUUUAUUUAAUAUAAUUUUAUUUUAAAAUGUUAAUUUUUUUAUUUAUUAAGGUUUUAUAAUAUUUUUGUUUUAAUUUAAAAUUUAUUUUAACUUUAAUUAUAUUUUUUAAAAUUUAUUAAAUAUAUUAUUUAUUUUGUUAUAUAUAUGUUUAUAGUUAUUAUAUUAAAUAUAUAUUAUAUUUUUAUGCUAUUACUAUUUCAUUAAUAUUUAUAUUUAUAUUUAAUUAAAUAAUUAAAUAAUAUAAAUAAUUAUUAUUAUUAAAAUAAAAAUUAAUAAUAUAUAAAAUAAAUGAAAAUAUUAAUAAUAAAUUUAUAAAAUAAUAAUAUUAUGAUUAAAAUAAUUAUAAAUAAUAAAAAUAUUCCGUCAGACUCACUGUCUUUAAAUUAUGUGACAUGGUUUUUUCUUCAAAUUACAUGACUCCCUUUGUUCAAGACUCCUUUUCUUCAAAUUAUGUGAGAUGAUUCCCUUGUCCCAAUAAUCACUUUUUCUUCUCUGAUCCAAAGAAAAUAUAACUGACAGAAGACUGGAUCAAGUGAUCAAGUGCUGAUCGCUUUUUUGUUUUUUUUAUCAGCAAUCAAAGUGCUGAUCGUACGUACAUUAGGAACGGGAGUGUCGGGAGGUAAUGCACUGAUUUUUAACAUUGGCAAUAUCCAAAUAUGUAACAUGCCAAUAGAAACCAACCCUCUUGAUGCCCUUGUUGCCUUCAUCUUCUUUGUACUUCUCCCUUUCCUUCAACUCAGAUAUCCAGAAAACCCCUCCCCAUUUCACCUCCAUCCAAAGACUAUUUGGCUUUCCAUUCUUAGCUUUCUUCUUUAUUGCUUCUUCACCUUCUCGAGUAACCUCAACUUUGGUAUCAAAGUUAAUCACUUUCAAACCCUCAAGCGUGUGUUCGGUUCACUCUCAUUGCUUUGCUUGCUGGUGCUGUUGCUACCCCGACACUUGGGAAUGCUUCGCUUUCCUUAUUUACAUUUUAUGGUUCAUGAUCUGGUUCAUCAUUCAUGUGCUCCCCGCCAUCAAAACUCACUUCAUGGAAGCAAGGGCACAACGUCCAUAUAUGAGGAGGGUGGUGCCUCCACUCUUACCAAUCACUUCAAUGGACUUUAAUUAACUACUUCAUCAUCACUCGGCUUCUGUUUGGAUGAGGACGGAAGUGGCAAGGGAAAUAGAAGAGAAGAAAGAUAGUGAAGAGUUAACUUGCUUGAAUUUAGAGAUGAUAUGAUUCAUACCAGUUAACUGUAAUAAAAUUUAUGUAAUAUUAGUUUAGUUAUCAAAAUAUCUUUGAGAUUAUGAAAUAUUUUUCCAAGUGAAGUGUGAAGUGCUGUGGGAUCUAAGCUAGCCUCUUGUGAAUGUUUUUUAUUUUUGCUUUGCCUAUCCUUAGAUUUCCAAAGAAGGUUUGGAGGUAGAAUUCUUCUAGAGCUGUUACAGUAUUGUUUAAACGUACUGGGAUUUGUUCUUCGAGUUGUAAGCCUUGGUUCAUCUGUUAGAAGCUUUUAAAUGUGUGGCCUUGUUAUUAUCCAUAAGAGAGGUAGUCUUGGUUCUGUAAACGGGUAAACUGGUUGAGAUUAUCUCUUUUAAUUUUAUUUAUUCAUUUGCUAAUAAAAAAAUGAAUUAUUUAAAUUAAAAUAAAAAUAAAUCUUCAUAUAUAAUAAACCAAACGUUAAAAGUAGCAGCAAUUCCUCUCUCUCUUAACAUCUUUAAUAUGCACUCAUGAAUUAGAACUGAGCUUCAUAAAGAAAUAAAAGAUUUAGUACAGUAGCGUGCUACACAAAACUCCUUUUUGUCACCACUUGCUUCUAUGUAUGGGGCCAACUGCAACUCAAAACCAGUAGCCUCUGGCUCGGAACUAACUUUAAAACCUAAAAUAUAUUAAAUUUAUUCAUCAUCUAAAUACUUAAAUUAGGGUGAAUUUUUUUUUUUUAAAAAAAAACUCUUCAUUGAAGAAAAAAUAUAUUCUUCUAACCUUUAGUAAAUUUCAUCUAAAUAGUAGUAAGUGAUAGAACAUAAUUCAUCUUCAUCUUUUCAAAAUUAAUUUGAAUGGGAGAAUAUUAUUAUCACUAGCAAUAUUUUUAUUAUAAUUAUUUAUUGGAAACGGUUAUACAGAUUAAAAAGUUAAAUUUUAUACUAUUAUUAUCACACGUAUAUGAUAUUAAAAUUAGUUGAUAGUUAAAGUACUUAUGUGGAAAUGAAUAAAUACAUGUAAUAGUUAAUAAAUGUUAAUUAGAUUAUGGAAAAAACCUAUACUCGUUAUUUACUCUUUGUUUAUUUUAGAUAAAUAAUUCUCAUUGGUUUUAACUUCAAAGUUGAUACAUACUUAGAGUGAUUAAAAUGUGUCUGACUAAUUUCAUAUUUAAUUUUUUGGAUGAUAAUAUUUUAUAUUUAAUUCUCUGGAUAGUAAUUUUUUUUCACGAAAAGAAUUCAGUUUCCAGGAACCUUUAUUUUUUAUUUCCACAAAAAAUGUUUUCUUUCAGGGGAGCCGAAUUCUAGGGAUUUUUUUACAAUGAACAGGAGCGGAGAAAGGUGCUUCAGUGGGUCAUCGAAAUUCAAUUUUUUUAAAAUAUAAUUUCGAAUUCCCAUUUUCAACUUUGAUGUAUGUAUGAUUAUCUGAAAUUAAUUAUAUGGUAACUAAAUUGUGAGAUGAUUUUUAGAUUUUUUUUGUAAGUGAAUGGGAAAGAAGAUAAGAAAUAUAAAAUAAAAUAUUUUUAAACUUUUUUUUAAGUAAGAAAUGUUUUAAAUAUUUUAAUUACAAAUUGGGAGAAUAAAUUUUAAUGAGAGGAAAAAUUAUUAAAUUAUGUAAGGUUAAAUUAUUAAAUUUUGUUUUGUAGUAAAUUUAAAUAUUUAUAGAAUUGAAAAAGAAGGAAAUAUAAAAUUUGAAAAUUAAGUUAUUUAAUGAUCUAGAAAUUUACCUUAGAUUAGAAGUGGUAUAUUUUAAAUGAUACCUGAAUAUUUUAUUAUUAAAAUAAAAAAAAACAUAUAAAUAUAAAAUUCAUUUAGGUUUCAUUUCAAAAGAAUCACUAUCUCUUUAGAAAAUUCAUUUUUCCUUCUUCUUCAUUCUUUCUAAGAUUCUAACCUCUUUGCUCAUCAGUUUGACGAUCGGAGUCCGUCAUCAGACUCCUGGCGGCGAGAUCUACAAGACUGCCUGAUCAGAAUUUAUGAUAGAGUAAGUUCAAUUUUUACUCUUCUCUUUAAGUUAAAUUUUGAAACUUGUAGAUCUAUCUCGAUCCAAGUUUACGCAUGUGACACUUUUUGCUUUAAGAUUAGUCUUUGCUAGCUCAUAGUCCUAGUAGUAUAUUAGAUUUUUUAUCAGAACUCUUUGGUGCAUGUUAAGUGACCUUUAAGCUUUUGGUAGACUUGGAGCUAUUAGUGAGUAUCUCCUUAAGUUCAAUAGAACCCUAAACUAGAAGAUCUGAAUGUGGAGGUGACAUGAUCAUCCGUCUCAAAAAAAUUAAAUAUAAAAUUACAUAAAUAAUUAAAUAUGAAAUAAUAAAACGAGUCAUCCGAAAAUAAAGUAAUGUAUAACAAUCAGAUAAUGAAAAUAUUAUCUUAAAAAAACUGAAAUUUUUGACACUUAUAAAUUGAAAAGGAAAAAUAAAAAUGCGUGUGUUAAAAAAAUGUAUGAUAACGGAAUAAAAGAGAAGAAAAAACAAUACAUUACAUAGAGUUAUCUUCAUGCUAAAUGUUAAUGACUAGUUCUAAAUUCAUUGUGAGUAUCUUGAGUUAGGGAGACAUUCUCUUCCUCCUUAUUAAACUUUACUGUAUAUAUACCCAUAUAUGUAUAAAAAACAAUAACACAUAGAAUCAUAUUUCUGAUCAUCAGUUUCCAGUUUGACUGCGACAGCCAAGAUUCAAACUCAUAUCCUUCUAGUGUUCCUGGGUAGCAUUAACCACUAGUGUUCCUGGGUAGCAUUAACCACUAGACCAGAGAAAUUCUUUAGUCAUAUUAUCAUUUUUAUUAUACUUAUUAUUAAUAUAAUUUAUACAUAUUAAUAUAAUUAUUAUUAAUAAUAAUAAAAUAAAUUAUACUUAUUAAAUUAUUAUUAACAUUAUUAUUAAAUUAUUAUUAACAUUAUUAUUAAUAUUAUUAUUAACAUUAUAAUUAAUAUUAUAAUUAACAUUAUAAUUAAUAUUAUAAUUAAUAUUAUAAUUAAUAUUAUAAUUAACAUUAUUAUUAAUAUUAUAAUUAAUAUUAUUAUAAAUAUUAUUAAUAUUAUUAUACAUAUUAUACAUAUUAUUAAUAUUAUUAGUAUUAAUAUUAAUAUUUAAUAAAUUUAAUAUUAUUAUCAUCAAUUUAAUAAAUUUAAUUUAACUAAUUUAUAUCAUAAUUUCAAAAAUAAAAUAGUUAUGACAAUAUAUAAAUAAAAUAAAUUUAAAAUAAAUAAUAUUUAAAAUAAACAAAUAUUUUAUAUAACAUUUAAAUAAUUUAAAUAUAUAUUUUAUUUUACUCAAUUAAUUUUAAAUCAAACGCUUAUUUAAUUUAAUAAAUCUAAUUUAAUUAAUUUAUAUUCAAAAUUGAUAAAUUAAAUAAUUUAUUAUAACAUUAAAGAAAUAAUUCUAAAAUAAAUAUAAUAAAAAAUUCAAAAUUAAAAUAUUUAUUAUACAUUAAAAAUAUUUAAAUUUUAAAAUUCUAAACAUGCGUGGGCUAUAGCGGACGCAUAUGCGUGGGUUCUGUGGGCAACACAAAACGGACGCAUAUGUGUGGGCCGCGACCGACGCAAAACCGACGCCUAUACAAAAAAAAAAAUUUUAAAAAAAUAAAAUUAAAUCAAUAUAUGCGUCCGUUUUGCGUCCAAUGUAAAUCUUGCGUGGGCUUUUACUCAUUUUGGCCGACGAGAAUAGCGUCCGCAAAUGGCCCACGCAAAAAUUUGGAAGCUAAAUCAAGUUUUUCUUGUAGUGUAUAAAGCUUACCAGUUUUACAUCUUUUAUAAAGCUUAGACAAGGAUGAGGAGAAAAGUAACAAAUUUUACAUUUAUGGUUUUGUGAGAACUAAGAGUGUGUUGAUUGUGCCCAGAGCAGGGAAAAGGCUCUUUAGAUGUCUGGAAAUAACUCAAUUGUUGCGGAAUGAGAUCUUCUUUUGCAGAGGCAAUGGCCUAUGAAUUCUAACAUGGCAUAACAAAAAUGGAGUUUACUAAAUAACUCAUGUAGGAAGUUACCCUUAGAAUUCAUAAAUUUUCUUAAACUAUCUAAUCUGCUCUUCAUUCUUACAAUUAAGUCCUCAAAUCAAUUCUUUAUUUUUAAUCAUAAGAGUAAUCUAUCAUAUCCCUAGUCAUGAAACCACAAUAUUAUUGAAGACUAUUUACUUAUUUUCUCACUUUCUUACUUAUACAAUAACACAUAUUUUCAUUUUUUAAAAACAAAAAGAAUGUUAGACAUACACGUCUCUCUAUAAAAAUAGUUUUCUGUAAAACAUACAAAAAGUACAUUUUCAAAAAGCAUUUCUCUUGAAAAUAUUAUUUUUUAAAAAUAAACCAAAUAAAAAACAUUUUGAACUUCAAAUUUAAGAAAAAUGUAUUUUCCCCCAAAGAUGAGACACAUUAGUCACGCGAGAGGAAAUUGAUUAAGUAAAGAAGAGUCGUUAUUUGGUUUGGUACAAUGUUAGAGAAAAUUUAAUAAAAUUUAUUUUUGUAUAUUAAAUAAAAAUAAUUAUAAUUCAGUUUUUACACACACCAUAAGCAAAAACAAGAUUCCUAUUAAACAACUGUUUUCACCUUUUAUAUGUUCAAUUCUUAAAUUGGAAUCAAGUUUUGCUUCUUUUUUUUUUUUGACCAAUUUACUACGUUUUGGUUGAAAACAGACUUCUGAGUCAAUCUAACAUAACACGACUUCAUAAUAUUUGUUUUUUAUGGGUAAUGUUAUCAUUAUAAAAACUAAACUUGUAUAGUUAUAUGAAAAAAUAAAAAGUAAAAUAGUACAUACAAAAUGAUUUUAAAAAUUUAUUAGUGUUAAAUAUCAUUGUCUCAUUUUAUAAUAGAAAUUUGAUUUCAUUUACUACACAUAAGGUUAUCAGAAUUACUAGUUAGAAAACUAAUAAUUUAAAAAUAAUGGUAAUAAAUAUAAAUUAAUAAUAAUUAAAUAAGUUUAUUAAAUAAUAAAUUUGUAUAGAAUAUUUUAUUACAUUAUUAAUAAAAUAAAAUUAAUUAAAUAUAUAUAAUUAUAUAUAUACCACUUUCUUCGCAAAGUUUUGCAUGGAAAUGAUUUUUGGAUUUGUGUGCCUUCUUUUUGUUGUUAUUAGGUGGAUUUCUGGCCUUUUCAUUGCAAAUAGUAUUUCUACGCCUUUCUCCGCCUAGAUACAAACACAACCUUAAAGAUGAUGUCCAAUUCAUCUAGUUUUUUUGCGGUCAACAAGUUCAAUGCUUUCUAGAUCUUCAGGGGAACGGGAAGUUUGAUACCGGGGUUGAGGCAACCAAUACAAAGGAAAUCCUUUCAAGAUGUCUAAGUUAUGAUCUAACUCUUGCACAUUAAGGAACUUGCCUUUGAAAGAUUUACAGGAAGAUUGGAAAAGAGUUAAGAGGCCUCGACCGGAGACCCCAUUAAGAGAAGCCCAAGAGGAUCAUUAUGAAGGUUUAUACUAAAAAAAAUAAAAGAAGACAUUGGUUGUCAGAGUAACAUCAAAAUGAGCACACAAAAUAUAGGGUGAAGUUGUGCAGGAGCAACAUUUAUCACAUUUAAGAUACUUUUCUCAAAGAAAGACAACGAACGACGAACACCGAGCCUAGUAAAGAGGGUUUCAUAGAAAAAACAAAAGGGUUUUUCAUCACGACAAUCUCUACAUACUAGUUCAUCAGUUACACAAAAGAAGGGGAAAUCAAGGAAGCAGUGUGGCAAUGUGAAGGAUCAAAGUGUCCUGGGCCUGACGGGUUCAAUUUCGAUUUCAUUAGGAAAAGCUGGGUAUACAUAAAAGACGAGUUCGUCAAAGCUAUGGCUUUGUUUCAUGAGACAGGUUCUAUACCAAAGGAGUGCAAUGCAUCCUUUAUAGGCUUGGUACCAAAAAUUAAGAAUCCAUCUAAGCUGGAGCAAUAUCGACCCAUCUCUCUAGUGGGGGCUAUAUAUAAAGUCAUCUCAAAGGUGUUGGCUGGUAGAAUAAAGAAAGUGCUAAGUUUUGUCGUUGAUGAAAGCCAAUCUGCAUUUCUAAAAGGAAUAGGGAUUUUAGAUAGCGUGCUCAUGGCCAAUGAAGCGAUAGAGGAUCUUAGAAGGUGUGGGAGGAGCGAGUUAUGCUUGAAGGUGGACUUUGAAAAAGCCUAUGACUCGGUUAGGUGGGAAUUUUUAUAUGACAUGCUCUAUAAGCUGGGUUUCCACAGCAAAUGGGUUAUGUGGAUGCGAGGGUGCUUGGAAUCAGCUACAGUUUUGGUACUCGUUAAUGGGAGCCCAACGGAGGAAUUCAAACCAACAAGAGGCUUGAGGCAAGGUGUCGCUUGCCCCUUUUCUUUUUAUUGUGGUAGCUGAAGGUUUACUUGGGUUAGUAAAGCAAGCUAAUAAGACCAACCUGCUAUCAGGCGUUAAGAUUGGUAGAGAGGAAGUGGAGCUUAGUAUCCUGCAAUUCGCAGAUGAUACCCUUUUUCUAUGUGAGGAGUCCCAUAGUAAUGUGGUAACCAUGAAGGCUUCCUCCAUUAAUUCUUUUUCGGAAUCGAAAAUGAUGUGUUAGUUCUUGAUCAUUUUCAAAGAGUAUUUUAUGCAAAAAUUAAAUUAAGAUACUAAGGGAAUUUGAGCUAGCUUCAGGCCUAAAGAUAAACUUUCAUAAGUCUAAGAUUGUAGGAGUAAAUGUCGAUAGAAACGCUUUGGCAAGCUAUGCAAAGACACUGAAUUGUGCCCAGAUGGGAGUUUCGUUUAAGUAUUUGGGCUUAGAAGUGGGAGGGAACCUAAGGAAGGUUAAGUUUUGGGAUCCUGUGCUAACCAAACUAAAAGAUAGACUCAACGCUUGGAAAGGAAGAUUCUUAUCCAUGGCAGGGAGAAUAUGCCUAAUUAAAUCAGUCAUCACUGCGGUUCCACUCUUUUACCUUUCCAUCUUUAAAGCGUCAGGCUUUAUCUACCAAAGCAUAAUCAGUAUUCAAUGGAGGUUCUUGUGGGGGUGGGGGGAAGGAGAAGAGGCCGAUAUCAUGAGUUAGUUGGGAAGACGUGUGUAAACCGAAAGAGGAAGGUGGUUUGGGGAUCAGAGAUAUUCGGAAAUUCAAUUACGCUCUUCUGCCCAAAUGGAGGUGGCAGUUAGUGUCGGAAGAGAAAGGGAGGUGGAAGGACUUACUAGUCUCAAAGUAUGGGAUGGAUUCAGACUGUUCUCAAAUUCCAGUGAAAUUUCAGUCAUGGUGGUGGAGAGAUCUACAGAAAGUUUGUACAGAGGGAGAAGGAGGAGGUUGGUUCCACCAGCAACUAGCAUAGAUAUUAGGAGGUGGUGACAAAGUGAGAUUCUGGGAAGAUGUGUGGAUUAGUAAUAAAAACCUUAAAACUCUAUAUCGGAGAUUGUUCUCAUUGUCCCUAAACUAGGGUCUAAAGGUGAAUGAGGUUGGGGAGUGGGUAGAUGUAGCAUGGCGGUGUGGAGGAGGGAUAGAUUUGAGUGGGAAUCUUUGCUGGAAACCAAUUUUAUCCAACAUAUAUCCCGGUCAAGCUUAACAAGAGAACAGGAAGAUGUUAAGACGUGGGGGUGCAAUGAAAAGGGGUCAUUCUCUGUCAGCUCAGCAUAUGAGUUCCUAUCUAAGUAGGUUAGCAACCCUCAUCAGGAAGUGUUUAAGAAUCUGUGGGAAAUGAAAACGUUCCCCAAUGUCAUAAGCACAACUUGGAGGGUUCUCCUAGGCAGAAUCCCAACUAGAGUGUGUCUGAGUAGGAGAGGGAUGAUGUUAAACACAAUGUUGUGUGCUUUAUGCCAAACGAAGGAUGAAUCAUGCCAACAUAUUUUCAUAGAAUGUCCUUAUGCCCAGAGUAUGUGGACACUGUGUUUUAAAUGGAUAGGUAUAUCGUUUGUUCAGCACAAUGUAUUAUUGAUGCAUUUUGAGAGCUUAUGCCUGUCACAAGUAAACAACGAACAAAAUCUCCUAUGGAAAGGAGUAUGGGCAACUAUUGUGAGCUGCAUUUGGGAGCAUAGGAAUUCUAUUGUAUUUAAACAAGGUGUAGUAGAUGGGAAGAGAUCUUCCAAAUGGUUCAAGUCAAGUCAUGGCAAUGGCUAAAGCACAAGGGACAACCUUUUAACUACUCACUUGUAGAUUGGGUUCUUAAUCCUUUAAUAUGUAUUAGAAGCUUUAAGUAAUUGAAUAUUGAUUGGCACUUACAAGGGAACCUGCAGAUUGGUAAGGUUUCCUGCUGUACUGGAAGCCAGAAAAGGAGAAGUGAGCAAUUCCAGGGGCUCCAAAAAGGAUUGUUGGGAGAGGUUCUGAGGUGAGUUGUGGAUGCUGAAUGGAUGUACUGGAAGAUAUACUAUGUCCAGUGAUAACUCUAAAGAGCUUGUAAGGGUGAAAAGUGUGAUUAAAGGUAGAGGUGUUGCUAUUAAAACCAGUUGUUCAAUAGAAUUGUUGGCGCGUGGUAGUGAGAUGGAGUAGUAAGGCAUGUGUAACACUAACUUAUUAGCACAACAUAUGUGGUCUAAAAUUGUUAUAGAGAGCCUAUAUAGGCUACUGCGAGUUAGUCCUUCAUUUGUCCCUAUUCCUCAUCAUGACAACAACACUUUUCCUUAUAUUCCCAAAUGUUGGCAAGGUGGGGGUCCUAUUGGCUUCUAUUCACAAUCCAGUAUCUAAUUCAUUCGUAUAUAACUAUCUAAGGAGAUGGCUUUGUGUGAGAGCAGAAUUGAUGUAUGUAAUGGCAAGUUUAAGGCCUAGUAAUGUAGAGAUACAAGGGUUUUUUUUUACCUCUGUUUCAGCUUGAUUUGGGUGAUUAAGCAGGGCAAGUUUUUUAUUUUGUUGUGAUCAUGCUAUAAAAAACAACUUUUGUUCUCUCAGCAUGGAAGAGCAGGGUUGGGGGAUUGGAAAGGGUGGCUACGAGGACAUCUUUGUUAAUUAGCUAAUAUUGGACCAUUAAUUAUUAAUCAUGAUGGUGGUUACAAUGAUGGUUGAACCAAUCAGACCAUCACAGGUUUGGUCUCAAGGAGUUUUCAUGCAUGGAAGAAAAUUUGUGCAUUCUGAAUAUAGAAAGGUAUGCAAGGGAAAAGGAAAACAAAGUUGAAAAAGUAGGUAUGUUGGAAUGGAAUGUCGAAGUGCAAAUUGCAAAGCUAGAAGUAGGCUUCUUUCUAUUGUAAUUAGCUAAGCCAUGCACCAAUGUUUUAAUUUUUAUGCAGAUGUUUUCCUGCAGUAUGAUUAGCAAGCAUGGUGAGUGGGUUGGUGGUUUUUUGUAUAAGGGUUGAGACACCUUUGAAGUGUCCCCUUUAAUUUUAUUAAUUCUUUGCUGAUAAAAACAAAACACAAGGCACAACACAUACAUUUAAUUCAAUACCAAAAAGGUUCAAUGUUUGAGCAUGGCAAAAUUGCUCAUCUCAUGAUGGACAUCACGUCUGGCUCAAGUAUAUACAAAAUUAUAAUCCAUGAAGUUAAAAUGGAGGACGCGAAACAAAGUAAUGUUUGGUUUAUUCAAAAUAGAAGGGCAAUCAAGUGGAAGAAAAGACACAUAUAAGGAAUAGAAUAGUAGAAUAAAAGGGGCAAGGCGUACCUGAGAGCAAGUUGAGUUCGAAGGGAGCAGAGUGAAUAGCGAAGAAGAUGAAGAAUGAAGAAGAGUGAAGGGUGGGAAGAGAAAAGGGUGAAGAAAGAGGAAUGGAGGGGAAUAGUGUGCUAAAACGUUGAAUGGAGAACCGAUGAAGAGAUAGGAAGCAAUCUGCUAGGUUUCCCGAGCCCAAUAAGAAUUUAUUCAACAAAAACAGAGGUCAGGCACUGAAACACGUUUGUAUGGCAAGUGUUCAAACUUUUAAGCCUCAUUGGCUUAUGCUAGAGACUGAGGGACUGUAUGGUUAUGGGUCAAUCCCAUACAAGAUAAAUGAUGGUUGUUUCAAGAUUUUAAGCUUCAUUGACUUAUGUCAAAGGCUGAGAGAUUGUAUGUUCAUGGAUCGAUCGAGAUGAGUCAUGGGUCGAUCCCAUACAAGAUGAAGAUUGUUGUUUUAAGAAAUUUUCAAGUCUUAUUGACUUACGAAAAGGAAUAUCUCGGAUUAAAAAGUAAUAGAGACUAAUCCAUUGAACACAACCCUAUAAGACUAGUAAGGAAACAUCACUCACUAUAACACAUGUCUAAAGAGUUGUAUAACUUGAUUGAUAACACAUGUCUAGAGAGUUGUAUAACUUGAUUGAUGAGUAUUUUACAAUACAAACACCUGCUUUCUUUUUUUCGCUGCACUUUCCCUGGUUUUGGUUGUAGCCGGACUUUACAUUUGACUUUGGAAACAUAACACAACUGCAUAAUAUAUGUGUUUAAAAAAAUAAAGUUGUAUAAUUAUAUAAAAUAAAAAGUAAAAUAGUAGAUACAAAGUGAUUAUAAAAAUUUAUUGGUGUUAAAAUAUCAUUGCUUCAUUUUAUAAUAGAAAUUUGAUUCUAUGUACGCAUAUAAGAUUAUCAAAUUACUAGUUAGAAAAUUAAUAUUUUACAAAUAUGCUGGAAUUAAUUAUUUAUAUAUUUUUUCGAUCUUAUUAUAAAUUUUAAUAAAUCUUUAUUAAUCAUUGGUCAGAAGGCCUCCAGUAAAUAAUAAUAUCAUAUAUUAAUGUUAUAUUAUUUAAGUAAUUUCAUCACAUGACAUUUUAAUUUGUUAUGUCAACGCUAUACUACUUGACUUGUUUAAAUUGAAGAAUGAAUUCGAAAGAGUAAAAAAUUAAAAUAAAAAGUAAAAUAGUUUGAAUUAAAAGAAAAAAUAUAUAAAAAAGAAAACAAAAAUAAAUUAUGAAAAUUCGUAAGUGAUUUAAUUGAUAUAAAAGUUUAUAAAAUAACAUAUUUAUAAAAUAAUCAAAAUAUGUUUAUAAUUAUAAAUAUUUAUUAUUAUUAUUAUAUAUUAUUAAUAUGAAUUAAUUUUUAUUUUAUUAUUUUAGACUUUUAUUAAUAUUUUAUUAUGUUAUAUAUGGUAGUCAUAAUCAUAAUAGUUCUUCUUAUUCUUUGAACGCAUAAUAGUAAAUCACUGGCAAAAUUCUUGACAAAAAUUAUUAAGGUUUUCAAAAAUAUAAUUUAAAAUAAAGAUAUUAAAGUUAAAUUUUUCAAGACAAGCAAAACAUAAAUUAAAUAAUUAUCUGUAUUUAAAAUAUUGAAAAAUUAUAAUAAUUAAUUAUUAUUUUUUCUUAAUUUCAAAAAAUAAUAUUUAAAUUACAUGACGCCCUUUGUUCAAGACUCCUUUUCUUCAAAUUAUGUGAGAUGAUUCCCUUGUCCUAAUAAUCACUCAUCACUUUUUCUUUUCUGAUCCAAAAAAAUAUAAGUGAGGGAUGACUGGAUCAAGUGAGGUCAUAACUUAUUCUCUUAUCAUCUUUAAUCUCUCUUUCUUAUAACUUCUUCAUGGCUGAUCGUAAAUUUGAAUGGGAGGUAAUGCACUGAUUUUUAACAUUGGCAAUAUCCAAAUAUGUAACAUGGCAAUAGAAACCAUUCCAUGUUAGAAAUAUCAUUGUCCAACCACCAACAACAUUGAAGAGACUAAUAUGUGAAAAAGGUGAUGAUAUUUUUACACCUGCUCUACUUACAUUCACAACUAAAUAUUAAUAUUUGAAAUAAAAGAAAUUAAAAAAUAUUUUUUAAAAAAAUGUAGGUAAAAUAUAAAAUGUUAAAAUAAUUUUUAAAAUUAAAAAAAUUUAAAAAAAUUAAAAUAUUAAUAUUUAGUGGGUGUAGGGUGGAGCAUGAGGUGUCAAAAAACCAUUUUCCUAUGUGGAAAGGGUGAUGAUAUUUCGACACUAUGCUCCACUUUACAUCCACAACUAAAUAUUAAUAUUUGUAAUAAAAAAAUUAAAAAUUAAAAAAUAUUUUCAAUGAAAAUAUAGGCAAAAUGUAAAAUGUUAAAAUAAUUUUCAAAAUUAAAAAAAAAUUAAAAUAUUAAUAUUUAGUGGGUGUAGGGUGGAGUAUGAGGUGUCAAAAAAUCAUUUUCCUAUGUGAAAGGAGUGAUGAUAUUUUGACACCUCUGCUUCAUUUUAUAUCCACAACUAAAUAUUAAUAUUUAUAAUAAAAAAAUUAAAAAAAUAAAAAAAUAUUUUUAAUGAAUAUAUAGGAAAAAAAAAUGUAAAAUGUUAAAAUAAUUUUUAAAAUUAAAAAAAUUUUAAAAAAAAAUAUUAAUAUUUAGUAGGGGAGGGUGUAGCAUCAAUGCUUCCUUUUAGAAAAGUAAGAGAUUGUAAGAGUUUUUAUGUGUGGUUUAGUAAUGUAGUAAACUAUCAUUCGUUCAGUCAGAUGUUAGUGAGUACUAAGCAAGAAGUGCUUAUCGAGUUCACAGUAAUAAUUUUAAUUAAAAAAUAAUAUAAAAAGUAUUAAAAUAUUAAUUUAUUACUAUGUAAAGGGUAUGUUUUCAUUAUUGAUGGUAACACAAUGUUAUAAAAAAGGUCAUAACUUACAUCUUCAUGCAUACCCUUCUCAAUCUUUAAUCUCUUUCUUUUAGCUGUGGUUAAAAUCACCUUUCAAUAAUGCACUGACUUUUAACAUUGGCAAUAUCCAAAUAUGUAACAUGGCCAUUGAAACCAACCCUGUUGAUGGCCUUGUUGCCUUCAUCUUCUUUGUACUUCUUUGUUUUUUAUGGGUAAUGUUAUCAUUAUAAAAACUAAACUUGUAUAAUUAUAUAAAAGAAUAAAAAGUAAAAUAGUACAUACAAAAUGAUUAUAAAAAUUUAUUAGUGUUAAAUAUCAUUGUCUCAUUUUAUAAUAGAAUUUUGAUUUCAUUUAUUACACAUAAGAUUAUCAGAAUUACUAGUUAGAAAAUUAAUAAUUUUAAAAUAAUGGUAAUAAAUAUAAAUUAAUAAUAAUUAAAUAAAUUUAUUAAAUAAUAAAUUUGUAUCAAAUAUUUUAUCAUAUUAUUAAUAAAAUAAAUAAAUAAAAUUUAUAAUGUAAUAAAAGAAAUAUAGUCAUUUACAAAAUUUUAAUUAAUUUAAAUAUACACACAAAUUUUUCAUAUUUUAUUAUUCAAAUGUUUUUAAAAAUAAAAAAAUGAUUAACUUAUAUUUUAGAUCAUUUAAAAAAUAAAAAAUAAAAUCCAAAUACACUCUUUCUUGGGACUUUCCUUUCUUGAUGGUAUUUGUUAAAAGAGUUCGGGGGAAAACAUUGAAAAGGCUAAUAUGUGAAAAUUUAUAGGUUCAAUCAGUCGUCAUGCGUCUUUUAGUAAAGGGAGUUGUCAUGGGUCCUUUAGUUAAGAGUAUGCGUCUAGUAAAGAGUAUGCCCUCACUAAAGAGAGGUGUUAGUUCUUUAGUAAAGAAAAGACUAUGUGUUUAGUAAACGCGUCCUUCAGUAAAGAGAGGUGUGAAGUGAGUUAUUUUAAUUCCAUAAUUUUUUUAUUAAAAAUAAAUCAUGGAAUUAAAAUAAAAAAUAAAAACAUACAGAUCAAAGUAAUAAAAGAAAAGAUUAAGAAAAAAAUAUUAAAAUAAAAAUAAAUACAAUAAACAGUAAUAAAAACUCACUUUACAAUCUAAUAAAUUAAUAUUUUAAUUACAUUUUUUAUUAUUAAUUUAAAAUGUUAUUAUAAAUGAUUAUCAAUUACAUAUGUUGUACUUUUUUUUGGGAUGAAAAAGAAAGUUCAUUUUUAAUAAUUUAAGUUAAUUUAUUAUUAUUAAAAAAAUGUAAUAAGUAUUUUUUUUCUUUUAAAAUAUAUAAUAAUUAAAUUUGUAAUAAAAUAAAAAUAAUUAAUAAAAUAAAAUAAAUUUAAUAUUUUGUUAAUACAUAUGUUUUAUGUGAAAUAAAUAAAAUAAAAAUAACUAAAUAUUAGUGAUUUAGUUUAAUUUAAAAUAUUACUUUUUUAUUUAUUAAGUUUUUAUAAUAAUUUUUGUUUUAAUUUAAAAUUUAUUUUAACUUUAAUUUAUAUUUUUAAAAAUCUGUUAAAUAUAUUAUAUGUUUUUUUAUAUAUGUUUAUAAUUUUUAUAUUAAAUAUAUUAUACUUUUCUGUUAUUAUUAUUUCAUUAAUAUUUAUAUUUACAUUUAAUAAAAUAAAAUAAAUAAAUUAUAUAAUAUAAAUAAUUAUUAUUAUUAAAAUAAAAAUUAAUAAUAUGUAAAAUAAAUAAAAAUAUUAAUAAUAAACUUAUAAAAUAAUAAUAUAUAAUAUAGUUAAAUCAGAUAUUCCAAGCAAGGAGGGACAUGAACUUUGGGGGAAAAAAAAAAGAAAGAGAGAAAAGCUUGUACAUUUUUUUUUUCAUAACCAUUUUUUAUUUUGAGAGGCAAAGAGAGUUCUUAUUGUGUCUCUGACGACAAUACACAAGUGACGCAAACUUCCACCCUAGAAUUUCCACACCCCAUCACCAAAACCCUUUUCCCUCUUAACUCUUCUCCACUCUUAUACAAACUCAUGUGUCUUAUGGGCGCUCCAAACUCUUCUACACUUAGAUAUAACAUAGUUAAAAUAAUUAUAAAUAAUAAAAAAUAUUAUUUUCUCUCACACUAUACCCUCUGAAUCCACUUUAUUUUAAUCCCAACGAUACUUUCAUUCUUGAUGGUAACACCUAUAAAAAAGGUCAUAACCCUCAUGCAUAUACCAUUCUUAAUCUUUAAGCUCUCUUUCUUUUAGCUGUCGAUAAAAUCACCUUUCAACUUCUUCAUGGCUGAUGGUGCAUUUGGAAUGAGAGGUAAUGCACUGAUUUUUAACACAGCCAAUAUCCAAAUAUGUAACAGGCCAAUAGAAACCAAUCCUGGUGAUGCCCUUGUUGCCUUCAUCUUCUUUGUACUUCUCCCUUUCCUUCAACUCAGAUAUCCUGAAAAUCCCUCCCCAUUUCACCUCCAUCCAAACACCAUUUGGCUUUCCAUUCUUAGCUUUCUUCUUUAUUGCUUCUUCACCUUCUCGAGUAACCUCAACUUUGGUAUCAGAGUUAAUCACUUUCAAACCCUCAAGCGUGUCUUCGCUUCACUCUCAUUGCUUUGCUUGCUGGUGAUGUUGCUACCCGACACUUGGGAAUGCUUCGCUUUCCUUCUUUACAUUUUAUGGUUCAUGAUCUGGUUCAUCAUUCAUGUGCUCCCCGCCAUCAAAACUCACUUCAUGGAAGCAAGGGUGCAACGUCCAUAUACGAGGAGGGUGGUGCGUCGUCCACUGUUACCAAUCACUUCAAUGGACUUUAAUUAACUCUGCUUCUGUUUGGGAGAGGGCAUGAGGACGGAAGUGGCAAGGUGAGGGCAUGAGGACGGAAGGCCUGUAAUAAAAUUUAUGUAAUAUUACUUUAGUUAUCCAAGUAUCUAUGAGAUUAUGAAUUAUGUAACAGUAGCAUCACUUUCUCUCUCUAUUGAAACAUCUCUAAUAUGCACUCAUGAAUCAGAACUGAGCUUCAUAAAGAAACAAACCGCACAGGUUCGGCAGCAUGCGACAACAACAAAAGUUGCUAAUCAACAAAAACAACGCCGAUGAAAGAUUGAAAAUGUGGUUAGAAUGAAAAUAUGAAACCCACGCUGUGGAAUCACAACGGGGACUGCAGCAGUUUCUUUGCACUGUCUUGUGAAGACUCUUGCAACUAAUUGCAACUAAGCUGAAAAGCAGUAGCUGAAAAGCACCUUCGGACCGAACUAACUUUAAAACAUAUUAAAUUUAUUCAUCAUCUAAAUACUUGAAUUAGGGUGAAAAAAACAUGAGGAUGGUUGUGCGUCCAAUGAGGAUGGAAGUGGAAAGAGAAAUAAAAGAGAAGAAUAGUGGAGAGUUAACUUUUGAAUUUUAGAGAAAACGAUUAUAUUUAAGUCAAAUGUUACUACAUAGACAUGAUUGAUAAAGAGAAAUGUAAAAUAUUUAUAUAAAAUAUUUUUUAAAGAAUAAAAUAAAAUUAAAAGGGGUACUUAAAGUGUCCCAACCAUUCUAAUACUACUUAUGAAAAUAUCUUUGAGAUUAUAAAUUAUUUAAAUUAAAAUAAAAUAUCAAGUUUUCAUUUUCUUGUUAUUUUUUUUACUUUGUUUCUAUUUAACAGAGUUUUAUAUAUAUACUGUAUUCCUUUUUAUAUGAAAUAAGAUAAUAUAAUUCUUUUUCUUCUCUUACUUUCUCCCUUUUCCUACAUAGCACUGCUAUCUGUCAUAAAAGGCUAAUCACACACAUAAGAAGGUUGCUGCACAUAGUGUGAUAAGAAGGUUGCUUCACGGGGAUCAUGAAAACCAGAAUUCAAUAUAAAAAUAAAUCUUUAUAUAUAAUAAAGCAAACGUGACCAGUAACAUCAAUUUCUGUCUCUAAAUCCACUAUGAAUCAUGCAUGUAACCAGAAAAAAAUUGCAAGAUAAAAACUGCACCAGAUCCUAUUACGUACAAAAAAAAAUAUGCAGCAGCUUGAAACAUCAUUUAAUAUACACUCAUGAAUUAGAACUGAGCUUCAUAAAGAAACAAACACGUAUAGGUAGGUGCAGCAACGAAAGGCUAAUCGUUUUGGUCACCACUUGCUAUCUAUGGUGGCAACUGCAAGUUCAACACCAGUAAUCAACAACCACAAAAACAAUGAACUCUAUUAUUUUAAUAUCUUUUCAUAUUAUUUAAUUAAUUAUAAAUUUAUUUUUUUAUUAUAUAUAUUUAUUUCUAAAUCAUCAUAUUAAUAAUUAUAUACAAAUUCAAAAAUUAUAAAAAUAUUAUUUUCCUGUUUUUGUGUGGUACUGGGGCUGGAACACUGUAUUUUUAAAACCUAAAAUAUAUUAAAUUUAUUCAUCACCUAAAUACUUAAAUUAGGGUGGAAUUUUUUUUUUUAAAAUCUCUCAUUGAAAAAAAAUAGAUAUUCUUCUAACCUUUACUAAAUUUCAUCUACAUAGUAAAUGAUAGAACAUAAUUCAUCUUCAUCUUUUAAAAUUAAUUUGAGGGAAGAAUAUUAUCAUGAUUCUAACUAGCAAUAUUUUGAUUAUAAUUAUUUAUUGGAAACGCUUGUACAGAUUAAAAAGUUAAAAUUUAUAAUAUUAUUAUCACAAGUAUGUGUCAUUUUUUUUAUCAGAAAAAAGAUUGAAUAACGGGAACCAUUUAAGGGGUGGUUCAACCCUUAUACAUACCUAAAAAAAAUGAGACAAUUUCUCGGUUUUUUGACCAUCAUGGGGUUAUUUUUUUUUUUUUUACCAAAAUGGGGUCCGUUUAAAAAAAAUUACAAAUUUAGGCAAGUCGUGCCAAUUAGGCACGACUUCAUAUGCACAAAUCGUUCCAAUUAGGCACGACUUCUGUCUUGUCAUACUGAAGUCGUGCCACGACUUCAGCCACGCCAUAAUUUUUUUUAUUUUAUUGUUUAUAUAUUGGGUAGUAAAUUAUGUAAUGUUAAAAAUUAAUUUGAUACAUAAUUUUCUAAGAGUGUUAGUUUUAAGGAACAAAAAAUUGGAAUAAUUUACUUCUAGUUCAACUUUAUAUUUUUAUUUUAUAUCUUGUAAUGAAUCUUACUAAGUUGUUUAGUUCUAAUUAAUCUCUUAUCAUCAUUACGUGUUUUGUAAAAUCAUUACUUCUCAAAUUAUUUAUUUUGCAAAUUCACAACAAUAAUUCUCUAUUUAUUUUUCAAAUACAAUAAAUUUUCAUUUAUCUAUUUAUUUCCAAAUUCAAUAACAAUUUUCUUCAUUUUUUAAUUAAUCAAGUUAUUGUAUUACAUUACUGUCAAACAUGAUUCAUACACGAUUAUCCAAUUUUUUGUUCCUUAAAACUAAUACUCUUAGAAAAUUAUGUAUCAAAUUAAUUUUUAACAUUACAUAACUUACUACCCAAUAUAUAAACAAUAAAAUAAAAUAAAAAUAUGACGUGGCAGAAGUCGUGCCAACAGUAUGACAGGACAGAAGUCGUGCCAAGUUGACACGACUUCAGUAUGACAAGGCAGAAGUCGUGCCUAAUUGGGACGAUUUGUGCAUAUGAAGUCGUGCCAAAUUGGCACCACUUGCCUAAAUUUGUAAUUUUUUUAAAACAGACUCCAUUUUGGUAAAAAAAAAUAAAAAAUAAUCACAUUAUGGUCAAAAAACCCAAUUUCUCUGGUCUCCCAAACCAACAAAUAGAGAGACAAACAAAUCUACCACUAAAAACCGUACAGCCCGUACACUUUCAAGGCUAACCCGUACAAAUUCAAAACUAACCCGUACAAAUUCAAAUCUAACCCGUACAAAUUCAAAUUUAACCCGUACAAACUCAAAACCAAACCCAAUACAAGUUCUUUGCAACCACAACAAGGGGCAAAAAGAACAACAGAAGCUUAGAACAACAAACAACCCAAUCGAAGGAGUAAACUCACUUUAUUGAAAACAUACAAGCCCUAGGAUCAAUGCACCACCCAGAGUAGGUAAAACUAGCAGAAACAAUUUUAGAAGUUACCCAAGACCAAGUCUUUAAUUGUGCCAAAGUGAACACUUCCGAAGGAUUUAUCACCCCUCCUUAUAAAAUAUGUUUAUUCAUGUGCUUCCAUAAUUCACUAACUACAACUAUCCAAACACAAUUCCAAACUACAUUAACCUGAACAGGAGCAUUUAGCAAAAUAAAAUGCAAGAAGUGAGUUGUUGGGACAACAUGGUCAACCGACGUAUAGCACUGAUUCCAGACUAACCAAGCAAUCCUGCCAUAAAAAAACAUGUGUUUCGACGACUCCACAGCCAUCCUGCAAAAACAUGUGUUGUGUCAUACUAUUUAUAUUCUAAUUAAUAAAAAAAAUUAACUGAUAGUUAAAGUACUUAUCCGGAAAUGAAUAAAUACAUGUAAUAGUUGAUAAAUGUUAAUUAGAUUAUGGAAAAAACUGUACUCGGUAUUUACUCUUUGUUUAUUUUAGAUAAAUAAUUCUCAUUGGUUUUAACUUCAAAGUUGAUAUAUACUUAGAGUUUUAACUUUAACAUUUUACACCUCACAACUUCAAAUACAAUUCACUCAAGAUUAAUCCUUAAAAUCCACCCUUCUUAGACAAUUCAUAAAAAACUAAUUUAAAAAUAUUAUUAAAAUUUAUAUAUAAAAGUAUAUUUUAGUUAGAAGAAAUCAAUUUCUUCCAAGCUGAAGAUUAUAUGACUAAGUUCAAUUUUUUUAUAAAUAAAAUGCUAAUCCUUAAUUGAUUACUUAAAAUGAAAAGUGAAAUAUUAUUAGAAAUUUAUCAUAUUAAAUAAUAAAUAUUAAUUGCUCUAAAUUUAAAUAUAUGAGAUAAAUAUUUAUGUAAAGUGGAUAAAGAGCAUAACAUGUCUACGAACUAAUUAGAAAUGAUUAUUAAGAUUUUUUUUAUAGUUAAGAACAUAUAUUUAUGUAUUUUAGUAUAACUUAAUUAAAAUUCAAUAUUUUUACCCUUUUUACGUAAGUAACAAAGAAUACCCCACAUGUGUAUAACAAACUUUUUCACCCAAAUGACAACGGCAUACUUAUGAGAAUUAAUUUUAUGGAUAACAUGACACUAUUUUAUAUUUAGUUUUUUGAUAGCACCAUUUUUUUCACGGAGAGAAUUCAGUUUCCAGAACCUUUAUCUUUUAUUUCUGAAAAAAAUAUAUUUUCUUUUCGGAGAGCUGAAUUCUGAGGAUUUUUUUUUUUUUUUAAUAAUGAAUAGGAGUGGAUAAAGGUCUAUCGGUGGGUCAUCAAAAUGGAAUUUCUGAACAAUAUACUCUCAGACUUUCAGUUUUUAACUUUGAUUAAUGUAUGUUUAUGUGAAAUUAAUUAUAUGGUAACUGAAUUUUGAGAUAAUCUUUUAGAUUUUUAGAUCUUUUAGAGGAGAAAAGUAACAAAUUAUACAUUUUUCGUUUUGAGAUAAUCUCACUUUAUUACUUAUACAAUAACACGUAUUUUCAUUUUUAAAAACAAAAAGAAUGUUAGACAUACACGUCUCUCUAUAAAAAUAGUUUUCUAUAAAACAUACAAAAAGUACAUUUUCAAAAAGCAUUUCUCUUGAAAAUAUUUUUUUUUAAAUAAACCAAAUAAAAAAACAUUUUGAACUUCAAAUUCAAGAAAAAUUUAUUUUUUCUCCAUAGGUGAGACACAUAGUAGUCACGUGAGAGGGAAUUGAUUAAGUAAAGAAGAGUCGUUAUUUGGUUUGGUACAAUGUGAGAGAAAAUUUAAUAAAAUUUAUUUUUGUAUAUUAAAUAAAAAUAAUUAUAAUUCAGUUUUUACACACACCAUAAGCAAACACAAGAUUCCUAAUAAAUAACUGUUUUCACCUUUUAUAUGUUUAAUUCUUAAAUUGGAAUCAAGUUUUGCUUCUUCUUCUUUUUUACCAAUUUACUACGUUUUGGUUGAAAAGAGACUUCUGAGUCAAUCUAACAUAACACGACUUCAUAAUAUUUGUUUUUUAUGGGUAAUGUUAUCAUUAUAAAAACUAAACUUGUAUAAAAAGUAAAAUAGUACAUACAAAAUUAUUUUAAAAAUUGAUUAGUGUUAAAUAUCAUUGUCUCAUUUUAUAAUAGAAAUUUGAUUUCAUUUCCUACACAUAAGGUUAUCAGAAUUACUGGUUAGAAAACUAAUAAUUUAAAAAUAAUGGUAAUAAAUAUAAAUUAAUAAUAAUUAAAUAAAUUUAUUAAAUAAUAAAUUUGUAUCAAAUAUUUUAUUACAUUAUUAAUAAAAUAAAUAAAUAAAAUUAAUUAAAUAUAUAUAUACCACUUUCUUUGCAAAGUUUGCAUGGAAAUGAUUUUUGGAUUUCUGUGCCUUUUUUUUGUUGUUGUUAUUAGGUGGAUUUCUGGCCUUUUCAUUGCAAAUAGUAUUUCUAUGCCUUUCUCCGCCUGGAUACAAACACAACCUUAAAGAUGACGUCCAAUUCAUCCAGUUUUUUUGCGGUCAACAAGUUCAAUGCUUUCUAGAUCUUCGGUGGAACGGGAAGUUUGAUACCGGGGUUGAGGCAACCAAUACAAAGGAAAUCCUUUCAAGAUGUCUAAGUUCUAAUCUAAUUCUUGCACUUUAAGGAACUUGCCUUUGAAAGAUUUAUAGGAAGAUUGGAAAAGAGUUAAGAGGCCUCGACCGGAGACCCCACUAAGAGAAGCCCAAGAGGAUCAUUUUGAAGGUUUAUACUCAAAAAAAUAAAAGAAGACAUUGGUUGUCAGAGUAACAUCAAAAUGAGCACACAGAAUAUAGGAUGAAGUUGUGCAAGAGCAACAUUCAUCACAUUUAAGAUACUUUUCUCAAAGAAAGACAACGAUCGAAGAACACCGAGCCUAGUAAAGAGGGUUUCAUAGAAAAAACAAAAGGGUUUUUCAUCACGAAAAUCUCUACAAACUGGUUCAUCAGGAACACAAAAGAAGGGGAAAUCAAGGGAGCGAUGUGGUAAUGUGAAGGAUCAAAGUGUCCUGGGCCUGGCGGGUUCAAUUUCAACUUCAUUAGGAAAAACUGGGUAUACAUAAAAGAUGAGUUCGUCAAAGCAAUGACUUUGUUUCAUGAGACAGGUUCUAUACCAAAGGGGUGCAAUGCAUCAUUUAUAGCCUUGGUACCAAAAAUUAAGGAUCCAUCUAAGUUGGAGCAAUAUCGACCCAUCUCUCUAGUGGGGGCUAUAUAUAAAGUCAUCUCAAAGGUGUUGGCUGGUAGAAUAAAGAAAGUGCUAAGUUCUGUUGUUGAUGAAAGUCAAUCUGCAUUUCUAAAAGGAAGAGGGAUUUUAGAUAGCGUGCUCAUGGCCAAUGAAGCGAUAGAGGAUUUUAGAAGGUGUGGAAGGAGCGGGUUAUGCUUGAAGGUGGACUUUGAAAAAGCCUAUGACUCGGUUAGGUGGGAAUUUUUAUAUGACAUGCUCUAUAAGCUGGGUUUCAACAACAAAUGGGUUAUGUGGAUGCGAGGGUGCUUGGAAUCGGCUACAAUUUCGGUACUCGUUAAUGGGAGCCCAACGGAGGAAUUCAAACCAACAAGAGGCUUGAGGCAAGGUGAUCCGCUUGCCCCUUUUUUUUUAUUGUGGUAGUUGAAGGUUUAGUUGGGUUAGUAAGGAAAGCUAAUAAGACCAACCUGCUAUCAGGAGUUAAGAUUGGUAGAGAGGAAGUGGAGCUUAGUAUCCUGCAAUUCGCAGAUGAUACCCUUUUUUCUAUGUGAGGAGUACCAUAGUAAUGUGGUAACCGUGAAGGCGAUACUAAGGGGGUUUGAGCUAGCUUCAGGCCUAAAGAUAAACUUUCAUAAGUCUAAGAUUGCUGCAGGAGUAAAUGUCGAUAGAAACGCUUUGGCAAGCUAUGCAAAGACACUGAAUUGUGCCCAGAUGGGAGUUCCAUUUAAGUAUCUGGGCUUAGAAGUGGGAGGGAACCCAAGGAAGGUUAAGUUUUGGGAGCCUGUGCUAACCAAACUAAAAGAUAGACUCAACGCUUGGAAAGGAAGAUUCUUAUCCAUGGCAGGGAGAAUAUGUCUAAUUAAAUCAGUCAUCACUGCGGUUCCACUCUUUUACCUUUCCAUCUUUAAAGCGUCAGGCUCUAUCUACCAAAGCAUAAUCAGUAUUCAACGGAGGUUCUUGUGGGGGUGGGGGAAGGAAAAGAGGUCGAUAUCAUGGGUUAGUUGGGAAUACGUGUGUAAAUCGAAAGAGGAAGGUAAUUUGGGGAUCAGAGAUAUUCGAAAAUUCAAUUACGCUCUUCUGGCCAAAUGGAGGUGGCGGUUAGUGUCGGAAGAGAAAGGGAGGUGGAAGAACUUACUAGUCUCAAAGUAUGGGAUGGAUUCGGACUGGUAUCAAAUUCCAGUGAAAUUUUAGUCAUGGUGGAGAGAUCUACAGAAAGUUUGUACAGAGGGAGAAGGAGGAGGUUGGUUCCACCAGCAACUACCAUAGAGAUUAGGAGGUGGUGACAAAGUGAGAUUCUGGAAAGAUGUGUGGAUUGGUAAUAAAAACCUUAAAACUCUGUAUCGGAGAUUGUUCUCAUUGUCCCUAAACCAGGGUCUAAAGGUGAAUGGGGUUGGGGAGUGGGUAGAUGCAGCAUGGCAGUGGCAAUUAAGGUGGAGGAGGGAUAGAUUUGAGUGGGAAUCUUUGCUAGAAGCCAAUUUUAUCCAACAUAUAUCCCGGACAAGCUUAACAAGAGAACAGGAAGAUGUUAAGACGUGGGGGUGCAAUGAAAAGGGGUCCUUCUCUGUCAGCUCAGCAUAUGAGUGUUGAAGCUGGAGGAAGCUUCUUCCCUACCAAGGCUUGAUGUAUGUUUGAUGAAGAAAAUGGCUUGAGUGCUUUGAAGAUUGUAAUAGGCUUUUAGAUUCAUAUGUAAUUAGGCUUGUAAGUGUGUAUGAUUGCCUUUUGCUGUGUAACCUAUCCUAGAUGCCUAACCAAGUCUAGAUCAAGCACAUGGUGUGGUUAAAUGGUUUUUGAAAAGUCUUUUGAAAUGUUUUUAACAGUUUUAAAACAGUACACAAAUAAAUCUGUUUUAUGGAGAAAGAAUCUGUUUAUUUCUUCUCUGUUAAAAAGGCUUUCGUUUAAUGGUUUUUGAAAAGCUUUUUAAAAUGGUUUUAACAGUUUUAAAACAGUACACAAAUAAAUCUGUUUCAUGGAGAAAGAAUCUGUUUAUUUCUUCUCUGUUAAAAAGGCUUUUCUAAAUUUCUGUUAAGGCACCAAGGGAAAACUCAGUUCGUUAUUUCAGUUAAGCUGAGCUGGCCUGUGCGUUAUACUUUAAUCUGUUUCACUGAGAAAGAACAGGUUUAUUCCUUGGUGAGUUGAAAGNNNNNNNNNNNNNNNNNNNNNNNNNNNNNNNNNNNNNNNNNNNNNNNNNNNNNNNNNNNNNNNNNNNNNNNNNNNNNNNNNNNNNNNNNNNNNNNNNNNNAUGGUCCAAUAAACUUAGGAGAUAACUUCCUUGAUCUGAUAGCUCGUCCUACACCCUUGGUUGGUGUCACUCUCAUGAACACAUGAUCUCCAACUGCAAAUUCCAAAGGCUUUCUCCUCUGAUCUGCAUAUGAUUUCUGCCUACUUUGAGAAGCUUUCAUUUUGUCUUGUAUCUGCUUCACCUUCUCAGUAGUUUGUUGAAGUAACUCUGGCCCAACCAAUACUUUCUCACCAUCCUGAUACCAACAUAAAGGAGUUCUGCACUUCCUCCCAUACAAAGCUUCAUAUGGUGCCAUUCCAAUACUGGAAUGAUAACUAUUGUUAUAAGUGAACUCCGCCAGAGGCAACAUCUCAUCCCAACCUCCCAGAUGAUCCAAUACACAUGUCCUCAAAAGAUCUUCUAAGGAUUGGAUCGUUCUCUCGGACUGCCCAUCUGUUUGAAGAUGAUAUGCAGAGCUCAUUCUCAAUCUAGUUCCCAAUGAAUCUUGUAGAGUCUGCCAAAACCUUGAAGUAAACCUGGGAUCUCUAUCUGAAACAAUACUAGAAGGCACUCCAUGUAAUCUCACAAUCUCUUUGAUGUACAACUGUGCCAACUUGGCCAUAGAUAUCCUCAAAUUAACUGGGAGAAAGUGAGCACUCUUUGUCAGUCGAUCAACUAUUACCCAGACUGCAUCAUGACCCCUUACCGAUCUUGGUAAAUGAGUAACAAAAUCCAUAGCAACGCUAUCCCAUUUCCACUCAGGAAUAUCUAACUGCUGCAACAAACCACCAGGUCUCUGAUGCUCUACCUUUGCCUUCUGACAUGUUAAGCAAACAACAACAUAUUGAGCUAUUUCUUUCUUCAUGCCUGACCACCAGAAGGACUCCUUCAAAUCUUGGUACAUCUUAUUCAUACCAGGAUGUAGACUAAGAUGACUCUUAUGACCCUCAUCUAGAAUCAUUCUCUUCAGCUCUUCAUUUGCAGGUAUGCAAAUUCNNNNNNNNNNNNNNNNNNNNNNNNNNNNNNNNNNNNNNNNNNNNNNNNNNNNNNNNNNNNNNNNNNNNNNNNNNNNNNNNNNNNNNNNNNNNNNNNNNNNNNNNNNNNNNNNNNNNNNNNNNNNNNNNNNNNNNNNNNNNNNNNNNNNNNNNNNNNNNNNNNNNNNNNNNNNNNNNNNNNNNNNNNNNNNNNNNNNNNNNNNNNNNNNNNNNNNNNNNNNNNNNNNNNNNNNNNNNNNNNNNNNNNNNNNNNNNNNNNNNNNNNNNNNNNNNNNNNNNNNNNNNNNNNNNNNNNNNNNNNNNNNNNNGAAAUCAUAAUCCUUCAAAAACUCCAUCCAUCUUCUUUGUCUCAUAUUCAACUCUUUUUGAUCAAAUAAGUAUUUCAGGCUUUUAUGAUCACUAAAUACUUGAAACUGAGCUCCAUACAAAUAAUGCCUCCAAAUCUUCAAAGCAAACACCACAACUGCCAACUCUAAGUCAUGAGUAGGAUAGUUUCUCUCAUGAACUUUAAGUUGCCUUGAAGCAUAUGCAACUGCUCUUUUCUCUUGCAUUAAGACACAUCCUAAUCCCUGAAGUGAAGCAUCACAAUAAACCUCAAAAGGUUUUCCUGUAUCAGGAAUCACUAACACCGGAGCACUAGUUAACCUUUUCUUCAGCUCUAUGAAACAUUGCUCACAUUUGUCUGUCCAAGCAAAAGGUUGAUCUUUGCGAGUUAACUGUGUCAAAGGAGCUACUACUCUGGAAAAAUCUUCAAUGAACCUCCGAUAGUAGCCAGCUAGACCCACAAAACUCCUUAUUUCAGUCACUGUCUUUGGGCGUUCCCAUUGAAGCACUGCCUCCACUUUGGUUGGAUCCACAGAGAUCCCCUGAGCUGAUAUUACAUGCCCUAAGAAGUUGACUUCCUUUAGCCAAAACUCACACUUAGAGAAUUUAGCAUAUAAUUGCUUCUCCCUCAGAAUCUCCAACACUGUCUUCAGAUGUUUUUCAUGUUCUUCAUCGGUCCUUGAAUAAAUAAGUAUGUCGUCUAUAAAGACUACAACAAACUUAUCCAAGAAAGGACGGAAAAAUUCUAUUCAUGUAGUCCAUGAACAGAGCUGGAGCAUUUGUUACUCCAAAUGGCAUCACCACAUACUCAUAGUGUCCAUAACGAGACCUAAAAGCUGUCUUCUGAACAUCUUCAGCCUUUACCAAAAUCUGAUGGUAUCCAGAUCUCAAAUCAAUCUUUGAGAACACUNNNNNNNNNNNNNNNNNNNNNNNNNNNNNNNNNNNNNNNNNNNNNNNNNNNNNNNNNNNNNNNNNNNNNNNNNNNNNNNNNNNNNNNNNNNNNNNNNNNNNNNNNNNNNNNNNNNNNNNNNNNNNNAGAAGCACCGGAGCCCCCCAUGGAGAUACACUUGGCCUGAUGAAUUGUUUUUCCAACAAAUCUUCAAUUUGUUUCUUUAGUUCUAUCAACUCAGCUGGAGCCAUUCUGUAAGGUCCCAUUGACACUGGUCCAGCUCCAGGUACCAAAUCAAUAGAGAAUUCCACUUCUCUCUUAGGAGGUAAUCCAGGUAUUUCUUCUGGAAAUACAUCUAUGAAAUCCUUCACCACAUGUAUACUACUCAUUUCUUCUUCAUUCUUAACUUCCAUCUGAGUUAAGAUUACAAAACAUCUUAAUCCUUCUUUCAAUUCCGACCACACAUGUUGAGCAGACAUCAUAUCUAACUCCUUGGAAUCUGAAAACACUAUUUUCUGUUGACCACAAUCUAUGAGAAUGUGAUUGGCAGAUAGCCAAUCCAUUCCUAGGAUAACAUCCAGAUCCUGAAGAGGUAGACAAAUCAAAUUCAUUUUGAACCUGCGUCCCUCUACUAUUACUGGACAUUCAGAACAAACUAUAGAGGUCAAUACUUUUCCUGAUGUAGGUGUAGAGACCAGCAGUUCAAACGACAAUUCCUUAACUGGAAGACCCAACUCAGCUACACACAGACUUGACACAAAGGAGUGUGUCGCUCCAGAAUCAAACAAAGCUUUUACACAUUUACCAGCUAUAUAACAAACACCUUGUACCAAGUUACCUGACUGAGAUGCUUCAGCUCCUGUCAUAGCAAAAACUCUCCUUGCUGCCUGAGGUCUAUUGCCUUCACUUCUAAACUGUUGAGAACCGCCUGAUAGAGUCAUCUUAUUCUUGUUAGGACAAUCUCUAGCAAAAUGUCCCAUCUUUUGGCAUGUAAAACAUCUUUUCUCUGGAGUCCCCUUGGGGCAUGUAUUGGUGGUAUGUGGUCCACUACAAUAGAAACAUCUAGGUUUCCAUGGUUGUUGUUGUUGAAACUGAGGCGGAAAUGCUCUUGCCUUAUGUUGUGGAGGUCUAGCAUAAGGCUUGUGUUGUUGAUGUUGUACCUUGGCCUUCCCACUGAAAGACCCUCCUGGGUGUGAUCUAAUCACCAUAGAAUCACCCCUUUCCAGGGUCUCCACCAUCUUCACUUUCUCCACUGAGGCAUGAAACUCCCUAAUGCACAUAGGUGCUAUGGUCUUCUUCAGUUCAUGCUUUAAACCUUCUUCAAACUUCCUACACCUCCAAGCCUCAGAGGUAGCUUGGGUGUAGAAUCUGGCUAGGUACUCAAACCUAGCAGCAUAUGCAUUUACUGACAUCUCUCCUUGCUCCAACCUGAGAAAUUCAGCUUCCUUUGCAAAUCUGGCACUAUCUGGAAAAUAUUUCUCCAGAAAUCUCACUUUGAAACUCUCCCAGCCCAAAACUUCAGCUCUGGCUUCCAUCAUUUGUUGAGCUCCCAUCCACCAGAACUCUGCUUCUCCAGACAAUAAAUAUGUAGCAAAAACCAAUUUCUUAUCCUCGGGGCAGGAGGUUGCCCUAAAGAUCUUCUCUAACUCUCUGAUCCAUUGGUCUGCUUGGUCAGGAGUGGCAUUCCCACUAAACUUGGGCGGGUUGUGCCUCAUGAACUCUGUCAGCCCCAUCUGCUCCUGCGAUUGACUGACAUGGGAAGCUGCUGCAGCNNNNNNNNNNNNNNNNNNNNNNNNNNNNNNNNNNNNNNNNNNNNNNNNNNNNNNNNNNNNNNNNNNNNNNNNNNNNNNNNNNNNNNNNNNNNNNNNNNNNAGCAAAUUGAACUACUGGUUUUGAGUUCUUGCAUCUUCUUUUCAGGUGUAAUCUUUCCUUUAUUCUGUUUUGUAAAGGUGUAAGUGUUAGUCACUCCUUGAUAGGGUUUCUUGGAGUGCAAGGUGUGCUGAAAUAGGGUUUUUCAGCAUUGUGUGUGGUGUUCUUGUAGUGUUCAAGAACUGCUGGUUUUGUAAGUGAUUGACACUGUUUUUUAGUGAAUUCCACCUUGGGGUAAGGUGAGACUGGAUGUAGCUCUGUAUGAGUGAACCAGUAUAAAAACGUGUGUAUCUUGCAUUCUCAUCCCUGCACUCUUUUCUGUUUUCGCUUAAUUCUGUCAAGAACUAAAUCUGUUCUUUUUAAAUUGAAUCUGUUAAUUCUGGGUUAAGUGAAAACUGUUCUUCCUGUCUUGUUAAAGUUUUAUGAUCAUAAACAAGGUUGCUGCAUAUAAUGGCUUAAGUGAAUUGUGAACAAACUGACCAUUCAUUAAAACCUAUGAAAGGAUCUUUUUUCUUGAAAUCUUGUGUUGUGUAAUUUUGGUUGAUCUCUAAGCAUAGCUAUAUCUUUUAUCCUCACAAAAAUAAGCUGAUCUGGUUCUGUUCUGAUUCUCUGUUGAUCACAAUUUUACAGUGAACAAUAUUCAAAUUGUGCCAAUACUGCUCUGAAAAAUCAAUCUGUUUCAUGUAAAAACAAUCUGUUCUUUUUGCCUCUGGAAUACUGAAAAAUUGUGUGUUCUUGCGAAAAUUUUAUAAGCUCAAUUCACCCCUCCCCUCUUGAACUUAGACACUAAUAGACCCAACAAUGAGUUCCUAUCUAAGUAGGUUAGCAACCCUCAUCGGGAAGUGUUUAAGAACCUGUGGGAAAUCAAAGCGUUCCCCAAUGUCAUAAGCACAGCUUGGAGGGUUCUCCUAUGCAUAAUCCCAACUAGAGUGUGUCUUAGUAGGAGAGGGAUGAUGUUAAACACAAUAUUGUGUGCUUUAUUCAAAACGAAGGAUGAAUCAUGCCAACAUAUUUUCAUAGAAUGUCAUUAUGCCCAGAGUAUGUGGACACUGUGUUUUAAAUGGAUAGGUAUAUCGUUUGUUCAAAACAAUGUAUUAUUGAUGCAUUUUGAGAGCUUAUGCUUGUCACAAGUAAACAACGAACAAAAUCUCCUAUGGGCAACUAUUGUGAGGUGCAUUUGGGAGCAUAGGAAUUCUAUUGUAUUUAAACAAGGUGUAGUAGAUGUGGAAGAGAUCUUCUAGAUGGUUCAAGUUAAGUCAUGGCAAUGGCUAAAGCACAAGGGACAACCUUUUAACUACUCACUUGUAGAUUGGGUUCUUAAUCCUUUAAUAUGUAUUAGAAGCUUUAAGUAAUUGAAUAUUGAUUAACACUUACAAGGGAACCUGCAAAUUGGUAAGGUUUGUUGCUGUACUGGAAGCCAGAAAAGGAGAAGUGAGCAAUUCCAGGGGCUCCAAAAAGGAUUGUUGGGAGAGGUUUUGAGGUGAGUUGUGGAUGCAGAAUGGAUGUACUGGAAGAUAUACUAUGUCCAGUGAUAACUCUAAAGAGCUGGUAAGGGUGAAAAGUGUGAUUAGAGGUAGAGGUGCUACUAUUAAAACCAGUUGUUCAUUAGAAUUGUUGGCGUGUGGUAGUGAGAUGGAGUAGUAAGGCAUGUGUAACACUAACUUAUCAGCACAAUAUAUGGGGUCUAAAAUUGUUAUAGAGAACCUAUAUAGGUUGCUGCGAGUUAGUCCAUCAUUUGUCCCUAUUCCUCAUCAUGACAGCAACACCUUUCCUUAUAUUCCCAAAUGUUGGCAAGGUGGGGGUCCUAUUGGCUUCUAUACACAAUCCAGUAUCUAAUUCAUUCGUAUAUAACUAUCUAAGGAAAUGGCUUUGUGUGAGAGCAGAAUUGAUGUUUGUAGUGGCAGGUUUAAGGCCUAGUAAUGUAGAGAUACAAGGGUUUUUUUUUACCUCUGUUUCAGCUUGAUUUGGGUGAUUAAGCAGGGCAAGUUUUUGAUUUUGUUGUGAUCAUGCUGUAAAAAACAACUUUUAUUCUCUCACCAUGGAAGAGCGUGGCUGGGGGAUUGGAAAGGGUGGCUACAAGGACAUCUUUGUUAGUUAGCUAAUAUUGGACCAUUAAUUAUUAAUCAUGAUGGUGGUAACAAUGAUGGUUGAACCAAUCAGACCAUCACAGGUUUGGUCUCAAGGAGUUUUGAUGCAGGGAAGAAAAUUUGUGCAUUCUGAAUAUAGAAAGGUAUGCAAGGAAAAAGGAAAACAAAGUUGGAAAAGUAGGUAUGCUGGAAUGGAAUGUCGAAGUGCAAAUUGCAAAGCUAGAAGUAGGCUUCUUUCUAUUGUAAUUAGCUAAGCCAUGCACCAAUGUUUUAAUUUUUAUGCAGAUGUUUUCCAACAGUAUGAUUAGCAAGCAUGGUGGGUGGGUUGGUGGUUUUUUGUGUAAGGGUUGAGCCACCUCUGAAGUGUCCCCUUUAAUUUUAUUAAUUCUUUGCUGAUAAAAAAAAACACAAGGCACAACACAUACAUUUAAUUCAAUACCAAAAAGGCUUAAUGUUUGAGCAUGACAUAAUUGCUCUAUGCACUUGGCAAAAGUAAAAAAGGAGGUCUCAUGAAGGACAUCACGUCUGACUCAAGUAUAUACAAAAUUAUAAUCCAUGAAGUUAAAAUGGAGGACGCGAAACAAAGUAAUGUUUGGUUUAUUCACAAUAGAAGGGCAAUCAAGUGGAAGAAAAGACACACAUAUAAGGAAUAGAAUAGUAGAAUAAAAAGGGCAAGUCGUACCUGAGAGCAAGUUGAGUUCGAAGGGAGCAGAGUGAAUAACGAAGGAGAUGAAGAAUGAAGAAGAGUGAAGGGUGGGAAGAGAAAAGGGUGAAAAAAGAGGAAUGGAAGGGAAUAGUGUGCUAAAACGUUGAAUGGAGAACCCAUGAAGAGAUAGGAAGCAAUCUGCUAGGUUUCCCGAGCCCAAUAAGAAUUUAUUCAACAAAAACAGAGGCCAGGCACUGAAACACGUUUGCAUGGCAAGUGUUCAAACUUUUAAGCCUCAUUGGCUUAUGCCAGAGACUAAGGGACUGUAUGGUUAUGGGUCGAUCCCAUACAAGAUAAAUGAUGGUUGUUUCAAGAUUUUAAGCCUCAUUGACUUAUGUCUGAAGCUGAGAGGUUAUAUAAUCAUGGACCGAUCGAGAUGAGUCAUGGGUCGAUCCCAUACAAAAUGAAGAUUGUUGUUUUAAGAAGUUUUUAAGUUUCAUUAACUUACGAAAAGCUUUUCGAAUUAAAAAAUAAUAGACUAAUUCAACACAACAAUAUAGGACUAGUAAGGAAACAUCCCUCACUAUAACACAUGUCUAAAGAGUUGUGUAACUUGAUUGAUGGGUAUUUUGCAAUACAAACACCUGUUUUCUUUUUUUCGCUGCACUUUCCCAGGUUUUGGUUGUAGCCAGACUUUACAUUUGACUAUGGAAACAUAACACAACUGCAUAAUAUAUGUGUUUAAAUUUUUUUUUUGUAUAAUUAAAUAAAAUAAAAAGUAAAAUAGUAGAUACAAAGUGAUUAUAAAAAUUUAUUGGUGUUAAAAUAUCAUUGCUUCAUUUUAUAAUAGAAAUUUGAUUCUAUUUACGCAUAUAAGAUUAUCUCAUUACUAGUUAGAAAAUUAAUAUUUUAAAAAUAUGCUGGAAUUAAUUAUUUAUAUAUUUUUUCGAUCUUAUUAUAAAUUUUAAUAAAUCUUUAUUAAUCAUUGGUCAGAAGGCCUCCAGUAAAUAAUAAGAUCAUAUAUUAAUGUUAUAUUAUUUAAGUAAUUUCAUCACAUGACAUUUUAAUUUGUUAUGUCAACGCUAUACUAUUUGACUUGUUUAAAUUGAAGAAUGAAUUCGAAAGAGUAAAAAAUAAAAAUAAAAACUAAAAUAAUUUGAAUUAAAAGAAAAAAUAUAUAAAAUAAAAGAAAAAUAAAUAAAUUAUGAAAAAUCGUAAGUGAUUUAAUUGAUAUAAAAGUUUAUAAAAUAACAUAUUUAUAAAAUAAUCAAAAUAUGUUUAUAAUUAUAAAUAUUUGUUAUUAUUAUUAUUAUUAAUUAAUUUUUAUUUUAUUAUUUUAGACUUGUAUUAAUAUUUUAUUAUGUUAUAUAUGGUAGCCAUAAUCAUACUAGUUCUUCUUAUUCUUUGAACGCAUAAUAGUCAAUCACUUCAAAAUUCUUGACAAAAAUUAUUAAGGUUUACAAAAAUAUAAUUUUAAAUAAAGAUAUUAAAGUUAAAUUUUUCAAGACAAGCAAAACAUAAAUUAAAUAAUUAUCUGUAUUUAAAAUAUUGAAAAAUUAUAAUAAUUAAUUAUUAUUUUUCUUAAUUUCAAAAAUUAAUAUUGCAAUAUGAUAAACUUUUUUAUAAAUUAUGUAUACUAACCUGUGGCAUUAUUAGUUUGCAUAAGACCAAAUUCAUUAGUUAAAAUACUUCAGUGCCUUCCCACCCCCAACAUUUCCUUUACUUUACCAGACUGCCGACCUUUGUCUCACGUGGGUGGGUCCUGUCGGCACAAUGACAACAGUUCCCUCUAUAUAUUCUGUCUUUCCUCAGGUUCCGGAUCUAUUCCUCUAUCUCUUCUCUAUCUCAACUUUUCGGCUUCUUUCAACUGUCUUCAACACCACCUAAAUGUUUUUCAUGGCUCAUGUUCUAAGGCAAAUAUUUUAUUAUAUUAUUAAUAAAAUAAAUAAAAAUAAUAUAAUGAAAAUAAAUAUAAUUAUUUAUAAAAUUUUAAUUAACUUAAUAUACAUAAAAGUUCCUCAUAUUUUAUUAUUCAAUAUUUUUAGAAAUAAAAAUAAAUUUGUAUUUAUAUUUCACACUUUUUAAAAAAAAUAAAAAAUUCUAUCACGUUAAAUCCCUUCUAACCAGCAAAAUCUAAACAGUCUUUCUUGAUUAUUAAUUCUUAAAUUCUCAAACAUUCACUAUCACAAAUGUUAGAAAAAUACAUUCCAUUUUCUACCGAAACACAUCUUUUCCUUUCCCAUCAAAUCACAUUAUGUGAGAAAUGAUAAGGUAAGGGAACUUUCGUGGAUGUCUCAGCAUAACUCAACUUUGAAUAGGAAAAGAUUUCUUUAACCCGAGAAAAAGUAAAAUCACAAAGACGACCCAGUGAUAUUAAAUGACCCAUGGACUUGAUCCUCAUGCGUACCCUUGUCUCACUCUUUAAUCACUCCUUCUUUUAGCUGUCGUCAAAAUCAGGUUUCAACUUCUUCAUGGCUGAUCGUGCAGUUGGAAUGAGAGGUAAUGAACUGAUUUUUAACAUAGGCAAUAUCCAAAUAUGUAACAUGGCAAUAGAAACUCACCCUGUUGAUGGCCUUGUUGCCUUCAUCUUCUUUGUACUUCUCGCUUUCCUCCAACUCAGAUAUCCAGAAAAUUCCACCCCAUUUCACCUUCAUCCAAACACCAUUUGGCUUUCCAUUCUUAGCUUUCUUCUUUAUUGCUUCUUCACCUUCUCUGGUAACCUCAACUUUGGUAUCAGAGUUAAUCACUUUCAAACCCUCAAGCGUGUCUUCGCUUCACUCUCAUUGCUUUGCAUGCUGGUGCUGUUGCUACCCGAAACUUGGGAACGCUUCGGUUUCCUUAUUUACAUUUUAUGGUUCAUCACUCAUGUGCUCUCCUUUAUCAAAACCCACUUCAUGAAAACAAGGGUGCAACGUCGAUACUCGAGGAGGGUGGUGCGUCCACUGUUACCAAUCACUUCAAUGGAUUUUAAUUAACUGCUUCAUCACUGGGUCUUGCUUUGUUUGAGUUUUGGAAGAGUGUGCUGUUACUCCUUUUUUAUGUGUCUGGCAUAGGGAUAUUAAUUUACAUCAAACUUUACUAUCAAAGCACAACAAGGAGAAUUAUCCCUCACUUCUAUAAGUUUGUCAUCCAAAUUUACACUGUCAAUAGUUUUACGUAAAGUUAAUAUAUAUCAAUUAUAUAAGGCGUAAUUAAGUUUUUGUUGCUAGAGGGAAUAUUUUAAGUUUUUAUCUCUGGUAAAAUGUUUUAUGUUUUGGACGAUACUUCUAUAUUGAAACAUAAAGGAUGUGUUAGGCUUUUGCUAUUGUUAUUCUAAAAUUAGGGUUACCAAAAACUGUCUUCUUUGAUAUUGCUUAGUCCCCUAUAAGGGUAAAAAAGGGAUCAUGGUCUUAAAAAAAACCCUUUCAAUAAUAACAACAUAAUAAUAAUAAAAUGGCAGACAUUUACUAAAGACACAUGAGUCUAUCCUAUUACAAAGUCCUUCAUCCAAUUGGGUUGUCUUUUUGGUCUUGUGCUUGUGUAUGGGCCCAGUCUAACAUUACUAUCCGCCCCACUAGACACUUUGUCCUCAAAGUGGGAUUUUGGAAUUAGUUGGGUCAUUGGACGGUUAUUGGGCUGGUGUUGGUUCUCGUGAGUUUGGAUAUGGGGUGGGGUGUAUGCAAGCUGGCGCGGGGGUGCAGGAAUUGGAUGGGCCAUUAAGGAUGAGUUGGGUUGGGUAUUGGUUGUUGGGUCAUUAGGGUUUGUAGGGAGUGGUGUUGGGGCGUUAGGGUUUUGAGGAAGGGGCGCCGUUUGAGGUGCUUCAGAAUUACGGUUUGUAUUGCAUGGAGUGCUAGCGUUGGGCUCGAGGCGUGGGGAAGCUGCACCAUCAGUGAGUGGGACACGCGGCUCGAGGCGGGGGAAGCUGCACCAUCAGUGAGUGGGACACGCGGCACACUAUUGUUGGCUCCGUCAGGAAGCGCGUUCAGGCAAUUAAUGGGCGUGGGAAGGGUUUGCUGGUGCGCGUGGGGCUCGAGGCGUGGGGAAACUGCGCCAUCCGUGAGUGGGACACGUGGCGCUCUGCUGUUGAUUCUAUCAGAACGUGUGUUGAUGUGAUUAUGAGGCGUGGAGAUGGCUUGCUGGUGGGGCACGUGAGCGUGAGGCUCGAUGCCAGCUAAGUCCGUGUGAUUUGUGAGUGUAACACAUGGCGUGUUGUCAUUGGUUUCCUGGUACGGUGAGUUCAGAGCGUUCUGAUUUGGGUUGGGAGAUGAGUUAAGUGGUGUUGGAAGUGCCAAGUUCUUGGAUUUGGUAGAAAGACCCUGGUGUUCUCCCGCAGGUCCUUUGAAAGGUCUGAGCAGCGAAACGUGAAAAACUGGGUGGACUCGCGCCGACGGUGGCAGUUGAAGCUCAUAUGCGACGGUGCCGAUGCGGCGUAGGACCUGGUAUGGGCCUGAAAAACGUGGGCCAAGCUUUUGGUGUGUUCUUCGUUCCAAUGAGUGUAGCCGGUAGGGUUGGAGUCGUACACACACCCAUUCUCCUGGUUCAAAACUACGGUCUGUGCGGUGGCGAUUAGCUUGGUCACACAUGCGCUAGCGUGUGCGACGCAAGUGCUCCCUGAGGUCGUGGAGGAUGACGAUGUGCUCCGACAGUGUCUCGUGGAUGGAGGUUCCAGCGUUUGGGACGCUUAAGAAGUCAACUACUGUGGGUGGUUGUCGACCGUACAACGCAUGGAACGGGGAGGUUCCAAUAGCCGAAUUGUACGUUGUAUUAUGCCAAAGUUCUGCCAAGUGAAGAUAUUUGUACCACUUGUUUGGUUGGUUUCCCACAAAACAUCUCAGGUAGGCCUCUAAGCUGCGGUUCAGUACCUUUGUUUGACUGUCCGUUUGGGGAUGGUAUGACGAACUAAAUUUUAACGUUGUUCCUUGUGCUUUGAAUAGGUGCAGCCAGAAAGUGCUAACAAACAAAGGGUCGCGAUCUGAGACGAUGGUUUUUGGUAGUCCAUGGAGGCGACAGAUUUCUAUUGAGAAACGCUUGGCUAGUUGUUGGGUCAUGAAGUGUGUGGGCAGAGCGAUGAAGUGCGCAUAUUUUGUGAGUAUGUCGCACAUGACCCAAAUGACUGAGUGUCCGGAUGAGACUGGAAGGUGAGUAAUAAAAUCCAUUGAUAUGUCCUCCUAUACUUGUUUUGGAAUUGGUAAUGGUUGCAGUAAACCCUGAGUUUUGGUUGGCAUAUACUUAUUUUUUUGGCAUGUGGAGCAUUGUUGGACAAAACGAUGGACGUCUCUGGUCCAUUUCGGCCAAUAGAAUGAAGCGGCUAUGCGCUUGAGAGUUGGUUUGAUGCUGGAAUGGCCGCCAUAAGGGGAAGCAUGGAACUCUGUCAUAAUGCGCUGGCGGAAAUCAGUUGAUGCUGGCACGAAUAUCUGAUGGCGAAAAAAGAGUAAAUCGUGGCUAGUGGAGAACAAGCUUGGUUGUUGUUGACUGCUUGUGCAAGCAUGGACCACUUCCUGGCCUUCUGUGGUGGCAAAAAAAGUUUGGAGUUCUUGAAUAAGCUGUGGGAUUGGGGACGACACUGCAAACAGUAUGAUAGUGGAAUCAUGACCUUGCCUUGAAAGAGCAUCAGCCACGGCAUUUUCCUUCCCAGGUCGGUAAAUAAUUUAAAAAUCAUAUCCUUGCAAUUUAACAAUCCAUUUCUGUUGUUCUGGGGUCUGAAUGGUUUGGGAGAGGAGGGUGUUUAGGCUCUUUUGAUCUGUUAUGAUUAUGAAAUGUUGUCCUAUGAGGUAUUGACGCCAUUUUUUUACUGACUCUGUUAUGGCAUACAUCUCUCGAACGUAUAUGGAGGAAGCUUGAAGCUUGGCAGUCAUCUUUUUGUUGAAAAAAGCUAGUGGUUGCCCUGAUUGGCUGAGGACGACUCCUAUGGCCACUGCUGAGGCAUCUGUUUCGACCACAAAGGGCAGCUUAAAAUCUGGAAGGUGUAGUGUAGGCAUUGUCUUCAUGUGUAAUUUUAAUUUUUCGAAUGCUUGCUGCGCAAGCUCAGUCCAUGUAAAUUUGUGGUGUUGUAAUAAGUCGAUGAGAGGAGCGACGAGAGUGGCGUAGUGCUUUAUGAAUUUCCUGUAAAAUCCGGUGAGGCCGAGGAAACCCCGUAAUUCCGUGAGUGAUCGUGGCUGAGGCCAGUCGUGUAUGGCUUUGACUUUCUCUGGGUCUGGUUGGACUCCCUGUGCAGAAAUAAUGUGACCCAAGUAACUAACUUUCGCGGUUGCGAAACUGCACUUGGAAAGCUUGGCAAAAAAUUGCUGAGUGUGUAGCACUUCCAAUAUAGUCCUACAAACUUGGACUAUAAAUCAAAAUAUCAUAAAAAAGACUAAGACAAACCGGCGGAGGUAUGGUCUGAGAAGAUCAUUCAUGGCUGCCUGAAAAGUAGAAAGAGCGUUAGUUAAACCAAAUGGCAUGACCAAGAAUUCAUAGUGGCCAUCUAUAGUGCGAAACGCUGUUUUGUGAGUGUCUUCUGGGAGAAGCAGUAUUUGGUGGUAUCCUAAGUGUAGGUCUAUUUUAGUAAAAAUAGUAGCUGAGCCUAACUCAUCGAGCAGUUCAUCAAUUGUUGGAAUGGGGAAGUGGUCACGAAUGGUGGCUGCAUUUAAGGCUUUGUAAUCCACACAGAAACGCCAUGUUCCAUCUUUUUUUUAUUAAGAGCACCGGUGAAGAGAAUGGGCUUGUACUAGGUUGAAUAAUGCCCUCUUGCAGCAUUUCUGCGAUCAGUGUUGUAAUAACUUCCUUGUGGUGAUGUGGGUAGCGGUAUGGUUUCACUUUGAUUGGUGGGGUAUGAGGUAACAGGGGAAUAUGGUGGUCAUGUGGUCUCUGUGGAGGUAACCCUCUUGGUUUUUGAAAAAUACCUUGGUAUUCCUGAAGAAGGGAUUUGAUGGGUUAGGGUAGGUGAGAUAAUGGGGAUGCAGGAUUAUCAAUGGUAGUGGUUAAGGUUGUAUGGGAGCGGGGUUGGGUGUCCACCGAUAGAAGGUGUAAAGAGGCAAUAGAGUUAUUGGAUAGAUACUGGCAAAAUUGGUGAUAAGUGGUAGCUGAUGGGUUGGGUGAGUGGGCGGCUUGCAACGUAAUAUGUUGGUUGUUGUGGGUAAAUUCUAUGCUGGGAAUUGAGAAAUCUGCUUGGAUGGACCCUAGCGUGCUCAACCAUUCCACGCCCAAAACAACAUCCGCACCUUCAAUCGGAAGAAGGUAAAAGGGAAUAGUAAAGGUAGAGUUAUGGAGAGAUAUGUCCACCAAUGGACAAACACCCUAGCACUUAAUGAACGCCCCAUUUCCAACCAUUACCGAGAGGGGUGGGCUAGGGGAUAUGGCUAGGUUUAAAUGGUGGGCAAUACGUGGUUGAAGAAUGUUGUGGGAGCUUCCCGAGUUAAUGAGGACGGUAACAGGGAGGUGAUGAAUUAGACCUGUGAAUUUGAGGGUUUUUGGGGAAAUAGUACCAGAUAGGGCUUGAGGUGAAAGGUGGAAGUGAAUAGUGUUGGUGUGGUCAUGUGUGGGGGAAAUCUCCUCGUUGGCUUCAGCUAGGAGUUAUGGGUCAUCUAAAAGGAGCAAAAAUCGAGAGGAAGUGCAUUUAUGGCCAGGGAAGAAUUUUUCGUCAUAGUUGUAGCAUAACCCUAGGGCUCGUCUCUCUUGCAUUUGUGAGGAGGAUAAACAUUUGAUGGGCAUAUGGGCUGGGGGUGGAGUGGGUGUGCUGGUUCUGUUAGUGAAUGAGGGAGUGGGGUUAGGGUGGUGAUAGGUAGGUGCUGGAAAUCGGAUUUGUUUAGGUUUAGAAUCCCUGAGUUUGUCCUCAAUAAGCUUAGCUAGAUCUAUGCCUUGGGCUAUAGAAUAUGGGUUCAAUAUGGUAAGUUCUCUGCAGAUUUCAACAUUCAGACCAGAAAUGAAACAAUUAAGUAUAGUUUCAAGAGUGAGACCCACCACACAAUUGCAUAAGCGUUCAAACCUGCCUUGGUAUUCAAUGACCGAUGUGGUUUGCUGGAGUUUGAACAACUCCACUUGAUGAUUGAUAUAUGUGGAGGGGCCAAAACGAAGCUCUAAAGCCCUUGUGAAGGAGUGCCAAUCUGUGAGUAGGUGGUUAUUGUGCAGCCAUUUAAACCAUGAGAGAGCGUCUCCCUGCAUAUGAAAUCCCACCAUAGGAAUGUGUUGGUCCAACGGUAUUUGAUAGAAGGAGAAAUAUUGGUCCGCUUGAAAAAGCCAAUCUAGUGGAUUUGUACCAUCAAAGAAAGAUAGGUUGAGUGUGGGUGGUCGUAUGGAAGGGGUGGUGGGAGGUUGCUGGUUUGAGUGAUUGGAAUGAGGGCUACUUUGUUGGUUCAUGUAUGGAAUUUUAGUCUCCGUUUGAGUCAAGAGAGCAACCUGAUCCAGGAUGGACGUGAAGGUAGAGUGAAAGUGGUCAUUCUGAGCCUCUAAGGUAGAUUGUCUGCUAGUGUUUUCGGCCAGUUGGCUUUGGAUGUUGGUGAGAUUUGUUUGGAUGUUGGCUAAGGCCUCGUUCAGAUCUUUUGAUGGAGGUUGGGGAGCCAUGGUAGGAACAAUGAAAGCACCAAAUUGUUAGGCUUUUGCUACUGUUAUUCUAAAACUAGGGUUACCAAAAACUUCUCAGCCUUCUUUGAUAUUGCUUAGAACCCUAUAAGGGUAAAAAAGGGGCCAUGGGCCUUACAAAAAAACCCUUUCAAUAAUAACAACAUAAUAAUAAUAAAAUGACAGACAUUUACUAAAGACACAUGAGUUUAUCCUAUUACAAAGUCCUUCAUCCAAUUGGGCUAUCUUUUUGGUCUUGUGCUUGUGUAUGGACCCAGUCUAACAGGAUACAAUGACAAGAAGAUUAUGAACAGUAAAAAUAUAGAAACACUUUCAUUUCUUUAGGUAUGGAUCUUACAACAAAGAAAUAAUAAAUAAACUUAAAAGAAGGAAUUGGUUAAGGUUCAACAAAGUAUAGCCUAUUCAUCCAACUGUCUACUAUAACUAUUGAGAGACUAAUGAACUAAAAACAACAAUAUAGAUGAUUAAACAAAUUAAGCAAAUUGUCCUUCUAGACCGUCUAACGAGAAUUUUAAUAACUUUAAAAUUAAGAAGUAUUAACUAAAAUACGUUGCUUAAAGUUAUUAAAAAAAUAUUACCCAAACAUUAAAAGAAAAAUGUGGCACAUUAUUUUUUAUUGACAAAGAAUAUACACUAAAAAAAAUUAUUAAAUCAACUAAUUUUAAAGACCAAAUAAUUAGUUACUAUUGAAUUAAAAUAGAGAUCAUUUUAGAUACUAAAAACAUUAUUAGUAUUUAAAGGAUUUUUUUAUUUAUAAAAAAUUAUAAAAUAAUUUUUAAAUUACUAUUUAAACAUUAGUUACCAAUAGUUAUUGAUAUUUUAAACAUUAAACUAUAAUGUUGUGUUACCUAUAAAGCUUAGACAUUCCUCUUAAAUAUGAUGUAUCAAUAACUAUGAGAAAGAAAAAUUAAUGUUGGUACUCCUUUGGUUUUGGAUGAGAAUACUAUGAGAAAGAAAAGGGGUAUGUUUGCUAGAGUACUGGUGGAUAUUGAUAUGUUGUCCCCUCUUCCUGAUCAUCUCUGGGUUGAACGCUCAGACUUUACCUUUGUAGCUGGUGUGGAAUAUGAAUGGCUCCCUCCGUUUUGUUCUCACUGUAAGGUGAUAGGCCAUGAGCUUGCUCAGUGCCGAGUGAUUCAUGAUCAGGGUCGUGCUCCUGGGUCUCAACAUAAAUCUUCUCAUAAGAUAAUUGAACGAGAUCAGGGGAGGACUGAGGUCCCCAAACAACGUAAAGAGUAUCGUAAAAAAGAUCCGCAGCCGAAGCACGUGGAAGGUUACACUGAUAAAUUGAACAUUAAUGCUUCUGCCGGAGCUAAAGCAGGGUCACUCUUGGAUUAUACUGCUCUUGAUAAACCAGGUGGAGUGGAGGACGNNNNNNNNNNNNNNNNNNNNNNNNNNNNNNNNNNNNNNNNNNNNNNNNNNNNNNNNNNNNNNNNNNNNNNNNNNNNNNNNNNNNNNNNNNNNNNNNNNNNCUAUAUCUCUAGGACUCUGAUCUACUAAAGACUAAUCCUAAAACUAAAAGAGGCACAUGCAUACACUUAGAUUGAGAUUGAUCUACAAGUUCAAAACUUUGACUCAGAAAAGGGUAAAAAUUGAACUUACUCUAUAAGAGAUUCUGAUCGGGCAAUCUUAUAGGAUUCACUGCCAGGAGUCCAAUGGCAGACUCCGAUCGUCAAACUGAUAAGCAAGAAGAUCAGAAUCUUAGAGAGAAUGGAGAGAAAAGAAAAAAGAGGAACAAAACUGAACUUACUCUAUAAGAGACUCUGAUCGGGCAGUCUUGUAGUCUUCGCUGCCAGGAGUCCAACGACAGACUCCGAUGGCCAAACUGAUAAGCGAGGAGAUCAGAAUCUUAGAGAGAAGGGAGAGGAAAGGAAAAAGGAAACUUUUAGAGAGAUGGUGGUUCUUUUAAAAUGAAACCUGAAUAACUGAAUUUUCUAUUUAUAUGUCAUUUCAUUUUAAUAAUAAAAUAUUCAGGUAUCAUUUAAAAUAUACCACUUCUACUCUAAGGUUAUUUUUUUUAGACCCUUACAAGUUCUUUCAUAAUAGACACGUGAGGGAUUUUUUUAAGUUGUCAUAGUUAAUAAACAUAAAAAUUUGAUUUCCAAUAAUUAUAAUGUACAUAUUAAGAAGUGGACUUUAAGUCUAACUCAACCCAUAAAACCGGCUCAACUCGUGUGUGACACUAUAUAUUAUGGGUGGUCCAAUAGCGGCCUGAUAACGGGUGGCACGAUAGACCCAACACAAACAAUCGCUAGAAUAGACUCGAAAUGACUCUGAUACCAUAUUAAGAAGUGGACUUUAAGCCUAACUCAACCCCAUAAAACCGACUCAUAGAGUUGAGGUUUGCACCCACUUAUAUACAAUGAAAUGCUUUAAUCUCAGUACAUAUAUAAUAUGUUUCGUAACUAACUAUAAAUAUGUAAUUUUAUGUCCUACAACAAAUAUAACUAUCAUGUUUUUUCAACAAUAUUUAAUACAUGUAUUUUGAAAUGGUGUGAUAAUACUUUAUGAGUUAUAAAGGGAUUGGUCAUAAAAAAAGACAUCUGAGACUUUUUUUAAUUGAUUUAAUUUUGAAUGAAUUCGUCGUAAAAAGAAAAAGAUGGUGGUAACAAUUUUAUAAUUAAUUUAAGGUAAAUAUAAUAAAUUUUUAUGAUGGUUUUAAGAUAAUCGCUAUCGUUUGUUCAUUAAAUUUUCAAUCUAUUUUUUUUUCAACUUUACUUAGUUAUUUUUUUUUCAUAUGCAAUUACGAAAUUUUUUAUAGUCACCACUCAUUAUUUCUAAUACAACACAAUUAUAGUCUCUUUUCUAAAAAAGAAAAAUAAAUAAUUGUGUCCGUAGUCUUAUGGGUUGAGUCCGAUCAAGCACAUUAAGUGAUCGUUUUUUAUAUUGUUAAUAAAAAAUAUUAAGGCUCGAUAUUAUUAGUAGAGAGAAUUGAUUGUUGUAGUGGCGCAAAUCUAGGGAUAUUAAAUAAAUAGUCCUUAUGAAUGAACUUAGGUCAAUAACACGAUCAGAUAUAGGAAAGAUAGGGGAAAACUCCAGUAUAUAUAAGAGGAAGGGCAAGAAAGGAAGACGGGUCACACACUCGGCUAAGUUAAUACACUUAUUCUUAACUUCCGAAUGUUUUAGUUUUAGAGAUCGUUCAUACUCUUGUCCGAACGUGUUAUUGUUGUGUUACCACGGUUAUCUUCAGUCUUUUACCACUAAAUUAAUAUAUAUUAAAAUAUUAUUUUUUUUAUCAACAAAGCAAUUAGAAAUAAUUCAACCGACUAUUUUGGAGUAUAGUUUUGUUCCAACAAAUUGUAUCUUUUAAUUCAAUAUAAUUAUCAUAAUUCAGCUUAUUUUCUUGAAAUAUUAUAAAUAAAAUUACAGAAAAGAAGAAAAGAAAAGAAAAAAAAUGAGGUGCAAAAGUCGAUGGAAGAAAAAUAAAUGCUAUUGAUAACUCUUCCCGUGACUUUAAAAAGCACAGACAUGGUGGGCUUUAACAAAAUGUUAGACUUUAAAAAGAAAAAAACUAGCACCACUAUUGAUUUUUUUUCAAUUUAGACAAUAAAAUGUUUCCUUUUUCAUUUUCUAACUGUAUUUUUUAGGCGUGCAUGGAAAAAGAUAAGAAAAAACAAAUAUAGAAAGAAUACAUGCAGUAAAGUGUAAUGCAUGUGCGAAUUCAUUGAAGUAAAAUAUAAUACAUGUGGCAUUUGAGUAAAGUGUAACAUCAGCUUACUAUUAAAUCUGAUAAAUUAGUUGCAUACCUACAUUAUUUCAUCGGCUAUAGUGUUUGUCUCUUUUGCUUCAAGACAACAAUAUUGUUCUUUUACUUUAAUCUCCAUUAAUCGAAUGUCGGCAUUCACUUAUCUAAACUCUUUCUUUUUUUUUUUAUUUCCUUCCAUACACAACAACAAAGGAUUAAUUAUUUUUUAAUUGAUUUUACCGACGUUAGGGAAAUAACCUGGCUUAAUUAAUGUGUAAAUAAAAGGAACACCCCUUCUGAUUUUUAUUAUAUUUUUUUUUUCAGAAAUAACCUUACAAAUUACAUUUAAAAGGAAAGUUGGGCAGCAAAUAGGCACGUGGAUAGUAUUAAUUAGUGAAUUAGACAACGAGCAUGUGGAGGGCUUUAAUUUUUGUAUUAAUUCGAAAAAUAGUGUAAAAAGAAAGGAUAUAUAUAUAUUCUCACUGAAAAAAUCCACCAUAUAAUAUUUUAUGUAUAUUCAUCAAUUAAUAUUCAUAUAACGAAUAAAUAAAAAAACUUUAAAAUAUUGACUUAGUUAUAGAAAAUAACAAAAAAGUAAAACUCGCUUCCUCAUCAAAAUAAUAUCGAACUAAAUUUUAUUAAUUUUCUAAUUAAUUAAAUUAAUUAUUUAUCUGGUUUAAAUCAUAUUGGUCUCUUAACCGAUGAAAUCCAGAAAGUACAAUAUAAAUAUAUAUUUAUUUAUUUAUUUAUUGAUGCAGUGAUGUGGGGACUACCCAUGUUCAAGUCCUGUCCUGAAACCAAUAUGGGAUUUGCUGAUUGUCUCGUCGCCGCAAAACAUGCGUUUUCAUGUAUUUAUGAGUGUUGGAUUGUUCCGUUGUGGUUAAUCCAUAUUCAUUUUCUGAAUGCUUCAACUUGGCACGCUUCUUCACACUUACUUUCUAAUUCAUGCAUCUUUCUUCAGUGGUGCUGCAAAUCCUGAAUAUCAAAUUAGGGAGAAGCCAAGUUAGGCUUUCCUUUAUUGGAUUGGAGGCGUUUAGCACACUGGAUAAUAAUGUCAAAUCACUCAUGAUUUUCUAGGUUAAAUAAUUUGGGAAUUCUUAUUACAAUAAUGUCAUUAAUUAGUGGACAACUUGGACUGCCGACUAGUUAACUUCCUCCAUGUUGGGCAGUUAGGUGGACCCCACGUUUUCUUCUUCACCUCAUUUUCCACCGUUCCUUCUUACUGUUACAUGAUACAUUGAAUUCAAUCUAUCAAUAUCCUUAUAGAAAUACAAGGAUGAAAAAUACAAACUACCUGGUUAGGGCUUUAUUUUAUCAAUUUCUGUAUAAGCUCUCGGUUCUUUUGUGAGGGUCGACAAACCUAGGCUAAAAUUUGUUUCUCUUUCUUCUUCUUUUCCUUCGAAAGUGUUUUUGCAAGUUCUAUACGGGAGAAAAAGAAAGAUCCAGAAACCAAACUAGAUCAUGUAUUCACUUGUGUUCUAAGUGGAGUUAAAAAGGGAUGUCAGAUAUUUGGUGAUGAUUAUGAUGAAUCUUUAUCUCGAUGAUAAGGACCCAACAUCUCAUACACAUUACCAAUUCAGCCGAUUCAUAAUAAUUUAUGCUUGAACUUCAUACUCACAUUAAGCUUAUUUAUCGAUUAUCACUAUCUCGUUCCAAACUAGCCAACAUACAAAUGCAUACCAUACAAUACAACAGUAUGAUCAAUGUACUCACAAAAGAAUGGUUUCUUAAAUCAUGAAAUAUAUAUCGAAUGAACAGAUUUUGUCAAUCGAGUUAUUUUUAUUUGAUCUGUUAAGGAAUUUGUUUCUACCUACUGGCUUGUACCUACCCAUGUUAAGGAAUUUAUCCUUGAUGGAUGUACCUGCAGGAUUUUCAUAUUGUUGUUAGUGUAACGUUCAAUUAUAAAUCGAUCAUCUCGUCGUCCUUAUCCUUUUGGAUCAAUUUGAGCUCAUUAAUCAUUGCAUGCCGUCGGAGGAAAAGUAACCACCGUCUUUCAGAAAAAGAAAGAAAAAUCCUUCGUUAACCUUUAUUGGUUUUGCUUAGUAUUUGGAUUGUUGCAGGUUUAAUGACUGAUAAAUUGUUAUCAGUCUCUUAUUGAUUAUAUAUAUAUAUAUAUAUAUAUAUUUGAGAUGAUUUUUUUAUUGGUAUUUAUAGAAGAAAAUCAUUGAAUAUAUGCACAAUAUAGUUAUUUGUGACUAAGUAGUUUACAUAAAAGAAUUAUAAAGAUAAUUUUUUAUAAGUGUUAAUUAAAGUUAAAAUCAAAUUUAAAUCAAAUAAAAAUUAUUAUAAAAUUUUAAUAAAUGAAAAAAAUAAAUUUCACAACAAAAAUACCUUAAAAUAAUUUAUUAAAAUUUAUAUUAAUUCAUUUUUCAUUUUUUAUUUAAAUUAUUUAUUCAUUUUAAUAUAAAAAAAUAGAUUAAAAAAUUGAAUUUAUUUAAUUAAUUGUUUUAAUAUUUUAUUUCAUUAUUCAUUUUAUUAUAAUAAUAAAAUAUAUUUAGAAAUAUUUAAUUAUUAUUAUUAUAUAUUACAUACCAAGUUAUAAAAUAUUUAAUAAAAAUUAAUUUAAAUUUUGAUUGAUUAAAUUUAUUUAUUUAUUUUCUUACGAGAUUAAUUAUUAAAUAUUAAAAUAGUUUAUUUUACAGAAAUGUUAAAAUUGAAAAUAUUAUAUUAUUUAUUUUAAUUUUUUAUUAUAUUAAAAUAGAAAAAAUUAAAUAUGUUAUUAUUUAGUUUACUCAAACUACACAAACCUCUUCUGGUUUUUUUUGCUGAACCUAUGGUGCCGUACACUGAUGUUUUUGAAGUCAUUUUCAAAUCUGUUAAUAUGCAUUUGGUGGCUACGUCUCCUAUUGUUAAUAAAGCUGCUAAGCUUUGGUGUUUGUCGGUUCCUAAUUUGGUUCGAAAUUUCUUGGUAAAUGAACAAUUUAUUUCUGUAACUUGUCAUUUGCAUGAUAAAUGUUUUAGUUUUGCAGGUGUUUAUGGUGCUACCACAUACGUGGCUAGACGGGUUUUGUGGAGGGAUCUUAGUUCCUUCAUAGGGUCUUGGUGUAUUAUGGGUGAUUUUAAUGCUGUGCUCUCAGCCGAUGACUGUAAAGGAGGGGUGGCUCCUAAUCAAGUUUCUUGCAAUGAAUUCCUUGAUUGGAUUAAUACUAAUGAUCUUUCUUGUAUGCCUUUUACCGGUACUUGCUAUACUUGGUGUAAUGGAAGGAGAGGGCUCCAUAGAAUUCAUAGAAAAUUGGAUAGGGCGUUAUGUAACGAAGUGUGUUUGGAUGAAUGGGAUUCUUGUACUUAUCAGGUUCUUGUUAUAAAUUGUUCUGAUCAUUCCCCUAUUCUUACUAGUCUUGCUAGUAAUUCUUUGAAGAAGGUUAGCAAUUUUCGUUUCUUUUCUAUGUGGCUUCAAGACGCUUCAUGUAUGAAGCUUAUUCAUGAUUCUUGGGCUAAUAAGGUUGUUGGUUGUCCUAUGUUUAUUUUACAUCAUAAGUUAAAAANNNNNNNNNNNNNNNNNNNNNNNNNNNNNNNNNNNNNNNNNNNNNNNNNNNNNNNNNNNNNNNNNNNNNNNNNNNNNNNNNNNNNNNNNNNNNNNNNNNNACUGGAAUAAAAAUUCUUUUGGUAAUGUUCACAAUGCAGUUCUUCUUAAACAGGGUCUUCUGCUUGGUAUUCAACAAAAUUUAGAGACUGCUAGUAUGUCUGAUAUUGAUGGACUUCUCUGUCAAGAAAGGAUCGCUAAAGAGGAGCUUGAUCAGGCUCUUCACUGUCAAUAUUUGUUUUGGAAAGAAAGGGCUAAAAUGCUUUGGUUUAAAGAUGGGGAUAGAAAUACUGCUUUUUUCCAUGCUGUGGUCAAGAGGAGGAAUAAUUUUAGUGGGAUUCAUCGUCUACGAAUUGAUAAUGUUGUUACUGAGGAUCCUACACUCAUUGAGGAACAUAUUUUGGACUUUUAUAAAACUCUUUAUGCCGAGUCUAUUUCUCAUGAUCAGGAUGCAAACAAUAUGGAAGAUUUUAUUGGUACUUAUAUUCCUGAGCUGGUUUCCUCUGAGGAGAAUAUGAUGUUGCUUAAAUGUCCUGAUUUUUUGGAGAUCAAGAAUGUUGUUUUUAACCUUAAUGGUAAUAAUGCUCCAGGUCCUGAUGGCUUUGGUGGUGUUUUUUAUCAUUCUUGUUGGGCUAUUAUUGGGACAAAUGUUUGUAAUGCAGUCCAACAGUUUUUUAAACAAAACUGGGUUCUCCCUGGAAUGAACAGUAAUGUGGUAUCUCUUAUUCCUAAGAUUCAGGGUGCUGAAUCUAUUAAAGAUUACAGGCCGAUUGCUGUUGCUAAUUUUAAAUUUAAGAUUAUUUUCAAGAUUUUGGCAGAUCGACUUGCUCUUGUGGCUGCCAGAAUUAUUUCUCCUAAUCAGUAUGGGUUUGUGCAGGGCAGACAGAUUCAAGAUUGUAUUAGUAUUGCUUCUGAAGCUAUUAACUUGCUUUCUAAAAAGGUUCACGGAGGCAAUGUGGCUUACAAAGUUGAUAUUCACAAAGCUUUUGACACUCUAAGUUGGAAAUUUUUACUAUCAGUUUUGUCACGCUUUGGUUUUCACCCCUCNNNNNNNNNNNNNNNNNNNNNNNNNNNNNNNNNNNNNNNNNNNNNNNNNNNNNNNNNNNNNNNNNNNNNNNNNNNNNNNNNNNNNNNNNNNNNNNNNNNNNNNNNNNNNNNNNNNNNNNNNNNNNNNNNNNNNNNNNNNNNNNNNNNNNNNNNNNNNNNNNNNNNNNNNNNNNNNNNNNNNNNNNNNNNNNNNNNNNNNNNNNNNNNNNNNNNNNNNNNNNNNNNNNNNNNNNNNNNNNNNNNNNNNNNNNNNNNNNNNNNNNNNNNNNNNNNNNNNNNNNNNNNNNNNNNNNNNNNNNNNNNNNNNNNNNNNNNNNNNNNNNNNNNNNNNNNNNNNNNNNNNNNNNNNNNNNNNNNNNNNNNNNNNNNNNNNNNNNNNNNNNNNNNNNNNNNNNNNNNNNNNNNNNNNNNNNNNNNNNNNNNNNNNNNNNNNNNNNNNNNNNNNNNNNNNNNNNNNNNNNNNNNNNNNNNNNNNNNNNNNNNNNNNNNNNNNNNNNNNNNNNNNNNNNNNNNNNNNNNNNNNNNNNNNNNNNNNNNNNNNNNNNNNNNNNNNNNNNNNNNNNNUCAGUUGGUGCCUUCUUCUGGGACUGAAGGCACUAGCUUAUAGUUUUAAUUUGUAUAAAUGGCCUGUUUCUCUUCUUAAGCAAGUUGAACAGUGGUGUCGAAAUUUUAUCUGGACUGGUGAUAUUCUGAAAAAAGGUAUAGCUACUGUUAAAUGGGAUACGAUUUGUUCUCCCCUUGAGAAUGGAGGUUUGAAAAUUAUUAACCUUCACCAUGAAAAUAAUGCUUAUCUUCUUAAGCUUGCUUGGAACUUUGCUUAUAGCAACAAGCCUUGGUCUCUGCUCUUGAAAGCUAAGGUCCUUAAAUCAAAAUAUGAGUUUCGAAUGGUUUAUAGAUCGUCAUCUCUUUGGCCUGGAAUUAAGCAGUUUUAUUCUACUAUACUUGAUUAUACUUCUUGGACUGUUGAUACAGGUUCUCUUAUUAAUUUUUGGAAUGAUAAAUGGUGUGCUACUUCUUCUUUAGCAAAUAUUGCAGGAUUAUCUGAUGGUGCUAGUAUUCCGGAUACAGUCUCUCAGUUUUGGACAGGUAGUGAUUGGAGUAUUCCAUUGUCUUUACAGCAGAUGCCUCAUCUUUUUAGUCAUAUCAUGGUUAGGGCGGUACAGGAUAUUCCUAAUUGGAUUCUAGAUGAGUCUGGUCGUCUCACUCUUAAAUCAGCUAGGACUUUUUUCUUGGAUCCAGGGGUUUCUUGUGGUUGGGGUAAAUUUAUUUGGUCUUCAUAUAUUCCGCCUUCCAAAACUCUUGUCCUUUGGAAAGUUUUUCAUGGGCGGCUUCCUACAGAUCAGCAUAUUCAAAAUAAAGGUUUGCAUAUUUGUUCUAUGUGUACGCUUUGUGAAAAGCACGAGGAAUCUAUUCAACAUUUAUUUUUUGAAUGUGCUAAUGCUUUGCGUAUUUGGAGUUGGGUUCAACACAUUUUUCCUACUUAUCAUUUCUCUAAUAAGGAUGAUCUUCUUUCUUUUAUUAAGAGUGAUGGUAGUCCGUUGGUUAAAUUAAUUAAGCUAGCUGUGAUAACUUUUUCUAUUUGGAUGAUAUGGCGUAUGAGGAAUUAUGCUCGUUUUCAGGAUAAGAUUGAGGUUUCUAGGGCUAUUUUGGUUAUUAAAGACUUAACUUGUCUAGUGGGUAAUUCGUCUANNNNNNNNNNNNNNNNNNNNNNNNNNNNNNNNNNNNNNNNNNNNNNNNNNNNNNNNNNNNNNNNNNNNNNNNNNNNNNNNNNNNNNNNNNNNNNNNNNNNGCUGAUAUGCCUUCUCCUGAAGAUGCCUCGGAUCAUGAAUCCAGCCAGGGAUUGCCCACUCACACUCGAAUUUCCCAGAAACGAGGACGCUAAGGAAUUCACCUGCCCUUAUGCAAGCCAAGGGCUCCGAUCAUGUGGAGGUCUUGACUCCUGUGGUGGUAUCACCUCAAUUACGUCCCAUCUCUCCUCAGCGGGUUAAAUCGCCUGUUCAUACUACAACCCUAUCCAAUACUCCAAUUGAUGGUCAUCAUGCGGAGGUCUCUGCUAUUGUGACUGUACCAUCCCCGUCGUUGGUGCUAAAAAAUCACUUCUCCUCUCUUGAUGGUUUAGACACUACUGAUGUGGGAGGUGAUCCUUAUAUUGGUACGUCUAGUGCCAUUGUUGAACCUCAUAAGGCUAAAUCUUCUGCGGAUGUUAAAGCACUAUCGUUGGUCCUACAAAAUCACUUUUCCUCUCUUGAUGGUUUGGAAAAUACAAAUGUUCUUUCAAAAUUUUGGGCUGAUCCCAACGAGAUGAAGGAGGAUGACAGUGAUACUGGGGAGGAAAUAGUUUGCACUAAAAGAAACCCAGGGAGACCACCUAAGAAGAGUGGUAAGUCCAAAAAAACUGCUAAGGCAGUUCUCUCCACACCGUCGCAAUGGAAGUCUCUUCAUUUUUCUGGAAUGUUAGAGGAUUGGGAAACCACAAAAAUGUGGAGAUGUUGAUUAGUUUACUCAAACUACACAAACCUCUUCUGGUUUUUCUUGCUGAACCUAUGGUGCCGUACACUGAUGUUUUUGAAGUCAUUUUCAAAUCUGUUAAUAUGCAUUUGGUGGCUACGUCUCCUAUUGUUAAUAAAGCUGCUAAGCUUUGGUGUUUGUCGGUUCCUAAUUUGGUUCGAAAUUUCUUGGUAAAUGAACAAUUUAUUUCUGUAACUUGUCAUUUGCAUGAUAAAUGUUUUAGUUUUGCAGGUGUUUAUGGUGCUACCACAUACAUGGCUAGACGGGUUUUGUGGAGGGAUCUUAGUUCCUUCAUAGGGUCUUGGUGUAUUAUGGGUGAUUUUAAUGUUGUGCUCUCAGCCGAUGACUGUAAAGGAUGGGUGGCUCCUAAUCAAGUUUCUUGCAAUGAAUUCCUUGAUUGGAUUAAUACUAAUGAUCUUUCUUGUAUGCCUUUUACCGGUACUUGCUAUACUUGGUGUAAUGGAAGGAGAGGGCUCCAUAGAAUUCAUAGAAAAUUGGAUAGGGCGUUAUGUAACGAAGUGUGUUUGGAUGAAUGGGAUUCUUGUACUUAUCAGGUUCUUGUUAAAAAUUGUUCUGAUCAUUCCCCUAUUCUUACUAGUCUUGCUAGUAAUUCUUUGAAGAAGGUUAGCAAUUUUCGUUUCUUUUCUAUGUGGCUUCAAGACGCUUCAUGUAUGAAGCUUAUUCAUGAUUCUUGGGCUAAUAAGGUUGUUGGUUGUCCUAUGUUUAUUUUACAUCAUAAGUUAAAAAGGUUGAAAGUUGAGCUACGUGACUGGAAUAAAAAUUCUUUUGGUAAUGUUCACAAUGCAGUUCUUCUUAAACAGGGUCUUCUGCUUGGUAUUCAACAAAAUUUAGAGACUGCUAGUAUGUCUGAUAUUGAUGGACUUCUCUGUCAAGAAAGGAUCGCUAAAGAGGAGCUUGAUCAGGCUCUUCACUGUCAAUAUUUGUUUUGGGUCGUUUUGCAACUACGCUCGAAAAUUUCCUGCCGUAGGCUAUUAGGNNNNNNNNNNNNNNNNNNNNNNNNNNNNNNNNNNNNNNNNNNNNNNNNNNNNNNNNNNNNNNNNNNNNNNNNNNNNNNNNNNNNNNNNNNNNNNNNNNNNUUCUUGAAGUUCAGACUGCUCUGGUUGCUGAGUUUUAUGGGGUUAUACAUGCUAUGGAGGAAGCUCAAAAGAUGGGGCUUACUAAUGUCUGGCUGGAAUGUGAUUCUGCUUUGGUUUGUGCUGCGUUUACUGCUAGGACAAAUGUUCCUUGGAUGCUUCGUAAUCGAUGGAAUGCUUGUCUUAAUUACUGUGGGAAAAUUAGGUUUACAGUUACUCAUAUUUUUCGUGAAGGAAAUGCGUGUGCUGAUAAGUUGGCUAAUUUAGGAUUUUUUUCAUAGAGAACCUUUUCUUUGGUAUAAUAGGCUUCCACCUUGUCUGUUCUUAGAAUUCUUUAUGAAUAGGUAUAGUCUACCUAUGUAUCGUUUUUGUUAACAUAUGGGUUUUGGUCUAGUCCCCCCGUAUUAUUGUAUUUUUUUUUCUUUUCUUUUUUCUUUUGUUUAAUAAUUUUUUUUUUUCAUGUGAUGGUAAAUGAUUGUUGUUACUUGAGGUGUCAGCCUAGCUGAGAUCUUAAGUGGCAUAGUGAUACCUAACAUGAAAGCUUUUAUUUAAAAAAAAAUUAUCAUGUAAAAGCUAAAAAUAUAAAACAUAAUUUUCUUGAGCAAAUAUAUAUUUAGAGUAUUAAUUGUUAAUAAGUUUCAUGGUCUCAAAUUAUUCCUAAGUUUCAAGAUAAUAAUAAUAACAAUUAUUACCAAGUUUCAUGGUCAGAUAAACUCACAUACAUGACUGCUUUCCUAAUAAUAAACUCACAUACAUGACUGCUUUCCUAAUAAUUCUCUACGAAAAGUCUUUUGUGGACAACCGGUAAAACAAAUGCGGCCCAUACAACCCUGACGUAGCAGGGAUUGGUAAUGUGGCAAAAGGGCAUAUUUAUCUUUUAAUUUCAUUAAUAAAAAUUUAAAAUUAUUGGUAAGUUAUCUGAGGAGUGUUUGUAACGUAAUUCAUCACGAGAGUGGAAAUGGGGAUAGAAUAUUUGUUUUAUACAAAAUUUUAUAAUAUUUUCCAUUUACUCAUGUGAAAGAAGAAAAAAUAAUCAAUUUACUUUAUAAGACAAUAACUUAUUUAUCGAAUUCGGUAAUAAAAAAUCAUACUUUUCAAAGAUUUUUAUGAUCAUAAAAGUUUCUCCAAUAUUUUUAUAUAUAAUUGUAUAAAGUUUAUAAGUAAGAAAAUAUUCACAUUUUAUACGCAUAUACACGCCAUAUUUUUUUUGUAAUUUCUUUUGAUGUUUUUUAAGUAUAUACUUUUUAUUCUUUAAUCUACAAAAUAUAACUUUUGAUUUAAUAAAAUAAGUAUUCAACAGCUUCUCUAUUAUCUAAAAUAACUAAAUAAUUUCCUAUUAAAAUAAGUAUUACAUGUUUUAUUUUAAUAUCAUUUUUAUAAAAUUAUAUAUAUAUAUAUUUAAUUUUAUUACCGUCAAAUUGUUUGAAUUAAAAAAAUAGAUAAAAAAAAUUGUUUGGAUGAAAAGAAAGAGUAAGAAAAGUUAUAUAAAAAUUUAUAGUAGAUUUUAUUAAUGUAAUAGAAAAAAAUUGGUUGCAUAUUAAUAUAUUUUGAGAAUAAUUUAUAAAAUUAAAUUUUAAAAAUAAUUUAGAGUAAAAGAUAAAAUUUUAAAUUAAAGUUAAAAUUAUUAUAAAUUUUUUGAUAAAUAAAAAAUGAUAUUUUAUACUAAAAAUAUAAUAAAAAAAUUAUCAAAAUUUAAUUGAAUAAUUAUUUUAAUAUUUUUAUUUUAAUUAUUGAUUUUAAUAUAGUAAUAAAUAUAUUUAUAAAUAUUUAAUUAUUAUAUCUUACAUAUUAAUAUUAAAAUAUAUAUUAAAAACUAAUUUAAAAUUUAACUAAUUAUUAAAUAUAAAAAUAUGUUAUUUUAUAAAAUUUUAAAAUUUAGUUUUUUAUUAUAUCAUAUUUUAAAAUAAAAAAAAAUUAUUUUAUUACACACUAAUAAACAUUAUACACACUGUACUUGAGAAACAAAUAAAUUAAUAUUUUAAUUAUAUUUAAUUUAUUUUUUAAUUAAAAAUAUUAUUAUAUUAUUAUAAUGGUUUUUGAAGUAAAUAUAUUUUACUUUUUAGUGUUAAUAAAAUAUUUUCCUCUACAGUUUCUUGAUGAUCCUAAUAUUAUUAGCUUUUAAGUUUAAGUUUCAUGCAUUGAACUUUGACAACUCUCAUGUACUAUAAAAAAAACUCACACAUGACUAAGGUAAAGUCAAUCAAAUAUUCUCACACCAACAACAUAUCACACAAAUCUAAGAUAUUUUUCAACACAGUCCUACCUAACAACUCAUUCAGUCCGUCAAACACUAUAACAAAAUACUUUAAAUUUUGUUUGUGCAAAAAUCCAACAAAUUCAGAAACACUGCCUUCAUUCACAUUUAUCGUCACGAUGUUGGUGCCAGCUUCGCCAACGUACAGUGUCUUUUUCAGAAGGUGAUGACAGAAGAUGGGAAGGACUUCAUUCAUUCUCAUUCAACAGCACACACCAAAAACACAUUCAAAACAACAACAAAAUAAAAUACAUGAGAAUUAGUAACUAAAAAAAGUUUUUACUAAAUCAAACAAAAUGUUAUUUAAACCUGGAAAAAGAGAUCAUAGACAUAAACCUGUGAGAGACAAAAAAAUUCAAUAAAAAAAUCUACCAGAGAAUAACUAAAAUGAUCUUGGUUUCAAUAAGUUGUUUCAACAAAAUCAUAAUCUUCAAUCCCAACCAAUUCACUUAGAAUAUUAGAAAAUUUAUCUUUUACUUUUUUUUUCAAAAAACUAUAUAUGAUAAGCUUUAAAAAUCCUGUAACUUCCUAAAUUCUUUUAAUAUACAAAUUUAAAUAAAGUAAAUUUGGUAAUAUUUUUUUGUAAAUUAUUAUUGAUAGCAAAAUUUAUAAAUAUUUCAUUAGGAUUUUUUUUAAAACAAAUUAGUAAAAUAUAUAUUUUUCUAAUAAUGUUCACUAAGGGUAGACAAAAAAUUUAAAUUGUAAAAUUUAAUCCAUAAUUAUUUAAAUCCAUAUUACUUUUAAUCAAUUUAUAUGGAUUUAUCUCACAUCUAAAUUCAUAAUUUUGAAUUUUAAGUUCAAUCCAUUUAAUUGGAUAUGGAUUAGAUAUAGAUAGGAUACAUUUUUUGAUUAUCCAAAAUGAAUUUUGGGUUGGAUUUUGACUUGACUCUGGCCUAGGUUGAGCCAAUUCAGUCUGGGCUCAGGUUAAGCAAAGUCAGCUUGAGUCCAUGUCGAGCCGAAUCCGCUCGGGUCAAAGUCGAGUCAAGUUAGUUUGGGCCAAAGUCGAGUCGAGUGAGUCCAUGCCAAACUCAAUUCGAGUCGGCCUAGGAGAAUGUCGAGCAAAGUAUGCCCAAACCAAAGUCGAGCCGAGUAAAUCCUAGCCCAAAUUGAGUUGAGUGGGCCAGAGCGCAAGUCAAGUCGGCAACAGACCCAUGUAACGCCAAGUCAACUUGGGCCCAUGUCGAGCCGAGUCGGCUUGGGCCAAUGUCGAGCAGAGUCAGCCAAGGCCCAUCUUGAGCCAAAUCCAUGUCAAACCAAGUCGACCCGCGUCUCUAUCGAGUCGAGUCAGCCCAGGCCCAUUUCAAGCUAGGUCGGCCUAGGCCGAUGUCAAUCCGAGUUGGCCCAGGCUGAUGUUGAGCCAAGUCAGUCCUGGACGAUGUUAAGCCAAGUCGGUCCAGGCCGAAGUCGAGCCGAGUUGGCUCAAACCCAUCUCGAGCUGAGUCAUCCCAAGCUCAUCUCGAGCCGAGUUGGUCUAUGCCAAUGUCGAGCUGAGUCAACCCGAUCAAUGUGGAGAUGAGUCGACCCAGUCGAUGUCAAGCCAAGUCUGUUUGGGCCCAUAAAGAGCCGAGUCAACCUGUUCCCAUGUCGAGUCGGGUUUGUCUAGGCCCAAGUCGAAUCGAGUCGGUCCGGGUCCAUGUUGAGCCGAAUGGUCUCAAGCCAAGGUCAAGUCAAGUCGGCUCAAGCUCAAGUAAGACCGAGUGGGCCCAAACCCAUAUUGACUUGGGCCCAAGUAAAGUUGUGUCAAUCCAGACCCAUGUUGAGUUGAGUCAAUUCGAGCCCAUGUUAAGUCAAGGUCCGGGCCCAUAUCGAGUCGAGUUAAUUCGGGUCCAUGUCGUGUUAGACCUUGCUGGUACCAAGUCGAUGCAAGUCGACCCAGAUCCAGGUCAACCCGAUUUGGUUUGGGUCCAUGUUCAAAUUAAAAUGAAUUUAAUCUAAUUGACAAAAUAAAUUUAAUCUAAUUUUAAUUCAUUUAAAAACUUUAAAAAAAAUUAAAAAAAUCAAAUAAUUUUCAUCUAAUUAAAGUGGAUAUGAAUUAUUUAUUUGGAUUUAGAUUGGAUUUAUAUUGAUUUUAAAAAAUCCAACACGAUCACUUCUAAUAUUUUUUUAAAGCUGGAAAUUAUAUGUCAAUUGUGUUGCCUGCCCACCCAGUCAAGAAGUCAACUCUAUUGCAUCUCUAUAAAAUGAUCAAAAUUCUUUUCUUAAACAACGAAUACUCCCACGUUUUUCUAUCAAAGAUGUCGAUUUUUUCAAAACAUUAUCCAUAAAUUUGAAUCUGUGUUUAAUAGAUGUACUAAUUAAUUAUUUUUUUGUUUUUAAAUUAAUCUAUAUUUAUUAAUGUUUUUAGUGAAAUAAGUAAGUCUUGAAAAUACAAACCAGUUUUAUUCUUUUAUUUUAUUUUAUUUAAUUUAGAAGAGUUCUUUUAGUGACCUUUAAAAAUAAAAUAUUAUACAUUACUUUAAUUUUAUUUAUUGUAAUAUUUAUUUACAAAAUGUAAUAGUGUUAUGUUUAUUUGUUGUAAUGCAAGAAAGUUCCAAUUUAAAAACCAGUGUGAAAACCUAUCUAAAAUUCAAUCCAUAUUUACAAAUUUGUCCAACUGAACAUGUGGAUCCUAUAUUAGAAUAAAAAAAUAAUUUUGCAAUCCAGUGUUGUUGCAUCACAUAGCAAUUCUCCAUAUAUAACUUUUCUACCUAUUUCCCAUUGCAGCUACGCAAUCACAUCAUGAAACUAAUUAAAAGUCAUCAAAGUGGUUGGGAAGAGAAACACUAUUCACUGAGGAUCCAGCUUCAACUUUCUUUCUUCUUUUUUUACAUGUGUUAUUCUAUACACUUAUUAUUUUCUUAUUAAAAAAAAGUCAAAGAGAAUAGGUUUCAAUGUGUUAAAUCAAAAUUAUUUUUCUUCUCCUUCAUUAAGUAUUUGUUUUUUUAUUUUUCUUCUCCUUCAAUGUGUAUGCAUGAUUUGAAUACAAGAUUUUAGACACCUAGAUAAGUUGUUGAUAAAGGAAAAAUAUUUAUUCACCUAAUGCUGUGGACAAUAAACUUCAAAUAUAUAUUAUUGUGCUGAAUAUUUUGGAGAGAAAUUAAUUAUUUAUAAUAAACAUAUUUCAUUUCAACUUGGCUUAUACAAUUUUGUAAUCCUAAUUCUUAGCCUGAUAAUUUAAAUUAAAUUGUUUGUUUUCACAUGUUUUUAUCAGCAAAAUAAUGUUAGAUUUUUAUAAAUGUAACGCUGAUCAUGACAUUUGAUACACAUAUUACCUGACAUUUGCUACACAUUAGUCUCUGCACUUCUUCUAGACAAUCCCCCGCAACCACUAACCGGCACUUAAAGACUAUAAUUAACACACCCUAAACCCUAAACAUCAAUAUACCACUAGACGACCUUGAAAGGUAAACCACGACACACAGCGACACUGAUGUUAAAUGUCCACAUGACAACUGGAUUAUAAAAAGGGUCCUUGAUUGAUCCUCAUGCAUACCUUUGUCUCAAUCUUUAAUCUCUUCUUCUUUUAGCAGUCGUCAAAAUCACGUUUCAACUUCUUCAUGGCUGAUGGUGUUUUUGGAAUGAGAGGUAGUGCAGUAAUUUUUAACACAGGCAAUAUCCAAAUAUGUAACAUGGCAAUAGAAACCAAUCCUGUUGAUGCCCUUGUUCCCUUCAUCUUCUUUGUACUUCUCGCUUUCCUCCAACUCAGAUAUCCAGAUAAUUCCACCCCAUUUCACCUUCAUCCAAACACCAUUUGGCUUUCCAUUCUUAGUUUUCUUCUUUAUUGCUUCUUCAUCUUCUCGGGUAACCUCAACUUUGGUAUCAGAGUUAAUCACUUUCAAACCCUCAAGCGUGUCUUCGCUUCACUCUCAUUGCUUUGCUUGCUGGUGCUGUUGCUACCCGACACUUGGGAAUGCUUCCACUUCGUUAUUUACAUUUUAUGGUUCAUCAUUCAUGUGCUCCUCGCUAUCAAAACCUACUUCAUGGAAACAAGGGUGCAACUUCGAAAUAUGAGGAGGGUGGUGCGUCCACUGUUACCAAUCACUUCAAUGGAUUUUAAUUUACUGCUUCAUCACUAGGUCUUGCUUUGUUAGAGUGUUGGAAGUGCGUCCUGUUACUCCUUUUCUUAUGUGUAUGGCAUAGGGAUAAUAAUUUACAUAAAAUUUUAGUAUCAAAGCACAAGACAGAAGGAGACAGUUCAUCAUCUUUUUGUAGAAUGUAAGAUUGCUUAGAAUAUAGCUAUUAUAUCACAAUGUUGUUUCAUUUACACUAGUUUGUGUUGUUUCAUUUCAAUGUUAAACGGAAUCGAGUUUGGAAAUGGGUAAGGAUAACUGUCAUAUGGAGCAUUUAGAACCAAAGAAUGAAAUGAUUUUUAAAGAAAUGAAGGUGGAUGUCUAAGAAAUUAGUAGUCUAGCUCAACUACAAGCUUAGAGGAGAAAAGUAACAAAUUUUACUUUAUCAUCGUUUUCGAGAACUAAGAGUGUGUUGAUUGUGCCCAGAGCAGAAGCAGGGAAAAGGCUCUUUAGAUGUCUGGAAAUAACUCAAUUGUUGCGGAAUGAGAUCUUCUUUUGCAGAGGCAAUGGCCUAUGAAUUCUAACAUGGCAUAACAAAAAUGGAGUUUACUAAAUAACUCAUGUAGGAAGUUACCCUUAGAAUUCAUAAAUUUUCUUAAACUAUCUAAUCUGCUCUUCAUUCUUACAAUUAAGUCCUCAAAUCAAUUCUUUAUUUUUAAUCAUAAGAGUAAUCUAUCAUAUGCCUAGUCAUGAAACCACAAUAUUGGUGAAAACUAUUUACUUAUUUUCUCACUUUAUUACUUAUACAAUAACACAUAUUUUCAUUUUUUAAAAACAAAAAGAAUGUUAGACAUACACGUCUCUCUAUAAAAAUAGUUUUCUGUAAAACAUACAAAAAGUACAUUUUCAAAAAAGCAUUUCUCUUGAAAAUAUAUAUUUUUUUUAAAAUAAACCAAAUAAAAAACAUUUUGAACUUCAAAUUUAAGAAAAAUGUAUUUUUCCCCAUAGGUGAGACACAUUAGUCACGCGAGAGGAAAUUGAUUAAGUAAAAAAGAGUCGUUAUUUGGUUUGGUACAAUGUGAGAGAAAAUUUAAUAAAAUUUAUUUUUGUAUAUUAAAUAAAAAUAAUUAUAAUUCAGUUUUUACACACACACAAUAAGCAAACACAAGAUUCCUAUUAAAUAACUGUUUUCACCUUUUAUAUAUGUUUAAUUCUUAAAUUGGAAUCAAGUUUUGCCUUUUUUUUGACCAAGUUACUACGUUUUGGUAUUAGUGUUAAAUAUCAUUGUCUCAUUUUAUAAUAGAAAUUUGAUUUCAUUACACAUAAGAUUACCAGAAUUACUAGUUAGAAAACUAAUAAUUUUAAAAUAAUGGUAAUAAAUAUAAAUUAAAAUAAUUAAAUAAAUUUAUUAUAUAAUAAUUUGUAUCAAAUAUUUUAUUAUAUUAUUAAUAAAAUGAAUAAAUAAAAAUUUAUAAUAAUAAAAAAAUAUAGUCAUUUACAAAAUUUGAAUUAAUUUAAAUAUACACACAAGUUUUUCAUAUUUUAUUAUUCAAAUAUUUUUUAAAAUAAAAAUAAAUUUAUUAAUUUAUAUUUUAUAUCAUUUAAAAAAUAAAAAAAAUCCAAAUACACUCUUUCUUCCUACUUUCCUUUCUUAAUGCUAUUUCCAUUGACACCGUUAUUACAAAGGGUCAUUUUCUAGGGUGUCAAUACGUAACAGUAUCCUUCGUUCAGUCAAGAGUCAAUCCUGUUAUUACUUUUUUAUUUAUUAAGUUUUUAUAAUAAUUUUUUGUUUUAAUUUAAAAUUUAUUUUAACUUUAAUUUAUAUUUUUUAAAAUCUAUUAAAUUUUUUUUUUUUAUAAUAUAUGCUUAUAAUUAUUAUAUUAAAUAUAUUAUAUUUUUAUGUUAUCAUUAUUUUAUUAAUAUUUAUAUUUAUAUUUAAUAAAAUAAAAUAAAUGAUUUUAUAAUUAAAUUAUUAUUAUUAAAAUAAACAAUAAUAAUAUAUAAAAUAAAUAAAAAUAUUAAUAAUAAAUUUAUAAAAUAAUAAUAAUAAUACAGUUAAAAUAAUUAUAAAUAAUAAAAAAUAUAAUUUUCUGUCACACUAUCCUCUGAAUCCACCCUCUGAAUCCACUUUAUUUUAAUCCCAACAAGUAUCAUUUUCUUUGAAUUUACUUUUUUCUUAUCCAAAGAGAAUAUAAGUGACCGAUGAUGGAUGCAACGGGGACUGGGGACUGGAUGAAGUGCUUAUUGAGUUCACACCUCACUAUUACUAUAAUAAUAUAAUAAUAUUUUAAUUAAAAAAUAAUAUAAAAAGUAUUAAAAUAUUAAUUUAUUACUAUGUAAGGGGUAUGCUUUCAUUAUUGAUGUUAAGACAAUGCUAUAAAAAAAGGUCAUCACUUACAUCCUCAUGCAUCUAUUUCUUUUAGCUGUCGUUAAAAUCACCUUUCAAUUUCUUCAUGGCUGAUCGUGCAUUUGGAAUGGGAGGUAAUGCAAUCAUUUUUAACACAGCCAAUAUCCAAAUAUGUAAGUGGGCAAUAUUACAAGCAGAUUAAUCUUUACAAAAAUAUUUUAUUACAAAAAUCUUUUAUUAACACCAUUUGUCACUAACACAGACUUGACACCGUUUGCGUGACAUUAAUUGACGUUGCAGACGUGAUAUUUGGUGAAAAUGUGACACUGAUUCUAUAUUAUAAUAUAUGACCCGUAGUACACGUAAAAUUGGUUACCCGUGUGUCUGUAAGUGGUUACUUAUGUGACGCACGCAAAAUUGGUUACCCGUGUGAUGGGGGAGGGCCCAAGCUCACCACACUAUGAAAGCCAAGCUUCCAAGGCUAGACCGUCUAGCCCAUGAUGAGGAGCGUCUAGACUCAAAAGGAGUGUCUAGCCCAUGCUGAGAAGCGUCUAGGCCAUGAUGAGGAGCGGCUACAUAAGGAGCGUCUAGGAGGACUCCUCACUACAAAAAAACUUGUAUAAUGCGGCGGUUUUAAUAUGGCGGUUAUUAAUAACCGCCACAAUCUGCCGUAUAAUACGACAUUUUAGUAACCGCCACAAUGAUCCUUUAGAAUAUGGCAUUUUUAACCGCCAUAAUUAUCCUCCAAAAUAAAAUUCCCGCUUUUGCUUUCCCUCCUAUACCAUUCCUCUUUAUUUUCAUUUAAAAAAAAUUAAAAAUUUGUUAAAAAUUAAUUUUGUUUUUGACCAGCCUUUGGACCAGCCUUGUCUCCCACUCUUUGGACCAACCUUGUCUCCCACUUUGGAAACCAACUUCUUCUCCCUCGUGUCUUCAUGAAACCAGCAGCAUUUUGUCUUCCUCUUCUUUGGAAACCAACAUUGUCUCCCACUUUGGAAACCGUCUUGUAGUGUCUUCAUGAAACCAGCACCUUCUGUUCUCCUUCUCCGCUAACGCAACCUUCACGACCCACGAAACCCUCAGGCGAGCUUCACGAAACCCUCUGUCCGCCAUUACCGCUCCGCUCAAGGUUGUUCCUCUGACCUUCAAGAAACCCUGAGUCCGCCAUUGCCGCCUUCGCGCCAGGUUUUUCAGGUCUGUGCUCACGAAACCCUAAACCUCUGUCUUGGGAGUGCUGAGACUACCAAGGCACAUAGGUUANNNNNNNNNNNNNNNNNNNNNNNNNNNNNNNNNNNNNNNNNNNNNNNNNNNNNNNNNNNNNNNNNNNNNNNNNNNNNNNNNNNNNNNNNNNNNNNNNNNNAUGUUGCCAUGUUCUAUUCUAAUUCAUGUAACAAAACAACUUCACUUCUAAUAAUUAUGAACUUCAAAAUAUUACCUACUAGGAGACGUUCUGGAUCUAACCCGUGAUUGUGAGAGGCAUUUGCUCGGGCUGAAUGAAUGACCUACAAUGUGUAGGAUUUUAAAACAAAUGCUACCAAUUUUGCUUUACCAUAUAGAAGGUAAUAGAAUAUAACCUUUCUCUCCACUGAAAAUGAAUAUAACUUGAAUCUAAAUAAUCAUAAAUUGUUGUGUUAAAUGCAGACAAAAUUGAAGUACGAGUGAGCAUACUUUAGAAUUUUAUAUUGGUCUUAUAAUUGGGAAAGUUAAAAGACAACUAGUGUUGCUACCUGAUAGACAAUUUUUGCUGCUCGUUUUAUUGUCAAUUCCAACUGCAUCAAUGCAUCUUUAACAAGCAUGCCACGAACCAGAGCAGCAACUAAGUUGACCUUCUUUGGACUCUAAAAUGCCACAGAAGACAGGGUAUAUAAAAAGUGUAAUCAGUCAGAUAUGAACCAGACCCUUAAACAAUCAAUUAGUUUACACAUCAAACCAAGGAAGGUAUUCCAAUAGCUUAAAAAAUAUGUUCUAACUUGUCUGCAAAAGUUGAUAACAGAUACUGAAUAUAGCAUUAUGAAAUAAAGCAUUACAACUUUUUAAUACUCCUAUUAUAGCUAUGCUGAAUAUACUUGUGAUGAUACUCUGAUACUUGUUUAUAUUGCCAAAUCAAAUCAAUGGUUUUCUUUAGCUUGCAUUAGUGCUUACUUGAAAACCAAACGCACAGAUGUGUGGGAACAUUGAAGGUUAGAAAUGGAGAGAUAAAAAAAUAUAGUAGAUACAGUCAAAGAAAGAGUGGUAAGUAGAAGUAGGAUGGGGAACUAUGAAACUGGGGGGCAAGAUGGAAUAUAAUUAUUUGAAUGUUAUAUAGAGACACAUUUUAAUAUUUUUAUUUAUCUAACAGAUUAGGAUCAUUUGGUAUCUUUAGUAACUGAAGUGUCCAUAGAUUUAGCNNNNNNNNNNNNNNNNNNNNNNNNNNNNNNNNNNNNNNNNNNNNNNNNNNNNNNNNNNNNNNNNNNNNNNNNNNNNNNNNNNNNNNNNNNNNNNNNNNNNGCAAUUGCUGAUUAAAAUAUUGAAAGUUGAGAUUGUAAUUAACUUCAGAAUUUGUUACUGUUGGAAUCACUCCUAACUUACCUAAGUUACAACCUCAUUGGGGAUUGCCUAAAUUGUUCUCAAAGGAGAUAUGACUAAAGUAGAGUAUAUACUCGGGUGCAAACCUUGAUUUAUAAGUCAUUUUUAUGAGUUUGAGUUAAACUUAUACCCAAAGAUUAGAAAUUAGACAUGUACUUGAUUUUGUCACAACACUCAACUGUUGAUGGUUCAAUCAACAGUUAUAACUACACUUUAUUGGCUUUGUUUUGCUACCUAAAUGAUGAUGGCUUAGUCUCACAUUGUUUAGUGAUAUGACUAAAGUACAGUACACAAGUGGGGUGAAUCCAAACCUUGAUUUACAAGCCAGUUUUAUAAGAUUAGGUUAGAGUUAUACCCAAAGUUUAGGAGUUACACAUGCACUUGAUUUUGUCAAAAACACUCAACUGUGGAUUGUUCGAUCAACAUUAUGUGUAUUGUAUUAGCUUGGUUGUAGAAGUACAAGCAUUGUUUAAAAGUAUGUCAUUUGGGUUUACAUAUUCACCUCUUUUUCAUCAGUAUUAUGCCAUAUUUAUAUAUAUAUAUAUAGCAGUUCUGAAAUGAUAUCAAAGAUGGUGCAAUUCUUGAGUUUGGCAGUGGCAGUUGCACUUGGAAAGAUGAAACUAGUCCAGUCCAACAGAGUACAGCAAAUUCUUUUACUUUCUCCACUCUCGAAAUGAUUUUAAAGGAAAAAAAAACAGUUUCCAUAAUAGCAUGCAGUUGAAUUAGUUUAAUUCAUAAAAUAAAAUUUAUUUCCUUUUUAAAAAUAUUUUUUGGCUUGUCAAUAGCACCCCGUGGAGUAGUGCAAUCACAGAACAGCAUUGUGGAGCGGCUAGAGAAUGCUACAAAUUGAAAAUUUCUAAAUACAUUCAUCACAUGCAUUAUACUGAAUGAAUAAAGUAGGAUCUGUUUCACUAUUUAAGUAAUUAAAAUACUUUUCCUUCGAUGUUGCCAUGUCUGGUAUAUUAAAUGUUAAAAGUUUUCAUUUGUACUUUUCGGCACUUAAAAUUGGAAUCAUUUCAUUCAAAAUUCGUUCAAUAUAUACUUGUUCAGGUCUACCAAACAUGCUCUUAAUGAAGGAAUACCAACUACUGCAUACAAGAAAACCAAAAGCAAACAAUCAUGAACACUGAUAUGCAUCNNNNNNNNNNNNNNNNNNNNNNNNNNNNNNNNNNNNNNNNNNNNNNNNNNNNNNNNNNNNNNNNNNNNNNNNNNNNNNNNNNNNNNNNNNNNNNNNNNNNUGCUUGAACUUUUUCUGGCUUAGUAACAGCUUUCUGCUUCUGAUCUUCACCUUUUGAACUACCCAAAGAUGAAACUGGGACUAAAGGUGACAAAACAGGUGUUUCCUCAGAUGAAUUUGCCAGUAAUGGAGUAGUGCUUGAAAUUCCCUGAAACGGAAAUAAUCAAGUAAUAAAAUAAAAAAGAUGAAGUUAAGAAGAGGGUUAACUACAAAAAGCAAGGGUUCAUGUCUUACUUCAACUUUUAUUAUAUAUUAGUCUUUACAGACUUAGUUUCAUUAAUUUGAAGAUGACCUGCACGUACUUAAAUUUUGAUUGCAUUGUGUUAGCUUAUAGAAUGAUAAUGGUUAUUUAUAAUGGUUAUUUGAUAAUGAUUAUUUAUAGAAUGAUUAAGAAAUUCAUAGAGACAACAAUUGAUCCAAACCAACUUGCAAAUUGGUUUGGAUCUAACUUUAUAUUCAACCAUCCAGAUCUGUUUUGAAGCGUAUAGAUUGGUUGUAUAAUUAAAAUUUUGUUUGUGUGACCCAUAAAAUUUACCAAAAGCUAGUUUGGUAAAUGUAGGUUAUGAUUAACUAUUUUAUGUAGUUAACACAUUUAUGUAAGUAAUUUUUUGUUAUGGUGUUUUGUUUUGUAGUCAUGCCAAUUGAUAAAAGUUGGAUUUCUAAACCACGAAACACCAUUGAAUAUGCAAAUGGUUUGAAUGAAUUUUUGGAAUUUGCAUUUGGACAUGCUAAUGGUCUUGUCAUNNNNNNNNNNNNNNNNNNNNNNNNNNNNNNNNNNNNNNNNNNNNNNNNNNNNNNNNNNNNNNNNNNNNNNNNNNNNNNNNNNNNNNNNNNNNNNNNNNNNNNNNNNNNNNNNNNNNNNNNNNNNNNNNNNNNNNNNNNNNNNNNNNNNNNNNNNNNNNNNNNNNNNNNNNNNNNNNNNNNNNNNNNNNNNNNNNNNNNNNNNNNNNNNNNNNNNNNNNNNNNNNNNNNNNNNNNNNNNNNNNNNNNNNNNNNNNNNNNNNNNNNNNNNNNNNNNNNNNNNNNNNNNNNNNNNNNNNNNNNNNNNNNNNNNNNNNNNNNNNNNNNNNNNNNNNNNNNNNNNNNNNNNNNNNNNNNNNNNNNNNNNNNNNNNNNNNNNNNNNNNNNNNNNNNNNNNNNNNNNNNNNNNNNNNNNNNNNNNNNNNNNNNNNNNNNNNNNNNNNNNNNNNNNNNNNNNNNNNNNNNNNNNNNNNNNGAACAUGCUAAGUUUCCUAACUCAUUUUAUGAGGCCAAGAAUGUGAUUAACAAACUUGGUCUUAAUUAUGUCAAAAUACCAGCUUGUCCAAAAGAUUGCAUGCUAUAUUGGGGUGAAGAUAAUGAAAGCUUAGAAGAAUGUAAACGGUGCAAAAUGUCUAAGUGGAAAGAUAAAGAUAAGAAACAAUAUGCAAAGAUCUUGCGUUACUUUCCAUUGAAGUCAAGAUUGCAACGAUUGUUUAUGAGUUCUAAGACAACUGAAUCUAUGACAUGGCAUGCAUCAGAGGAUAUCCAGGAUGGGUUGAUGAGGCAUCCUAGAGAUUCUGAGGCUUGGAAAGCAUUUGAUGUAUUACAUCCAGAAUUUGCAAAUGAUCCUCGAAAUGUACGACUGGGCUUAGCUAGUGAUGGCUUCAACCCUUUCGGAACCAUGAGUACAAGCUAUAGUAUAUGGCCAGUAGUCCUCAUCCCAUACAAUCGUCCUCCUUGGGAGUGUAUGAAGCAAACCUCUUUUAUCCUAUCCAUGAUAAUUCCUGGAAAACAAAUGACAGGAAACGACAUUGAUGUAUACUUACAACCACUCAUAAAAGAAUUAAAGGAGCUCUGGUUCGAUGGAGUGCAAACUUUUGAUUAUUCGAAAAAAGAAAUGUUUACAUUGCGAGCGGCUUUGUUGUGGACAAUUAGUGACUUCCCUGGCCUAGGCAAUUUAUCUGGAUGGAACACGCACACUGGUCUUGCUUGCCCAACUUGUAACUUUGACACUGAGUCUUCUUUGUUGUAUANNNNNNNNNNNNNNNNNNNNNNNNNNNNNNNNNNNNNNNNNNNNNNNNNNNNNNNNNNNNNNNNNNNNNNNNNNNNNNNNNNNNNNNNNNNNNNNNNNNNNNNNNNNNNNNNNNNNNNNNNNNNNNNNNNNNNNNNNNNNNNNNNNNNNNNNNNNNNNNNNNNNNNNNNNNNNNNNNNNNNNNNNNNNNNNNNNNNNNNNNNNNNNNNNNNNNNNNNNNNNNNNNNNNNNNNNNNNNNNNNNNNNNNNNNNNNNNNNNNNNNNNNNNNNNNNNNNNNNNNNNNNNNNNNNNNNNNNNNNNNNNNNNNNNNNNNNNNNNNNNNNNNNNNNNNNNNNNNNNNNNNNNNNNNNNNNNNNNNNNNNNNNNNNNNNNNNNNNNNNNNNNNNNNNNNNNNNNNNNNNNNNNNNNNNNNNGAAAUGGGUAUAAGGAAUGAACUUUGGCCAGAUGAAAGAGGAAGAUUUCGGCCAAGUGUGUUUUCAUUGUCAAAACCAAAGAAAAAAACGUUUUUACAAACACUGAAAGAUGUGAAAAUGCCAGAUGGAUACUCGAGUAAUAUUUCAAGGUGUAUUGAUUUGAAAGCUGGAAAGAUUUUUGGCCUUAAGAGUCAUGAUUGUCAUAUUCUUAUGGAACAUUUGCUACCCAUUGCCAUACGUAAUGUUUUACCAAACAAUGUGACUGCAGUGAUAGUAGAACUAUGUUCAUUUUUUCGACAAUUAUGUGGCAAAAGUUUAAGCCAAACCGAACUUGAUAAACUUCAGUCCCGCAUCAUUGAAACUCUUUGCCACAUGGAAAUGUUGUUCCCUCCUACCUUUUUUACAGUUAUGGUGCACUUAACUUGUCACUUAGUUGGUGAGGCCAAACUUGGAGGCCCGGUUCAUUAUCGUUGGAUGUAUCCCAUAGAAAGGUAAAUGUUUUUGGCACACAUAGAUUUUGAAGUUUUUUUAAGCUUCAUAUUUGAUUAUCCUAAUUGAAAAAUUAUUUUAUAGGUAUUUUGGACAUUUAAAAUUAUAUGUUCGAAACAAGGCACAACCUGAAGGUUCCAUUGUCGAAGGAUACCUAGCUGAAGAGGUUCUGACCUUUACCUCUGAAUAAAUGGAAGGGGUUGAGACAAGAAAUAACAGGCCUUCACGUGUGGAUGAUUCUUGUAAUACAAAUAUGCCACAAUUGAGUACCAUUUUCCCACCAAUUGGUAGAGUAGUAAGUGCCUCUUCAACUUUUGAGUUGUCAACCAUGCAAAGAACUCAAGCACAUCGAUAUGUGUUAUUUAAUUGCCCUGAAGUUACCCCUUUCAUUCAGUGAGUGUUAACACAACUAUAAAUUUAAUUAUAUUCAAAAUGUGUCCUUAAUGGAAUCAUUAGUAACACAUUGGUUAUGAUUAUUUUCUUAGGGAAUUUAAAAGUCAUUUGCGAAGGAGGUUUAGAGGGAGAAGAAUUUCAAAUAUAGAGAUAGAAAUGAUUGUUAAUAAGGAUUUCAUGAAUUGGUUUCCUCAAAGGGUACGUAGAAACUGCUUUUAUAAUUGUUUUAUUAAAGUUUGUAACAUAUGUUCACAUAUUCAAUCCUUAUUUUUGUAGAUUAAUAACCCAGACAUUUCAAGUACAGUGUCAAAUGAUCUUAAGUAUCUAUCUCAAGGUCCGACUCCACAUGCUAGAAGAUUUUCUGCCUUCAAUGUAAAUGGAUUCAAGUUUAGGACCGAAAGUCGAGAACAUGGGUUAAAAACCCAAAACAGUGGAGUUUACUUAACUUCAUCAACAUCAUGUGUUGCAAGUAUGGCUGAUCAAAACAUUAGGGAAGCGGAUUUGGCAUACUAUGGAAAAUUAGAAGAUAUAAUUGAGCUUAAUUACUAUGGUCGUUUUAAAGUGACAUUGUUCAAAUGUAAAUGGGCUGACACCACAAGAGAUAGGGGGCUUAGAAAGGAUCCGUGGGGUUUUACUUCUAUUACUUUUUCAAGAUUAAUUCACAUGGGAGAUCGUGAGGAGCAUGAUCCAUAUAUUGNNNNNNNNNNNNNNNNNNNNNNNNNNNNNNNNNNNNNNNNNNNNNNNNNNNNNNNNNNNNNNNNNNNNNNNNNNNNNNNNNNNNNNNNNNNNNNNNNNNNNNNNNNNNNNNNNNNNNNNNNNNNNNNNNNNNNNNNNNNNNNNNNNNNNNNNNNNNNNNNNNNNNNNNNNNNNNNNNNNNNNNNNNNNNNNNNNNNNNNNNNNNNNNNNNNNNNNNNNNNNNNNNNNNNNNNNNNNNNNNNNNNNNNNNNNNNNNNNNNNNNNNNNNNNNNNNNNNNNNNNNNNNNNNNNNNNNNNNNNNNNNNNNNNNNNNNNNNNNNNNNNNNNNNNNNNNNNNNNNNNNNNNNNNNNNNNNNNNNNNNNNNNNNNNNNNNNNNNNNNNNNNNNNNNNNNNNNNNNNNNNNNNNNNNNNNNNNNNNNNNNNNNNNNNNNNNNNNNNNNNNNNNNNNNNNNNNNNNNNNNNNNNNNNNNNNNNNNNNNNNNNNNNNNNNNNNNNNNNNNNNNNNNNNNNNNNNNNNNNNNNNNNNNNNNNNNNNNNNNNNNNNNNNNNNNNNNNNNNNNNNNNNNNNNNNNNNNNNNNNNNNNNNNNNNNNNNNNNNNNNNNNNNNNNNNNNNNNNNNNNNNNNNNNNNNNNNNNNNNNNNNNNNNNNNNNNNNNNNNNNNNNNNNNNNNNNNNNNNNNNNNNNNNNNNNNNNNNNNNNNNNNNNNNNNNNNNNNNNNNNNNNNNNNNNNNNNNNNNNNNNNNNNNNNNNNNNNNNNNNNNNNNNNNNNNNNNNNNNNNNNNNNNNNNNNNNNNNNNNNNNNNNNNNNNNNNNNNNNNNNNNNNNNNNNNNNNNNNNNNNNNNNNNNNNNNNNNNNNNNNNNNNNNNNNNNNNNNNNNNNNNNNNNNNNNNNNNNNNNNNNNNNNNNNNNNNNNNNNNNNNNNNNNNNNNNNNNNNNNNNNNNNNNNNNNNNNNNNNNNNNNNNNNNNNNNNNNNNNNNNNNNNNNNNNNNNNNNNNNNNNNNNNNNNNNNNNNNNNNNNNNNNNNNNNNNNNNNNNNNNNNNNNNNNNNNNNNNNNNNNNNNNNNNNNNNNNNNNNNNNNNNNNNNNNNNNNNNNNNNNNNNNNNNNNNNNNNNNNNNNNNNNNNNNNNNNNNNNNNNNNNNNNNNNNNNNNNNNNNNNNNNNNNNNNNNNNNNNNNNNNNNNNNNNNNNNNNNNNNNNNNNNNNNNNNNNNNNNNNNNNNNNNNNNNNNNNNNNNNNNNNNNNNNNNNNNNNNNNNNNNNNNNNNNNNNNNNNNNNNNNNNNNNNNNNNNNNNNNNNNNNNNNNNNNNNNNNNNNNNNNNNNNNNNNNNNNNNNNNNNNNNNNNNNNNNNNNNNNNNNNNNNNNNNNNNNNNNNNNNNNNNNNNNNNNNNNNNNNNNNNNNNNNNNNNNNNNNNNNNNNNNNNNNNNNNNNNNNNNNNNNNNNNNNNNNNNNNNNNNNNNNNNNNNNNNNNNNNNNNNNNNNNNNNNNNNNNNNNNNNNNNNNNNNNNNNNNNNNNNNNNNNNNNNNNNNNNNNNNNNNNNNNNNNNNNNNNNNNNNNNNNNNNNNNNNNNNNNNNNNNNNNNNNNNNNNNNNNNNNNNNNNNNNNNNNNNNNNNNNNNNNNNNNNNNNNNNNNNNNNNNNNNNNNNNNNNNNNNNNNNNNNNNNNNNNNNNNNNNNNNNNNNNNNNNNNNNNNNNNNNNNNNNNNNNNNNNNNNNNNNNNNNNNNNNNNNNNNNNNNNNNNNNNNNNNNNNNNNNNNNNNNNNNNNNNNNNNNNNNNNNNNNNNNNNNNNNNNNNNNNNNNNNNNNNNNNNNNNNNNNNNNNNNNNNNNNNNNNNNNNNNNNNNNNNNNNNNNNNNNNNNNNNNNNNNNNNNNNNNNNNNNNNNNNNNNNNNNNNNNNNNNNNNNNNNNNNNNNNNNNNNNNNNNNNNNNNNNNNNNNNNNNNNNNNNNNNNNNNNNNNNNNNNNNNNNNNNNNNNNNNNNNNNNNNNNNNNNNNNNNNNNNNNNNNNNNNNNNNNNNNNNNNNNNNNNNNNNNNNNNNNNNNNNNNNNNNNNNNNNNNNNNNNNNNNNNNNNNNNNNNNNNNNNNNNNNNNNNNNNNNNNNNNNNNNNNNNNNNNNNNNNNNNNNNNNNNNNNNNNNNNNNNNNNNNNNNNNNNNNNNNNNNNNNNNNNNNNNNNNNNNNNNNNNNNNNNNNNNNNNNNNNNNNNNNNNNNNNNNNNNNNNNNNNNNNNNNNNNNNNNNNNNNNNNNNNNNNNNNNNNNNNNNNNNNNNNNNNNNNNNNNNNNNNNNNNNNNNNNNNNNNNNNNNNNNNNNNNNNNNNNNNNNNNNNNNNNNNNNNNNNNNNNNNNNNNNNNNNNNNNNNNNNNNNNNNNNNNNNNNNNNNNNNNNNNNNNNNNNNNNNNNNNNNNNNNNNNNNNNNNNNNNNNNNNNNNNNNNNNNNNNNNNNNNNNNNNNNNNNNNNNNNNNNNNNNNNNNNNNNNNNNNNNNNNNNNNNNNNNNNNNNNNNNNNNNNNNNNNNNNNNNNNNNNNNNNNNNNNNNNNNNNNNNNNNNNNNNNNNNNNNNNNNNNNNNNNNNNNNNNNNNNNNNNNNNNNNNNNNNNNNNNNNNNNNNNNNNNNNNNNNNNNNNNNNNNNNNNNNNNNNNNNNNNNNNNNNNNNNNNNNNNNNNNNNNNNNNNNNNNNNNNNNNNNNNNNNNNNNNNNNNNNNNNNNNNNNNNNNNNNNNNNNNNNNNNNNNNNNNNNNNNNNNNNNNNNNNNNNNNNNNNNNNNNNNNNNNNNNNNNNNNNNNNNNNNNNNNNNNNNNNNNNNNNNNNNNNNNNNNNNNNNNNNNNNNNNNNNNNNNNAUAUGGAGCUUGUCCUACCCUUGCUUUCAAGAAAUCCACAACAAGGGUAAGCAAUAUGAAUAAUGGUUCCUCUAGUGGUGGGUCUUCAACAAAUGUUGAAGAAAAGGUAGAAAAGAUGGCAACAGAACUUGCAGUUGUAAGGAGCCAAAUGCAUAUUAUGCUAGCCUACAUUGCUUCUAGACCAGACGUGCCGGAACAUUUUGCUGCAAUGGCAGCAAAUUUGGUACAAGCAUCUAUUAAUGAGGUAUAAAUUACUAUACUUAAAAUUUUAUUAUAAUAUUGUUUUCAUUUAUUUUUUAAAAAUUGUCAAUUAAUUUUAAACAUAUUUUAACUUAUUCCAGGCACCGGAUGUUGCUAGUGGUGCUCCAUCACCAAACCAGAAUAUAAGAUCAAGUGGGGGGGAGUAAGACAAACUAGGAUUGAGAAUUUACUUGUAAUAUGUUUAGAAAAUGAAACAAUUUACAUUUUGACAAUUUAAUUUACUUGUUGUUUGGAUUAGUUUGACAUUAUCAACUUUGUUAUUUCAAUGAAUGAAUGAACUCAUCUUUUGAUUAUUAUAUUUCUCAAUUUUAAAUAUAUUAUGAAAUUAGUUUAUGUUAUAACUUAAUUAUANNNNNNNNNNNNNNNNNNNNNNNNNNNNNNNNNNNNNNNNNNNNNNNNNNNNNNNNNNNNNNNNNNNNNNNNNNNNNNNNNNNNNNNNNNNNNNNNNNNNNNNNNNNNNNNNNNNNNNNNNNNNNNNNNNNNNNNNNNNNNNNNNNNNNNNNNNNNNNNNNNNNNNNNNNNNNNNNNNNNNNNNNNNNNNNNNNNNNNNNNNNNNNNNNNNNNNNNNNNNNNNNNNNNNNNNNNNNNNNNNNNNNNUACGUAAGAAUUGGUUUUCCCAAUUUUAAAAUUACGACAUUUAUAACGGACGUCAAUUGCCCGUUUAAAACCGCCACAUUAUACAAUGCAUACUAUGGCGUCUGCUACAACGGUUCUCAUUUGACCGCCACAUUAAACUUUGUGGCGGCAAGAAUUCUGGCGGUACGCAAUACCGCCACAGACGUAUAAUGCGGCGGUUAAAAACGCCAGUUUUUACGAAAAUAACCGCCGCAUUAUACACGUUUUUUUGUAGUGCCUAGACCGUCUAGGAUCAAGCACCUUCACAUACACAUGGGUCAAGCUACGGUUUUGGGAAGAGAAGACCUUGUAAUUGUUACAUGGAGGCCCAUUAAGGGUGCCUUAGUAAUUAGAGUAGUGUAUAAAGCAUAAACUUGUCUUACACAUGAUUUACCCUAGAUUUUGUGCACAUUCUAGAAGCUUGCUCACUUGGCCGGCCAUGUGCCCAUGUGCUACCAUGUGGAUUCAUUUGCAUUUCAUUUGAGAAGCAUUUCAUCUUCUCUUAGCUUAGGAAUUACGACCUCCUUGGCUAUAAAAGGAGAUGCUUGGCUCAUGUAUUUGCAAGAUUAAUGAGAGUAAAGUUAUGCUGCCAACAUUGUGUCAUACUUUGCUUCUACCUAGUUUCUUGGACCUAAUCUUCAUCUUCCUCACUUUCCAUAGGGUUGGCCGAACCUCCCUACUUCCAUACACAUCAUGCACCUUCAAGAUCACCAUAGCUCCUAGGAGGAUCUUGCACAUUUACAUCCAUGGCUUCCGCACCAUUUUUCACAUGAUUUCGAGAAGAGCUUCAUGAAUUUGCCAUCAUUUGGUAUCAUGAGCAUAGGUUCUUCAAAGAUGAGUAGUUCUUGGUCUUUUCAUUUUGAGUUCUUCUUUAUUUCAUGUUGUUCAUCUUGUUUCCAUAAUUGUCUUGCUGUUUUUUAAAUUUUAAUUUGUUUUGGUGUGCUAUUUGGAAGAUCCAACCGAUGCACUUUGUUCAAUUGAUCUUGAACAAUCCUUGUGCAAUUUGUGAUAGGAUUCCAUAUACCUUGAGUUGCUGUUUUUUUAUUUUAGGUAUUUGAGUCUUUAUUGCACUUUUAUUUGGCUUGAUUGUUUCUUGAUUUUGGUCUAAAUAUUUGCUUUGAAUCUGCUGUGAUUUUGAUCUUUUGGUGCCUUUUAUUUUUUAGCUUGAGUUCAUAUUUGUGUUUAGAUCUUACACAAAUUCGUUUUCAUCAAUUCCAUUGUGUUUAAAUUUUGGUAUCUUGCUGUUUUUGUUUCCAGUUUUUCCAGAAUCCCCUGUUUUACAUUCUCUGUGCUGGCUGUUUUGUUCCAGAAAAAUAUUUUCACUCAUAGGAAAUUUUUUAUUCUCUGGAAUAUGCAAGAUUAGGGUGUUACAGAAAAGACAAAAAAAGAAUCAGCUCAAAAGAAUCAAUAGACAAAAAAUGAUAAAUAUUUUAAAAUUAGUGUGCAAAUCUGGGCGCUACAGUUGGCGUAACUGAACACUGAAAUUGAAAAAUUUAUUAAAAAAAAUGGUUCAUGCGUUUGGAGUGAUUCCAACGCCAGAUUUUAGCUAAGAUCUUGAAUAUUUUGCAUAUCAAUUUUCAUAAUCAAAUCUAAAAAGCACAGCUCAGCAUAAAUUGGGGAAAAACACUUUCUUUGGCCCACAAUAUUUUCCAGUGGUGCUGUUUUUUAUUUUUGAAAUCUAUUCUAGUGCUAUUCUUAGGAUUCAUUUUGUGUGCCUACCUUUAUUUGAGUACCUUUAUUUGCUUGUCUAAUAUUUCUUGGAACUCUUUCUAGUUGUCAUAAUCUAACUCCAUUUAUGUGGUACUGUUUUUCCAAUUAAUUUGUUUCUUGCUCUCAUUCUUUGGCCUCUAAAUUUGGUGCUGGAAUUUAUUCUCUUUUGGUGUUUAUUUGAGUGGAAAUUUGACUUGGGUAAGGUCUAGUCUUCUUGAUAGGUGCUGGAAUUGGAGAAUUAAGUCCUUAAUUCUAAGGGGAACAAAGGCAAAGGCAGAAUCAAACACUUCUAAAAACACCACAAACACUUGGAGGGCCCAACAAGGAAAGACAACCAAGGAAGUGUCAUUAGCAAAAAAAAAAAAGAUCAACAAAGGGAGUUUUCUUAAUUCUUGUCUUUGCUACUUAACUUGUGUUAAUUACUUCUUUAAUUACGUGAUUAGACAGUGAGUGUGUCUUCAAGGGCUCCAAGUGUCCAAGAAGUCUCACUUAGGGCCGACUGGUGUAGAGUUUUAUAAUUAGCAAUUGUUCAUUGUUUAAACCGCACUUCCUAGCAUAAUUAGCUACGCUUUUGAUGUAUGUUGUCUUGUUUAAGCUUUGUUAUUUCGUCUAGCUUGGUUAAUUAGUUAGCUUGCAUUGUUUUCUUGCAUUAAAAUCUGUUUUCUCAACUUAAUUGUGUUCUAAGUGAUUUACUAAGAGAAAGCUUUGUGUGAAGACAUUGAGGGAUAGUUUUUGGCAAGGCAAAGGCUUGGUAUUUAAGUAGUCCUUUGUGACUCACCUCCCUUACCUGGAAAACUACCUUCUUUGACUUUCCUAAAUUUUCUCAAGGUAAAAUACUUGUAUACACAAAGCUUUAGCCAUGUCUUCUUCUUCUCACUCUCCAAAGUCUAUUGAAAGUGAAGUAAAAUCUUUGAAAACUCUUUUGAAAGAAGUUUCACAAGCUGUGCAAAUGAUUUCUUUUAGACAAUUGGAGAAUGAGACUAAAAUUAAUGAGUUGGCUAGAGCCCAAGAAGAGAAAUCACAAAAAUAAAAAUAAAAACUCAUACUCAUGCCUCUCAUUCAAAAAAAGAUGAGUCUCUAGGGGAGGGAAGCCUUAGAAUACAUGAUUACUACCAACCACCCCCUAUGAGAGAUAGAAGAAGAGAGGAAGAGAGCCCAAGGGAAGUAAGGGUAGACCUACCCCAUUUCUAUGGUAAGGAAGAUGUAGAGGCCUACCUAGAUUGGGAGAUGAAAGUAGAACAACUCUUUGCUUGCCAUAGGGUGAGUGAAGAACGUAAGGUACCCUUAGAACAGAUUUAUUUUUGUACUGUUUUAAAACUUUUAAGAGCUCUUUCAAAAGCUUCUCUAAGCAGACGACGAUCGUAGAUGGCAACCCAUAGCAUGAUCGCCGGAAAAAAACGGCGAUGAAUAGUAUGAUCACCGAUUGAGGAAAAGCCGUUCCCCAUAAGUGAGUAGUUGGUAGUCGCCAUAGAUACUUGAAAAAGACAGUGCAUGAUCGCCAGUCGGUGGUCAGCACAGCUACUUGAAAAGAAGUUGCAUGAUCGCUGGUCGAUGGUCAGCAUAGCUACUUGAAAAGGCGGUGCAUGAUCGCCGGUCGGUUUGAGGAAGAACACUUUUCAAAAACCUUUUCAAAGACCAUUUAACCACAUCAUGUGCUUGAUCUAGACUUGGUUAGGCAUCUAGGAUAGAUCAUACAGCAAAAGGCACACUUAUACAAUUACACGCCUAAUUACAAGCAAAUCUAAAAACUUAUUACAAUCUUCAAAGCACUCAAGCUAUUUUCUUCAUCAAACACACAUCAAGCCUUGGUAGGGAAGAAGCUUCCUCCAGCUUCAACACAUCCGUGCUAGGGACACCAAGUGUUUUAAAUGUUUUGGAAGAGGGCAUGUGCAAGCGCAAUGUCCAAACCAAAGGGUUUUGUUCUUAAAGGGAAAAGAUGAGUACACAAGUGGUGAGGAUGAACCUAGUACACAAGAAAAGGGAGAAGGAGAGAGGAUAAAUCCUUUGGAGGGGGACUUAUUGAUGAUUCAAAGAAUCCUCCACAAUCAACCUAGUGCAUCCAUCGAGACACAACGAGAGAACAUUUUUCAUACUAGAUGCAAUGUUUUAGAAAAUAUAUGCUCUCUUAUUGUGGAUGGUGGAUCAUGCUGCAAUUGGUGUAGCACUAGAUUGAUUGAGAAACUAAAAUCUACAAGUACUUCCUCAUCCAAAACCUUACAAUUUACAAUGGAUCAAUGAGGAUGGAGAACUACGUGUAGACAAACAAGUGGAAAUCAAGUUUUCUAUAGGUAACUACAAAGACAAUAUUUUAUGUGAUGUAGUACCUAUGGAAGCUUGCCACAUCUUAUUAGGUAGACCAUGGCAAUUUGAUAAGAAAACCUUGCAUAAUGGUCUAACUAACGAGAUUUCUUUCAUCCACAAGCACAAAAAGUUUGUACUUAGCCCUUUACCACAUUCCCAAGUGGUAAAAGACCAAAUACAAAUGAAACAUAAAAGGGAUGAAGAGAAAAUAGAAAAAGAGAAAACUUUUGGGAAACAAAAGGCGUGGGAGAAGAGUGUUCCUUCCCACAAGGUCAUUCAACAAGUCAAGCACAUUGAAAAUACCUUUGCAAACAUGCUUCUUGUUGAACAACCUAGCCUUCCCUAUUGUAAAGGAACACUUGCAAGCAUGAGCACAAAGGAAGAGUCUUUAAAAGAAGCUUACAUAGAUAAAAACUAUUUCUCAAAUGUGUUAGGAUAUCCCCAAGGGAAUGUCAAGUUGACUAUAAGCAUCUACAAAAACCAAUUUUUGUGUGAAGUAGUGCCUAGAACAACUUGUCAUGUCUUAUUGAGACAACCAUUACAAAGUGUACAAAUUUUCAUAAACAAAGGUUGUACCAACGAGACUAUCUUUACACAUGAGAGAAAGAGUCUACAAGAAGGAGAACUCAUGGGACAAAUGAGAGUUGAUGAAACUCUAGAGCUUUUGAGAGGAAAACUUUUGUCACCCAUGAGAAAAGAGAUUCAAAGACAUUACUUUAGGUACCACUCAUGUUUUCAAACUACACCUAAAGCAAAGUCUCAAGAACUCUAUACUCCUUCACCUUUUGUAAAAGAUCCUUGGGAAGACACACAUUUCAUAUUAGAGCUUCCUAGAACAACAAAAGAUUUUGAUUCCUUCUUCAUGGAUGUGGAUAAACUCUUCCUAAGAAACGUGACAAGCCUCCAUGAUUUAUUUUCAAAAAUGAUGGAUAGAGCUCCAAAAUUUGAAAACAUAGCUCUUUCUUCCAUGUUUCACGAAAUCAUGAGGGACACCCACAAUUCUUGGGAUAAGAAUCCUUUUCCUUUUAAGCAUGCAUACAAUGGAGUAGUCCACAAGAUUACUCAUAUUUCUCCAUUUGAAGUUGUAUGUGAACAUAGUCCUCUUGCCUUUUUAAAGUUGUUACCAUUUCCUAAAGGGAUUAUGCCUAAGGGAAAAGUAACUACUUUUGGAAAUUUUAGAAAACAUAAGAGGAUUAGAGGGCACCUACAACCAUCAAAAGGGAAGCAUUGUGAGAAGUUGGCCAAAACAAGAGAAAAACAAAAAUGGCAACUUCACACAAUUAAUUUUUCUCCAAAUGCUCACCCUAACUCCUUUGCUUUGUUUCAAGAUUCUCAUAGAUUGAUAUUUGAUCCGGGAGGACACACCUUGACGAAGCAAGAGGCUGCUAUCCAAGAUCAAGUCAGCAAAUCUGAGGAUAGAUCUUCUCCAAAAGGAGGAGAUGAUGGACACCAUCCAACCACAACCAUCCCCCUAAGAAGCAAAAGCAUUGGAUUUGAGGACAAAUCCUUUACAAGAGGGAGGGGAUGAUGGAGGAGGGCCCAAGCUCACCACACUAUGAAAGCCAAGCUUCCAAGGCUAGACCGUCUAGCCCAUGAUGAGGAGCGUCUAGACUCAAAAGGAGCGUCUAGCCCAUGAUGAGAAGCGUCUAGGCCAUGAUUAGGAGCGGCUACAUAAGGAGCGUCUAGGAGGAAUCCUAGACUGUCUAGGAUCAAACACCUUCACAUACACAUGGGUCAAGCUACGGUUUUGGGAAGAGAAGACCUUGUAAUUGUUACAUGGAGGCCCAUUAAGGGUGCCUUAGUAAUUAGAGUAGUGUAUAAAGCAUAAACUUGUCUUACACAUGAUUUACCCUAGAUUUUGUGCACAUUCUAGAAGCUUGCUCACUUGGCCGGCCAUGUGCCCAUGUGCUACCAUGUGGAUUCAUUUGCAUUUCAUUUGAGAAGCAUUUCAUCUUCUCUUAGCUUAGGAAUUACGACCUCCUUGGCUAUAAAAGGAGAUGCUUGGCUCAUGUAUUUGCAAGAUUAAUGAGAGUAAAGUUAUGCUGCCAACAUUGUGCCAUACUUUGCUUCUACCUAGUUUCUAGGACCUAAUCUUCAUCUUGCUCACUUUCCAUAGGGCUGGCCGAACCUCCCUACUUCCAUACACAUCAUGCACCUUCAAGAUCACCAUAGCUCCUAGGAGGAUCUUGCACAUUUACAUCCAUGGCUUCCGCACCAUUUUUCACAUGAUUCCAAGAAGAGCUUCAUGAAUUUGCCAUCACCGUGUGUCUGUAAGUGGUUACUUAUGUGACGCACGCAAAACUAGUUACCCGUGUGUGUAAGUGGUUAUUUAUGUGACGUUUAUGGUCACCCACUCUUGAUGAAAAAAAAUCAUUUUUUUUAAUAAGAACCAUAUAUUACAUCGGUUAGAUGACUUAACCGGUGUAAUAACCCUACCAGAACUACCCAGCCACAGGUUCCUCCACAUAUACUGACACACACAAAAUUGGUUAUCCGUGUGUCUGAAAGUGGUUACCUAUGUGACGUUUAUGGUCACCCACUCUUCAUGAAAAAAAAUCAAUUUCUUUUUAAUAAAAACCAUAUAUUACAUCGGUUAGAUGACUUAACCGAUGUAGGUUUCUCCACAUAUACUGGCACACACAAAACUGGUUACCCGUGUCUCUGUAAGUGGUUAUCUAUGUGAGUUUAUGACCCACCCACUCUUUAUGAAAAAAAAAUCAAUCUUUUUAAUAUGGGUCAUAUAUUACAUCGGUUAGAUGACUUAACCGAUGUAAUAUGGGUCAUUCUGAGUAAAAAAAUAUAUAUUACACCGGUUGUUUCUAAGAACCGAUGUAAUAUAUUCUUUUUUAUCCUAUUUUGAAGCUCGCGCUGCUCAUUCACGCGCAAUAUCACUCUGUCACGUCAUUGACACGUCUGCAGCGUCAAAUGUGUGUUACUGUAAGAGGGUGUCAAUAUAUCAUGAUUCUAAUCUUUAUUAUGUAGAUACUUAUUGAUUCAAAUCGUAUCACGUAGUUGAUUAAAGAAAGUUGUUACUGAGUUAUUUUAAUUCCAUAAUUUUUUUUAUUAAAAAUAAAUUAUAGAAUUAAAAUAAAAAAUGAAAACACACAUAUUAAAGUAAUGAAAUAAAAAUCUAAAAAAAAUAAAAAAAUACAAUAGACAGUAAUAAAAACUGACUUUACAAUCUAAUAAAUUAAUAUUUUAAUUAUAUUUUUUACUUUUAAUUUAAAAUAUUGUUAUAAAUGGUUAUCAAUUACAUGUGUUUUACUCUUUUUAGAUAAAAAUAAAAAACAGGAGAAAUAAUCUUUCUUCCAAAUUUUCGUUUUCACAUGAAAAGAAAGUUAAUUUUUAAUAACUUAAGUUAAUUUAUUAUUAUUAAACAAAAUGUAAUAAGUAUUUUUUCUUUUAAAAUAUAUAAUAAUUCAAUUUAUAAUAGAAUAAAAUAUUUAAAUAAUUAAUAAAAUAAAAUAAAUUUAAUAUUUCAUUAAUAUAUAGGUUUUAUGUUAAAUAAAUAAAAUAAAACUAACUAAAUUUUAGUGAUUUAUUUUAAUAUAAUUUUAUUUUAAAAUAUUAAUUUUUUUAUUUAUUAAGUUUUUAUAAUAAUUUUUGUUUUAAUUUAAAAUUUAUUUUAACUUUAAUUUAUAAUUUUAAAAUUUUAUUAAAUAUAUUAUAUUUUUGUUAUAUAUAUGUCCGUAGCACUGGAACCAGGUAUCCCAUCCCCGGAGCUGAUCCGGGUAUGCUACCCGUAGAAAGCGCUACAUAUUUCAUAAAAUAAAAUAAAUAAAUUAUAUAAUAUAAAUAAUUAUUAUCAUUAAAAAAUUUGUUUUUCUGUCCCGUCACUCUCAGUCUCUUACACUUUACUCUGAAACUUUGUUUUUCCUUUAAUUUUAUUUUUUUCUGAUUGUUCUUUUUUUUAUCACUGUUUGAUGGGAAUGACGAGAGAGUGCUCCUAAGGAAAAUAUUUCUUGACCUCGAGUUUACACUUCUUUAUAAUAAUAUAAUAAUAUUUUAAAUCUUUAAUUAUUAUUAUUGAUCACCCUAUAAAAAUGGUCAUAACUUAAACCCUCAUGCAUACCCUUCUCAAUCUUUAAUCUCUCUUUCUUUUAGCGGUCACCUUUCAAUUUCUUCAUGGCUGAUGGCUCAUGCUUCGCUUUCCUUCUUUACAUUUUAUGAUUCAUGAUAUGGUUCAUGAUCUGGUUCAUCAUUCAUGUGCUCCCCGCUAUCAUAUAAUAAACCAAACGAGAACAGUAGCAUCACUUUCUCUCUCUCUUGAAACAUCUUUAAUAUGCACUCAUGAAUUAGAACUGAGCUUCAUAAAGAAACAAACCGCACAGGUUCAGCAGCAUGCGACAACAAUAAAAGUUGUUGGAGUAACGUUAUAGCUGAUUAAUAGGGAUUAGUUUUCUGUUUGUUAAAAGUAGCUAUUUUGUAGGAGAUAUUUAUGUGAUUUCUGUUUUGUAAAGUCUUUAUAACGGUCGUAGUUAUGUUUCAAUAAAAUAUCAGUUUCCUUUAUUUGGUAUCAGAGCAUUAAAGGAGCUGAAAGAAGAAACACAUUGAGUGUUUGAGAGGAAAAACACUGAGCAGAUGGCAAGUGAUUCAGGAAGCUUUGCUGCACCAUGUGUUCCUAAAUUCGAUGGAGACUACGACCAUUAGAGUUUGGUCAUGGAAAAUCUACUACGUUCCAAGGAAUAUUGGAGUGUUAUUCAAUCUGGUUUCGAGGAACCAAAGGGAAACGAAGCACUCAACGCAACCCAACAAAAGACAAUCGACGAAGCAAGGCUCAAAGAUCUCAAAGCAAAGAAUUAUCUCUUUCAAUCCAUUGAUAAGAGUAUUCUGAAAACCAUUAUUCAAAAGGAUACUGCCAAGCAAUUGUGGGAUUCAAUGAAACUCAAGUAUCAAGGAAAUGCUAGAGUAAAGCGAGCCCAGCUACAACGGCUUCGCAGAAUUUUCGAAACCUUAGAGAUGAAAGCAGGAGAAGGAGUCUCUGAGUAUUUUACAAGAGUCAUGUCUAUUGCUAAUGACAUGAGGAAUUGCGGAGAGGAUAUGUCGGAUGUUAAAAUUGUUGAGAAAAUACUUCGAAGUCUCACCGAAAAAUUCAACUUCGUAGUAUGCUCAAUUGAAGAAUCCAAAGGCAAUUGACAAAUUAACCGUCGAUGAAUUACAAGCAUCNNNNNNNNNNNNNNNNNNNNNNNNNNNNNNNNNNNNNNNNNNNNNNNNNNNNNNNNNNNNNNNNNNNNNNNNNNNNNNNNNNNNNNNNNNNNNNNNNNNNCCAAAGUAUGGACAAGGAAGAGGCAGAUGGUCAUCUCAGAGAGGAAGAGGUUAUUUUAGAGGACGGGGAAGAGGUAGAUCUUUUGUGAACCGGUCAGCCAUCAACUGCUUUCGAUGUGGAAAGCAAGGACAUUACCAAUUUGAAUGUCCGGGCUUAGAAAAAGAAGCUGUCAACUAUGCUGAAUUUGGCAAGGAGGAAGAACUGCUUUUGAUGGCGUAUACAAAGAAAGGUAUUGUUGAAGGCGAAGGCAUUUGGUUUCUCGAUUCCGGGUGCUCAAAUCAUAUGACAGGAGACAAAACAUGGUUUGUUGAGCUUGACGAAAGUUUCAAACACAUUGUUAGGUUGGGAAAUAGCUCAAAAUUGGCAGUUGAGGGAAGAGGCAAUGUCAGAUUUGAAGUUGAAGGUAUGACGCAAACAGUGACAAAUGUCUACUAUGUCCCAAAUCUCACCAACAACUUGCUAAGCAUAGGGCUUCUACAGGAGAAGCGCUUGGUGAUCUUAAUCAAAGAAGGAACCUGCAAAAUCUAUCAUCAACAAAGGGGUCUGAUAAUGAACACACAAAUGACAGCAAACCGCAUGUUCCUAAUUCAUGCAAAGAUGAAGCCACUGGUUGACAAAUGUUUGAAAAUAGAAGAUGAAGACUUGGAGGCCUUGUGGCACAAGAGAUAUGGGCAUUUGAAUAGUAAAUCUAUUCAAAUCAGGCAGCAAAAACAAAUGGUGGAAGGAUUACCCAAAUUAAAGGAAGUUGUCAAAGUUUGCACAGUAUGCAAUAUUGGGAAGCAACAACGACACAAAUUUCCAAAAGAAAAGAAAAUGGAGAGCAUCAAACAAACUGGAAUUGAUUCAUGGAGAUCUUUGUGGACCCAUCACUCCAACUUCUCAUAGUGGUAAGAGGUACUUGCUGGUGCUUGUAGAUGAUUUGUCUCGCAAAACUUGGAUAUAUUUUCUUGCAUAUAAAUCAGAAGCCUUUGAAACAUUCAAAAACUUCAAAAAUCUUGUUGAAAAUGAAGCAAAAACAGCCAUACAUGGACUCAGAACUGAUCGAGGAGGAGAAUUUACGUCAAAUGAAUUCAACAAUUUCUGCAAAGAUAACGAUUCAACAAUUUCUGCAAAGAUAACGGGAUCAAGCGACAACUAACAGCUGCUUACACUCCCCCCAGCAAAACGGAGUUGCAGAAAGAAGGAACCGAACCGUCAUGAACAUGGUACGGUGUCUCUUAUCUGAGAAAGAAAUGUCAAAGAAGUUGUGGCCAGAAUUUGGCUCAAUUGCACAUGUUCAUAUUGAUGACUUUUUACGGCAAGUGCACCGCGUUUGUCAAAAGUAAUAAUUGUCCCUAAGGACGGAUAUUGAUCCCACAAGGAACAGUGAAUUAUCGAGUACAAUAAUCGCUAAAUAUAAAAACAGAACAAUUAAAAGAGUUUUGAAUUAAUUGUGUUGGCAAUGAUCAAUAAGAAAAAAAAACAAAGAAUUAGUUGUUUCAAUUGGAAAAAUAAGGAUUAGUUUCAUCUCUCUCACUCUCAAGUAUUUUGAUUAGCAUGUCAAUAUUAAAUUCUUUGAUUGAAAUUGAUGCCCGUAUAAAAAUCAUUUAUAUCGAUUCCUCGCAUAUAAAAUCCUUAAGAAUGUCCUCUAACUAUCGAUCCCUCGCAUAAUUAUAAGAACAACUUAGAACGAAGCUCAGACGUUUAAUAGCAAUUAACAUUUCAAGUCUAUUCCUAGCACUCAAAUAUGUUAAGUAUUGUUGUUUAGGUCCGAACCCUAAAAAUACCUCCCGGUCAGAUUUAAGAUUCUCAAUUUGUCACGGAAAAUUAAAAGUAAAACAACAAUACCAAUAAUCAAUCAAGAACUGAAUAUUAAUAUAUAAAAUAUCACCUCAAUACAUAAGAGUUUGAGCAGAUUACUCUCAAUCCCAAAGGGUAGAAUUAGCCACGCAUACUUCUAUCACCUUCCAUUCUCCCAAUUGGGUUACAACUCACUCUAUGGUGUUUUCCUCUCAAUCUGGCACACUAAGGUUGAGCCUCUAGCCCUCUAUUUAUCCUAGUUUUCUAGGGUUAGGUUGUUUAUUGUGUCGCGCUAAUGGGCUAAAUGAUAAAACAUAAAAAAAGGCCCAAUCUUCCUUUGCAUCUUUUUCCAUUCUGGGACCUUCUAUCUUUAUCUUUUUAGCUCAAAUCAUUCAUCUUUAAUCCAAAUCUCCAAUCUUCCUUAGAAAUCUGCAAUUAACACCAAAUUUGGGAAUAAAAUACUCUUAUUCAAAUAAAGAUCAUAAAAAAUGUAAAAAGGUAUAAAUUCAUAAAUUAGGGAUUAUUUUAUAUGUAAAUUAGCAAUAAAUCCUCAUAAGUGCCUAUAUUUUAAUAUGAAAUAUUACUGAAAUUAGACACUUAUCACAUAUUCCUGAACAAAAAAGAACCAAACUUGAUGAUCGAAGUCUAAAUAGUGUCUUACUUGGAGUUAGUGAUGAAUCUAAGGCCUAUCGCCUGUAUGAUCCAGCAACAAACAAGGUAAUUGUGAGCAGAGAUGUGAUAUUUGAAGAAGGUGCAAAAUGGGACUGGAAUUCAAGUACAAACAAUGUAGAACAGGAUGUGUUGACUUGGGGAGAUGAUGAUAAUAUUGGUGCAGAAGAGUCGGAAGGAGGAGAGACUGAUGGAGAAGAAGAUUCACAUGAAGAAGCAUAUGACAGGUUUGAAGAAAUCCAAGAAAUGAAUGAAUCUUCUCCAACAUUGCCACAACAAACAAGACAAAGGAGAAAGCCAGUUUGUGAUAUGAAUCCACUAGCAAAGAAGAGAUGAUUCUUUGACAUUCUAUGGAAUCAACUUGAGUUGGAGAUAGCUUAGGCACUUUUAAUAGAAUUGGAUCAAUGUUCUAUGUUUCAAGAACUCACCAAAACUUGCACCAAACACCAAACUCACAUGGAAGACCCAUUUCUUGCCAAUUGAACCGAUUAAAAGAUGUAAAAAUGCAAAUGAAUCGAUUAAAUUGCAUAACAAAUGAAAUGAACCGAUUAAAAUGCUUCAAAAUUGAAAUGCACCGAACAAAUCCAAGGAGAAAGAAGAUGAACCGAUUGAAACAUGAAAAUAAACAAGAACACCGAAUAGAAAGCAAGAAAGGAACCUAAGACAUGUUUAGGAAUUCAAAUAGGCACGAAAAUGGAAUGAGAAGUUGGAGAAGAAAGAGGACUUAUGUGGUUGUAGUUCUUGGUUGAUGAACACGCCACUUGAAGUGUGAAUGCUCCAAGAUAAGUGUGCAAUGUCGCCACUUGAGAGAACCAAGACAUUCAAGAUGAGACUAGGAAGAGGAGAAGACAAGUUCUCACUACACUCAAUCACCAAUUUGGGAGAGUUUUGAUACUACGAAUUCCAAAUCUGCAUUAUGAAGGACCUAAGCCCUCCUUUUAUAGGAGCAAGGGCUGGUCAUGAAGCUUACAAAGCUUGUACCACAAGCUACCCAAAAGUCUCCUAAGCUAACGCCUAUAGUGACUUAUGAAGAGUCACCUUCUAGAAAAUUCUAAACUAAAGCCUAAAGAUGCUUUACAAAAGAGGUAUCUAUGGUUUUCCUCUAAGCACCUUCCUAAACACUAUUCUAUAUUAUUUACAAUUUUAUACAAAAGAAACUAUAAAGAGAGAUAUUUAAAUGAAGCCUAUUCUUGAAAGCUUGUAGACUUCUUUGCCUUUAGGCUUGAUCCUCUCUUUAUUUUAUGUCUUCUUUUAAUUUUGAGAAGACUAGAAGGAAGAACUUCAAAUGUGUAGGUGAAUGACCUCUUCCUUCAAUAAUAAAAGUCUCCUUUAUUUGAUUCUCAUCAGUUUGGAUGCGUGAUUAUGAAACAGGUGAAUCUGUAGAAGAAGUCGAUGAGGAGUUUGCUUUUCACAUCUCCAAUGAUGAUCCUGUGAACUUUGAAGAAGCAGUAAAAGAAAAAAAAGUGGCAGGAGGUAAUGGAGCUUGAAAUACAGGCUAUUGAAAGAAAUCAGACAUGGGAGCUUGUGACAUUGCCGCAUCAAGCAAAGAAAAUCGGUGUCAAAUGGGUUUUUAAGACGAAACUAAAUGAAGAAGGCAAAGUAGACAAAUGUAAAGCGAGACUCGUUGCUAAGGGAUACUCGCAGAAGGCUGGAGUAGAUUACAAUGAAGUUUAUGCACCAAUAGCUCGAUGGGAUACAAUCAGAAUUCUCAGAAUUCUGGUGGCAGUAGCAGCACAACGUGGAUGGUGCAUCUAUCAACUUGAUGUCAAAAGUGCUUUUCUAUACGACGAAUUAAAUGAGGAGGUAUAUGUUGAUUAGCCUGAAGGUUUUGUCAAAACAGGAGAAGAGAACAAGGUUUAUCGACUGAGGAAAGCUCUCUACGGCCUGAAACAAGCACCGAGGGCUUGGUUCAGCAAAAUCGAGAGCUAUUUCAAGAAGGAAGGAUUUGAGAAAAGUAAUUAUGACCACACCUUGUUCUUGAAGAGAAUUGGAAGAAAAUUAUUGUUGGUCUGCCUCUACGUUGAUGAUUUGAUUUACACAGGAGAUGAUGAGAAUAUGUGCAAAUGUUUCAAGUUAUCAAUGCAACAGGAGUUUGAGAUGACAGACUUAGGAAAAAUGAAGUUCUUUCUUGGAGUUGAGGUUUAUCAAAACGAAGGAGGAAUUCAUUUGUGCCAAAAGAAGUAUGCUAAGGAAGUUUUGGAAAGGUUCAAUAUGUCGGAUUGUAAUGCAGUAAAGAAUCCGAUAGUCCCUGACACCUUCUUGUCAAAAUCAGGCGGUAAAAGUGUCGAUGCAACGUUGUACAAACAACUAGUAGGAUGUUUAAUGUACCUCACGGUAACUCGUCCCGAUUUAAUGUUUGUUGUUUGUUUGAUUUCACGUUAUAUGGCUGAUCCCAGAGAAGAACAUAUGUUGAUUGCUAAAAGGGUACUGAGAUAUUUAAAAGGUACAUUAGAUGUUGGAGUUUAUUACAAAUGGAGUAAGGAUGUAAAUCUGCUGGGAUACACAGACAGGAAGAGCACUUCAGGCUAUGUUUUCUUUCUAAAUAGAGCAGCAAUAUGUUGGAGUUCAAGGAAGCAGGGAAUUGUAACAUUAUCAUCUACAGAAGCUGAAUAUGUGGCUGCCACUGCAAGUGCAUGUCAUGGAGUUUGGCUUACGGGAAUUCUGAAGGAGCUAGGUGUUCUAAGCAGCGAGUGCAUCGAUAUCAUGUGUGACAGUAGUUCAGCAAUAAAAUUGUCCAAGAAUCAUUACAUAUUGAUGUCAGGUACCAUUACUUGCGUAAUCUGUCAACUAAUGGGACUGUGAGGUUAGUGUUUUGUGGAACUGAAGAUCAAGUAGCAGACAUAAUGACUAAACCAAUUAAGCUGGAUCAAUUUGUGAAUUCAGAAGCAUGCUUAGAGUUCGACGACUUGAGUAAACUGAUGCUGUUUCAACAUACUUCAGUUUACUGGGAAGAAUUUGUUGGAGUAACGUUAUAGCUGAUUAAUAGGGAUUAGUUUUCUAUUUGUUAAAGUAGCUAUUUUGUAGGAGAUAUUUCUGUGAUUUCUGUUUUGUAAAGGCUUUAUAACGGCUUUAUAACGGCCGUAGUUAUGUUUCAAUAAAAUAUCAAUUUCCUUUAAAAGUUGCUAAUUUUUUUGUCACCGCUUGUUAUCUAUGGUGGCAACUGCAACUCAAAAGCAACAAAUACAACGCCGAUGAAAGAUUGAAAAUGUGGUUAAAAUGAAAAUAUGAAACCCACGCUCUGGAACCACAACGGGGACUGCAGCAGUGUCUUUGCACCGUCUUGUUAUAGACUCUCGCAACUAAUUGCAACUAAGCUGAAAAGCAGUAGCUGAAAACCUAAAAUAUAUUAAAUUUAUUCAUUAUCUAAAUACUUAAAUUAGGGUGAAAAAAAUAUUUUUUCAAAAAGUUCUUCAUUGAAGAAAAAAAUAUAUUCUUCUAACCUUUACUAAAUUUCAUCUAAAAUUUAGUAGAUAUGAGGAGGGUGGUGCGUCCAAUGAGGAUGGAAGUGGAAAGAGAAAUAAAAGAGAAGAAUAGUGGAGAGUUAACUUUUGAAUUUUAGAGAAAACGAGUAUAUUUAAGUCAAAAGUAACUACAUAGACAUGAUUGAUGAAGAGAGAUGUAAAAUAUUUUUUUAAAGAAUAAAAUAAAAUUAAAAGGGGUACUUAAAGUGUCCCAAAAUACUACUUAUUGAAAUAUCUUUGAGAUUAUAAAUUAUUUAAAUUAGAAUAAAAUAUCAAGUUUUCAUUUUCUUGUUAUUUCUGUUACUUUGUUUCUAUUUAACAGUUUUAUAUAUAUACUGUAUUCCUUUUUUUAUAUGAAAUAAGAUAAUACAAUUCUUUUUCCUCUCUUCUUUUUUCUUACUUUCUCCCUUUUCAUAUAUAGAACUGCCAUUUGUCAUAAAAGGCUAAUCACACUCAUAAGAAGGUUGCUGCACAGUAGUGUGGAUUAUGAAAACCAGAAUCCAUGAAAAUCAGAAUUCAAUAUAAAAAUCAAUCUUUAUAUAUAAUAAACCAAACGUGAACAGUAACAUCAAUUUCUGUCUCUAAAUUCACUAUGAAUCAUGCAUGUAACCAGCAAAAAAUGCAAGAUAAAAACUGCACCAGAUCCUAUUACGUACCAAAAAAAAAAAGCAGCAGCUUGAAACAUCAUUUAAUAUGCACUCAUGAAUUAGAACUGAGCUUCAUAAAGAAACAAACACGUGCCAACUUUAAACUUUAAAACCUAAAAUAUAUUAAAUUUAUUCAUCACCUAAAUACUUAAAUUAGGGUGGAAAAAAAAAUAAAAUAUAUAUAUAUAUUUAAAUCUCUUCAUUGAAAAAAAUAGAUAUUCUUCUAACCUUUACUGAAUUUCAUCUACAUAGUAAAUGAUAGAACAUAAUUCAUCUUUUAAAAUUAAUUUGAGUGAAGAAUAUUAUCAUGAUUCUAACUAGCAAUAUUUUGAUUAUAAUUAUUUAUUGGUGUACCGAUCAGGUCAUCGGGUGUGAUGACAUGGCAGCAAGCGACAAUAUAGGCGUGUUGAACGGGACACCUGGCCGACAGAAGGGAAGUAAAUCGGGAAGUCAGUAUAGUCGCCGAUCGUUGAAGUGGCGUUCUCCGAUCUCUAAUGUGCGUAACCGACGGUCACCAGGGUUGCAUCACAGUCGUCGUAUGUGAGUACUAGGAGAUCAGGUGGUUAGAGAUCGCCGGGGAAUGCUAGGAGAUCAGGUGGUUUACACACCGCCGAAAGGGGCACAUCGCCAAACGAUCAGGGAAGCUUAUAAAAGGUUUCCAAGAGGUACAAGUAUGGAAGACGAGUGAUAUGCUUGUCACAUAGCAGCGGAGGAUGAGGUUAUCAGAUGAUCACACCCUAGCCAGAGGUCGGGUCGAGGGAACAGUUUCCCAGAGCAUGCACGGUGUGCAAGUGACGCAGAUCGUGAUGGCGGCAGGCGAGACCACAGAGAUGGUGCAUGUGAUGGCACCCGGUACUCGCCACUUAAGGGGUCGCGCUCCAAGGAGAGCCGUGCACCAAGUUACUCCCUGUAUGGAUAACUUAGUCAAAUGGCGAAAAGAGUAGAAGUGACGCUCAAGUUGUGGAAGCUCCAAAUAGUGACACGUGUACAGCUGGAUAUGAGCCACGUGUCUAGAGGUGUAACCGUCAGGAGAGAGAAAAAGCUCAGGUAUAUAAGGAACACUUAACAGACUUUUGAGGUACGCUUUCAGAACACUUUUCAGUACACUGAGAUUCACAACGCACGGUUCCUUGAGUUGAGAUAUUCUCUCUGAGUUUUUGGUGAUUCUUCCACUGACUUGGGCGUCGGAGCGCGAUCGGCCGCAGUGGCGCCACUUUGUUUUCUUCAGGUUCUUGCGAGGAAUUAAGACGUGAAGAGCAAAAGCUAACGUGGUGCAAAGCUGAUCCAGAGGAAGAUCUUUGACGUGGCAAGACUCUUGCACUCAAGUCAACCGGCAGGAUCAUCAGGCGUCCACCGUGGGACCGUGUAAAACGUGUUUCCCGUCCACAGCGUGAGUUUCUUGAAGUUUCUGCAGUUCUUGUGUGGUUGUUUGCUGGUGCAACCAUUUUCUGAAGUCUUUCACCGUUCGUUUGCGCAUUCAAUCGGUGAAUCAAGGUUUUCACUGUUCGUUUGAGUUUUCAAUCGAUGAACCAGGGGUUUUAGUGGAGAAGUAGGAAGUUCGUGUUGAGAUCGCGAGUUUCUGUGGAAGUUUGAAUAUCCGAAUCGAUCGUUUUCUGUCGCGGUGGUUUUCUUGGAAGUUUUUCGAGAUUAGAGGAGUUCUAACCGAUUGAUUGUUGCAUAAGUCGUUCCGGUGGUGAAGGUCUUUGUCGUUGGAGUUUGAUCUGUUGAUAUUUCAUGAGAGAGAUGAGAAGUACGCGUCCAAGUCCCGUUGUGCCACCUGUUGAAGAGAGCGUCGUAACCAUGGCGCAAAUGAUGGAGAUGAUGCGCACGUUGCAAGAGAAUGUGGAGGCGUCGCGCUCUGAGCAAGUGAAGAUGCACGAAGACCUGGUCGCAUCUCAGGCCAGAAACGAAGAGCUCAGCAAGGUUAAUGAGGAGCUGCGUCAAGCUCUUCACUAGCAGAGAGGACGCACAACCGUUGAAGAAGUUGCACCGUCGUCACCAUUGCGCGUUUUUCCAAUGCCGUUUGCUCAGGCGAUCAUGGAUACGGUGAUCCCUGCGAGCAUAGUGGUUGUGAAAGCCUCUUUCACCGGCGUGGAGGAUCCUGAAGCACAUCUCACCGCGUUUCAUACGCAGAUCAUGUUGUCAGGGGGCUCAGACGUAGUUUAUUGUAAGAUGUUUAUGAGCACACUCCAUGGAACAGCGCUGGAAUGGUUCGUCAGCCUGCCUACAGGUCACAUAACCAGUUUCCAACAGUUCUCUAAGCUUUUUGUCGACCAGUACAUCGUGAACAAGGCGCCACCUAUGGUGACUUGUUCGACGUAAGGCAGCAUCAGGGAAAGUCCCUCAGGGACUAUCUGAAUAGGUUUGGAGCACAGAUAGUCUGCUUGCCUGGCAAGGACGAGGAGAUGUUUGUGCACGCCUUCAAAAAGGGCGUGUUGUCUGGACCUUUCAGCGAGUCGCUGAUUAGGGGCCACCCCGCCACGUUUGCUGAAAUUCGGCGACGUGCUGUGGCUCACAUCGCCGCUGAGAGCGAGGUUGCAGAAAAGAGAGGGAACGUGGCUUCUACUAAGCCACAGGCCCAAACGAGAAUUCAGCCGCAGAGGGUGUUGGAGACGGCGGGGGCCAAGAAGGAUCAAAGGACUCGCCAUCCUUACGAUCCAAAGAAAAACAACGGGAGAGGGUCAGGGCGCCCUAGAGAGUUCAAUUGUCCCCCGAGGUACNNNNNNNNNNNNNNNNNNNNNNNNNNNNNNNNNNNNNNNNNNNNNNNNNNNNNNNNNNNNNNNNNNNNNNNNNNNNNNNNNNNNNNNNNNNNNNNNNNNNAGGGGUUGUACGUCUCAGGCAGUUAAUGAUUCGUGCUUGGCCCUGGGUUACAAACUCGACAAAUUGGUCAAGUGCGGUUUUUUGAAGGAUUACCUGCUGGACAACAGGACGAGGCAAGCGUCGAGCUCCCAGUCGGCGAGCAGUGAGGGCCAACAGUAUGAGGCGCCCAUUCACAGCGAGAUCCACACCAUAGCUGGAGGUUUCUCGGGGGGUGGAUGUACUGCAUCACAGAGGAAGAAAUAUGCAAGGUUUGUGAUGACAGUAGAAACGUUCGUGGAUCAAUCGCCGGAUGUGGACAUUACGUUCACCAAGGAGGACCUCAGGGACGUUGUGCCUCAUGACAACGAUCCCAUAGUUAUCUCGCUAGUCAAGGCGGGAAGGAAGGUCCACCGGGUGCUGGUGGAUCAAGGAAGCUCGACAGAUGUCAUGUUCUGACCGACUUUCAACAAGCUGCAACUACCCCUUGACCAGCUAAGGCCCUAUGGGGGAUGCUUGUAUGGGUUUGCUGGCGACCAGGUGGAGGUCAGGGGGUACAUUGAGUUGAGAACUACAUUCACGGACGAGGCGGCCUCGAGAACGGAGAAGAUCAAGUACCUCGUCGUGAAUGCCCCCUCGGCGUAUAACAUUCUGUUGGGAAGGCCGACCCUCAACAAGAUAGGAGCUGUGCCCUCAACAAGGCACAUGAAAGUUAAGUUGUCGUCAAUGGAGGGAGUGGUAAUCACCAUAAGGUCUGACCAGAAGGAGGUAAAGAAGUGUUACGAAAAUAGCCUCAAGACUAAGAGGUCGGUGAGCUACAUCACCACAACGCCGCCUCCCGAUGUGGAGCCCAGGCCAGCAGAGGGGCGGGUUGUUGGCAUGGCGAUGGAGGUGAUCACCGAAAGUGACGAGGUCAUGAUGGACGCCGAGGCAGGGGGAGAGAAUGCCGGUCGGGAGGAAGAAGCGAGAAAUCGUCCAGAGGAGGCCAGGGAAUCGGGAAUUGCCAAGGUGGUGAUCGCCAGUGAAACAAGGCCCAAACCAGUCGAGGAGUGGCUUGAGAGGGAGAUCGGGGGUAAGGUCUUCAAGUUAGGGAAAUCAUUGAAAGGUGAGACACAAGACCAGAUCGCCAAGGUGAUAGAAAGGCAUCUGGACGCUUUUGCAUGGUUUGCUUCAGACAUGCCUGGAAUCGACCCUGAUUUCUUGUGUCAUCGCCUAGCGAUGGACCCUCAGGUCAGACCAGUGGGACAGAGAAGAAGGAAGUUCAAUGAGGAGAGAAGACAGGCAAUUAGGGACGAAACGCAGAAGCUCCUCGCCGCAGGCCACAUCAGGGAGGUCCAGUACUCUGAGUGGUUAGCUAAUGUCGUUCUGGUAAAGAAGAUCAACGGGAAGUGGCGCAUGUGCGUCGACUUCACAGAUCUAAACAAGGCUUGUCCGAAGGACUCGUACCCCUUGCCGAGUAUAGAUGCCCUGGUCGACAGUGCAGUCGGGUGUAAGUUGUUGAGCUUUCUGGACGCCUUCUCGCGGUACAACCAGAUUAAGAUGCAUCCUAUGGAUGAAGAGAAGACCGCCUUCAUGACUGAGAGAUCGUGCUACUGCUACAAGGUGAUGUCCUUCGGGCUGAAGAAUGCGGGGGCCACGUACCAAAGGCUGAUUGAUAAGGUACUUGCGCCGAUGUUGGGGAGGAAUGUACAAGCGUACGUUGAUGAUAUGGUCGUGACUUCGCUAGAAAAGAGCAAGCACAUCUCAGAUCUUGAGGAGUUGUUUACCACGAUUGCCAAGUAUAAAUUGAAGUUAAAUCCCGAGAAGUGCAUUUUUGGCGUGGAGGCGGGGAAAUUCCUGGGUUUCCUCUUGACUGAGAGGAGAAUUGAAGCAAAUCCUGAUAAGUGUACUGUCAUCUUGGCGAUGAGAAGCCCGACUACCGUGAAGGAGGUGCAGCAGCUUACAGGUCGGAUGGCCGCCCUAUCUCGUUUCGUGUCAGCUAGUGGAGAUAAAGGCCAUCCGUAUUUCCAGUGCUUAAAGCGAAACAAUAGGUUUGUCUGGACGAAGGAGUGUGCAAAAGCUUUCGUGAAGCUUAAGGAGUAUCUGGCGAGUCCGCCGGUUCUGUGCAAGCCUUUGGUGGGAACGCCUCUCAGGUUGUAUUUUGUUGUAACUGAGAGGGCGGUGAGUGCGGUGCUCGCCCAAGAUCAAGAUCAGAUCUAGAAACUUAUUUAUUUUGUUAGCAAGGUGUUACAAGGCCCAGAAGUAAGGUAUCAGGCCUUGGAGAAAGCCGCGCUGGCAGUUGUAUUCUCGGCGAGGAGGUUGCGCCACUAUUUUCAAAGCUUUACGGUGCUGGUGAUGACCGACUUGCCUAUCCAGAAAGUUUUAAAGAAGCCUGAUGUAGCUGGGAGGAUGGUAAAGUGGGCAGUGGAGCUGUCGGAGUUCGACAUCAAGUAUGAACCCCGAGGACCGAUCAAGGUUCGGUGAAUUUCCUAGAUGAUGGAUCGAAAAAGAGGGAACCUCGGAUAUUNNNNNNNNNNNNNNNNNNNNNNNNNNNNNNNNNNNNNNNNNNNNNNNNNNNNNNNNNNNNNNNNNNNNNNNNNNNNNNNNNNNNNNNNNNNNNNNNNNNNACGGGGACGAUUUUCGUUGGGUGCUUUCGGUAGAUGGAUCGUCUAACCAGCAGGGCAGCGGUGCUGGAGUCAUUCUGGAAGGGCCCAACGGCGUACUGAUAGAACAGUCCCUGAGAUUUGCCUUCAAAGCCAGCAACAAUCAAGCAGAAUAUGAGGCGUUGAUUGCAGGUAUCUUGUUGGCUAAGGAGAUGGGAGUUAAGGUGUUGGUGGCCAACGGAGCCUAGGAAAAUAAAGAAGAACUCUAGCAAGUUCACUCUGAUCGAUGGCGAGCUGUUCAGGUUUGGGUUUACACACCCACUCCUAGUAUGUGUGCACGGAGAGAAAUGCACAAGAAUUAUGGUUGAGCUCCUUGAGAGUAUAUGUGGAAGUCACAUCGGGGGUCGAGCUCUGGCUGCAAGAGCUCUCCGUGCAGGUUAUUACUGGCCAACGAUGAGGGAAGAUUGCAAGAAAUAUGCUCAAUNNNNNNNNNNNNNNNNNNNNNNNNNNNNNNNNNNNNNNNNNNNNNNNNNNNNNNNNNNNNNNNNNNNNNNNNNNNNNNNNNNNNNNNNNNNNNNNNNNNNGGCCGUUUCAUACUUGGGGAAUUGACAUUCUGGGGCCCUUCCCAUUGGCGGUCAGGCAGAUGAAGUACUUGGUAGUGGCGAUUGAAUACUUCACCAAGUGGAUCGAAGUGGAGCCAGUGGCCCAGAUCACCGCACACAAGAUCGAGAGCUUUGUAUGGAAGAACAUCGUGUGCCGGUUUGGUGUGCCUAAACGCCUGGUGUCAGACAAUGGGACUCAGUUUGCAAGUCACCUGUUGAAAAAGCUGUGUGAAGAGGUGGGAAUACAACAGGUGUUUGCAUCCGUUGAGCACCCACAGACGAAUGGCCAAGUGGAGUCUGCCAAUCGGGUGUUGCUGAGAGGUUUAAAGAGAAGACUAGAGAAAGCUAAGGGAUCGUGGGCUGAAGAGGUACCCCGCAUAGUUUGGGCGUACCAUACCACUGAGCAGUCAGGAACCCACGAGACUCCGUUUAGCCUGGUUUAUGGAUGUGAUGCGAUGAUUCCAGUCGAAAUCCAGGAAAGUUCUCCGAGAUUCUAGAACUUUGUGGCGGAGGACUCGAACGAAGAAAGAAGAAUGAAUCUGGAUUUGCUGGAUGAGGUCAGGGAGGAGGCGAGAGUGAAGGCCGAAGCAAUAAAGAGAAGGAUUGAGCGAAGGUAUAACUCUAAGGUAAUGCCAAGGCAGUUUAGAAGUGGCGACCUGGUGAUGAGGAAGGCCCAUCAGUACGAGAUGGAGAACAAGUUGUCGCCUAAGUGGACGGGACCGUUCAGAAUAACCGAAGUGCUCGGGAACGGCGCCUACCGCUUAGAGACGUGAGAAGGAGGGGCGAUUCCUUGCACUUGGAACGUCACACAUGUCAAAUUGUAUUACAAUUAAAGCCUUGUAAGUAAAGACGAACAUGAAGAGAUUUAAAUAGUUUCUGUUAAAACAGUUUCAAGGGGGCACUCUUUUUUCCCUAAGGAGGGUUUUUAAUGAGGCCACCCAAUAAAGAAGAGUUUUCAAGUUUAAAGUUUCUAAGAUUGCAUGCUUAUUGUUUUGAAAGUUUUUAGAAAAAAGACCUUAUCAUUUGUACGUGAUCUAAGACAAUAGUAAAGUUAUAUUGCAUGCUUUCUAGUAAAGUUUUAAGUCCCCAUCGUUUUUCGGCGAUCGGCGGCAAUAGUUAAAAGUUUUAAAGACCUCAUCGUCUUUCGGCGAUCGGAGGCACCAGUAAUGUUUAAAGCCCUCAACGCUCUCGUGCGACUUGAGGCGAGAGGAGAAGUCUUCCUCGCCUUUGAGCGAGUGCAGGCGAAAAAGAGGAGAAGUCCUCCUCGCCUUUGAACGAGUGCAGACAAGAACAGAUUGAAAGACCUCUUUGCAUAAGCAGAUUGAGGCAAGAUUAAAAGUCCUCAGUGCAUCCAAGGGGGAGGAGAUGUACACCCUGGGCAAGUUGAGGCAUCAGAGAAAGUCCUUCUCACCUUAGAGUGAGUUCAGGCAAGAUGAAACUGAAAAGUCAGGGGUGUUCGUGACCUUAAACGGCGGGAAGGGAAGGUUGAUGGAAAACGCCUUUUCCCCUUUAAGUGAAACAUCAAUGUUGACCCAGUAAGACCAGAUAAAGCUUCCACGCUUGCGGGUGGUGUGAAGAUAGAUAAAAUCCUUCUCGUCUUGAGCGAGUUCAGGUAUGGCGUGAAGGGUGGAAGAAGUCAAAGGAUAGCUGAGAUAGGUUCGUAGAGAACACCUCACUAUCCAGAUCAUUGUUCUAAAACUCAGGGAGGUAGAAAAGGAUCCGAAAGGCGCCUCUACCCCAGAUGAGGGAACAAUGAUCAAGUUAUGCAAAAGAGGGUAGCAUCGCCAGAACCCUAUGGCAUGAAGGUUGAGAUAGUGAGGGUAUUGUAUGGCGAGUACCAAAUCAGAGGAAUUUACAGCGAUGACAGGAGAAACGUGAACUUCACUUGGCAGAUCAGGUAAGCUGUGUUUAGAAUAUUAGAUUGAGUUAAAACCUGCUGCCUAGCAAGUGAUUUUGCGAUAAGGUUUGUUACCUUAAGUAUAAGUAUAAGUCAUCGCCGAUAAUUGAUGGUGGCUCGAGUUUACUUUGAAUUAACAGCUUGUUAAGUUUGUUAUGAGGUUAACAGUUUGCUCGAGUUAAAGCAGUGUGUGAAGGUUUAAAGUUCAAGUAAUGCUGAGUUAAUUCAGUUGAGUAAGUUUCACCAGUUGUGUUGGUCAACCACACAGCAAAUAGAGGCAAAGGCGUAUAACGUGAAAUAGAAAGACAAUGUUCAAACAAUAGAAGUUAUAUAAGCAGUGCCAAUUGAAGUCUAUACACAGAUCAGUCAUUACAAACAGAAGGUUCUAAAAAAGGAGGCGAUGGAUGGAGGCGGCUAAUCUUCAGAAGGAACGAUCUUGCCAUCCACCACCUCGUUACAAAUCGACAGCAUGGAAAGAUCGAGCUCAAGAUAUUGGCAUGACAUUUGCUCCAGAGCAGCUUCGAACCCAGAGGUGAGGAUUUGAGCAGCACUCUACUCGAGCUCAUAUAUUUGGUUCUUCAGUUCUUCCUUCUCCUCAUGAACUCGAGCAAGUUCUUCAGUAACUUUCUUACUCUCGUCCCGAGCUUGGACUAGCUCUGCAGCAAUUCUUUCAGUUUCCUUACGAGCUUCGGUGAGCUCAGUGUCAGCCUUGUCCCUCUCAGCUUCGACCUUCCCCAAGAAGACCUCCCUCUCUGCUGAUCUUUUUUCAAUCUUCUCCACCCUGGAAGCUUCAGCUUUUUGUGCAGCCUCCAAAUCUGCCACUUUGACCCUAAAUGGGACCAGUUUGCUCUCCAAGUUAAUCUUUUCUUGGAGUUGAGUGUGUAGCUUUUGGCGCAGAUCAGAGGCUUCCUUGCGUGUGUUCCUUAGUUCCGCUUCCAGCACAUCCUCCAGCCUUGAAUGUUCCAUCUCCGUCAUCAGCAGAUUGCAGGUGAGCUUUUCAGCUUCAGCCCUUAUUAUGAGAUUUGCUCCUUGAGCGCGAGGUUUUCCUCUUGGAGCUUCUUGAGUGAAUCCUUCACAGCUCUUGUUACAAGCAAAGGGAGAUCUUCCGCCAUGGUCUUCAGUUGCACUGCGAAGGGUCCCAAGGUCUCUUUAAAGGGAUCUGGGAGACUUGAGGCUGAUGCUGGAGGUGCUGGUGGAGUUUGAUGUUGACUUUCACCACCACCCUCUUGAGCUUGUACAGCAAUUGGGGCUUCCAGGCGUGGUGGUGAGGCUGGAACUUCUGUUAUAGGCAUUGGAGAAGCCUGAGCACCUUCAUCUUCUCCUAGUGUGGCCCCAGCAAUGGAUGUGGUGGAAGGAGGACCCUCUCCAACAGAUACAAAUGGUGUAAAGGCGCUCGGAGGGUUCUCUGCAUAAUUAGGGCUGCUACUUUCGAUCACUAUGGGCGCGACGGCCAGUGGUGUUGCUUGGAUUGGUUCUAACGGAGCUGGAGGUGAUGGCGGUGUUGGUGUUGGAAGUGCAGGUGGUGUGGAGGUGGUUACCCUUUUUCUCUUGGUGAUGAGACCAUCCUCGGUGUCUUCAUCGUCGUCUUCUUCUUCCGACACCACCUGAGGAGUCUUCCUCUUUGGUCUCUUCAACACCAGUUUUUUCCUUUAUGGGGCGGGUAGGGCCCCAAAAGGAGUUGGACCUUGGGGAGGAGUUUUUCCUUGGGAAAUGGCGAUCUCCACAACCGAGUUGGGCACAGUUUGGGAGCCCGCCGCAAGUUUGUGGGAUCGGGCGAUCGCCCUCAAUUCUGCCAGCUUUCCUUUUCCCAACAUUGCGUCUGCACAAGGUAAAAAAUAGAUGAGUAUGCCCCAAAGCAGAAGCAGAACAUGCAAGUAUGUACAUACAGAAAUAACAUAGGUAAAUAGCACAUGGAUGAAUGAUCAAGACCAGUACAGAACAAACAGAAUGGUAGAAAUGCUAAGACAGUUUCAACACAAAAUGAGAGUCUUGGUGUUGGGGUAAGGGCUAACCUAUGUACAUUUCAAGUUGGCCCUCGAGGAAUUCGAAGGAGAUUAUUGGAGCAGUGGGGAAGGUGAUGUUGGCAGAAGCCACACUUUUCCAGAAGAGACAAAGGUCUUUGUCCAAAUCCCCCAUGUUGUCAGGACUUCUUGUUCUCCUGAAGUUGUCCCUGGAAUCCUUGGUCCCCUUGUUUACCCAAUACAAAGGGAAGCCAUCAAGCAACGAAGGGUCUUGAUCGUUCGGGCACACCUUGACGAAUUUCCCCUUCCAGUCUUUAUAGGAUUGCUGGAAGAUGGAGAGGAUUAACCUCCCAGCAAUUCCAUUCAAGCUGACCCAGAGGCGAUCUCCAGGAUUCUUUGCCUCGAAUAAAAAAAGGAAGACAUCAACUGAAACCGGCAGCCCCAAGUGCGCGCAAAGGAUUUGAAACGCCCUCACAAAUGCCCAGCUGUUGGGAUGGAGCUGGGCAGGGGCGAUGUUGAGCUCGGUCAAUAGCUCCCUCUCGAAACGAGUGAAAGGAAACCUAAGUUUCACUUUCUUGAACAGCGUGGCGUAGACGAAGCAAAACAACUCGUCGUUGCUCCCCUUAUCGUCCGCACAAAUUGGUUCUCCGAGGAGGCAAGGUAGCACCGUCACAUUGUCGUCGUGCUCCUUGUGAAAUGAAAGGUCGGGUCGAUCCCCUUUCUUCAGACGACGCACCCCCACCUCAGUAUUUAUCGACGAGGUUUCCUUCAGUAGAGUUGGGGUGGCCCAAGGGUAGAGCUCUUUGUAAUCCCGCGGAGGAAGGGAGACUCCCCCGGCUUGCGGUGGAGUUGCUUGGGUAAGGUUGGCACAAGAAGAGGCAGGCCUCUCGGCCUGUGUGGAAGGAGCACCAGAGGCUCGUGGGGGGUUGCGUGUUGGUGGAGGGUUUGUCCCAGUGAUAACCCUACGAGUUUUGGGAGGAGGGUUUCGCGAUGAGGAAGGAGGAUUAGUGGUGGACUUUGUCUGAGCCAUCGUAGGAACUGCAAAGGAAAGAAAAGGGAGGAAAUGAGGAUAGCGAGAGAAUGACUCGAUUGAGGACGAAGAAGAUAGAACGAACGAGUGAGAGUUCACUGGGGUAGACGUUAUCAGGAAUGAAAUCUUAAGUUACGAGAAAAAGAGAAACAACCCACAACGUAUGCUCCAGACAGUUAAUGGAUGAUGCAAACCGAUUAAAAUGCAACAAAUAUCAGUAGAAGGAGUAAAGGAGUUACCUUUUGAUGAUCGGGUAAAUGUUGAAGGAAGUCGAAGAUUGUGGGAGACGAAAGGUUUCGUAGUUCGCAAAGAGAACGUUUAGAAUGCUUGAAGAUGAAGAAAGAUAAUGAAACAGUGAAUAGCGCGAAGGGUUUAAGGGUUUUGAACGUUGUAGGAAACGCAAACGACAAUUAAAAACAACCGUUGAUGAAGCCACGUGUCGUUUGAUUAAAAAGGGGUUGGUGAAGCGUCAGAAAGGCAAAAGAGUACGAACGUACGGAAGUCCGUACAAGGGCCACGUAGAUCGACGAUGAUUUGACUUCUUAGUCUUUUCGCUGGUCAAGUCUCAGCUUAAGACUGGGGGGCUUAUGUACCGAUCAGGUCAUCGGGUGUGAUGACAUGACAGCAAGCGACAAUAUAGGCGUGUUGAACGGGACACCUGGCCGACAGAAGGGAAGUAAAUCGGGAAGUCAGUAUAGUCGCCGAUCGCUGAAGUGGCGUUCUCCGAUCUCUAAUGUGCGUAACCGGCGGUCACCAGGGUUGCAUCACAGUCGCCGUAUGUGAGUACUAGGAGAUCAGGUGGUUAGAGAUCGCCGGGGAAUGCUAGGAGAUCAGGUGGUUUACACACCGCCGAAGGGGCACAUCACCAAACGAUCAGGGAAGCUUAUUUAAGGUUUCCAAGAGGUACAAGUAUGGAAGACGAGUGAUAUGCUUGUCACGUAGCAGCGGAGGAUGAGGUUAUCAGAUGAUCACACCCUAGCAGAGGUCGGGUCGAGGGAACAGUUUCCUAGAGCAUGCACGGUGUGCAAGUGAAGCAGAUCGUGAUGACAACAGGCGAGACCACAAAGAUGGUGCAUGUGAUGGCACCCGGUACUCGCCACUUAAGGGGUCGCGCUCCAAGGAGAGCCGUGCACCAAGUUACUCCCUGUAUGGAUAACUUAGUCAAAUGGCGAAAAGAGUAGAAGUGACGCUCAAGUUGUGGAAGCUCCAAAUAGUGACACGUGUACAGCUGGAUAUGAGCCACGUGUCUAGAGGUGUAACCGUCAGGAGAGAGAAAAAACUUAGGUAUAUAAGGAACACUUAACAACUUAACAGACUUUUGAGGUACGCUUUCAGAACACUUUUCAGUACACUGAGAUUCACAACGCCCGGUUCCUUGAGUUGAGAUAUUCUCUCUGAGUUUUUGGUGAUUCUUCCACUGACUUGGGCGUCGGAGCGCGAUCGGCCGCAGUGGCGCCACUUUGUUUUCUUCAGGUUCUUGCGAGGAAUUAAGACGUGAAGAGCAAAAGCUAACGUGGUGCGAAGCUGAUCCAGAGGAAGAUCUUUGACGUGGCAAGACUCUUGCACUCAAGUCAACCGGCAGGAUCAAUUGAAAACGCUUAUACAGAUUAAAAAGUUAAAAUUUAUAAUAUAGUUAAUUUUUUUAUUAAUAUAUAAACUUUUUUUUAUAAUUUUAGUUAUUUUAUUAUAUGUGUAUGGGAUAAUUAAAAAAAUAGAUACAAAAUUACAUGUGAUUAAUUCAUAACAGAUUUUAUGAAAGCACAUGACGUAAUUGCAGAUAUUUUAUGAAAGCACAUGACGUAAUUGCAGAUAGUGGCUUUUCCUCUUGUUUCACUUAUUUCUCUACACUUGAUAGAAGAAGCCUGCAUCUUCCACAUCCAAACAGUGGUGCACUUUCAUUUGAGUCUGCCUUCCCCACCCCAAACAUUUCCUUUACUUUAGCAGACUGCCGACCUUUUUCACGUGGGUAGGGUCGUGUUGAGGUUCUUUUCCUCUAUCUCUUCUCUGUCUCAACUUUUUGGCUUCUUUCAACUGUAUUCAACACCACCUAAACGUUUUUUCAUGGCUCAUGUUCUAAGGCAAAUAUUUUAUUAUAUUAUUAAUAAAAUAAAUAAAAAUAAUAUAAUGAAAAUAAAUAUAAUUAUUUAUAAAAUUUUAAUUACCUUAAAUAUACAUAAAAAUUCCUCAUAUUUUAUUAUUCAAUAUUUUUAGAAAUAAAAAUAAAUUUGUAUUUAUAUUUCGCACUUUUAAAAAAAUAAAAAAUUCUCUCAAAACAUUCUAUCACGUUAAAUCCCUUCUAACCAGCAAAAUCUAAACAGUCUUUCUUCAUAUUCUUAAAUUCUCAAACAUUCACUAUCACAAAUGUUAGAAAAAUACAUUCCAUUUUCUACCGAAACACAUCUUUUUCCUUUCCCAUCAAAACACAUUAUGUGAGAAAUGUUAAGGUAAGGGAACUUUCGUGGAUGUCUCAGCAUAGCUCAACUUUGAAUAGGAAAAGAUUUCUUUAACACGAGAAAAAGUAAAAUCACAAAGACCCACCUGACGCAGUGAUAUUAAAUGACCCAAGGCUGUUUAUAAAAAGGUCCUAACUUGAUCCUCAUGCAUACCCUUGUCUCACUCUUUAAUCUCUCCUUCUUUUAGCUGUCGUCAAAAUCAGGUUUCAACUUCUUCAUGGCUGAUGGUGCUUUUGGAAUGAGAGGUAAUGAACUGAUUUUUAACAUAGGCAAUAUCCAAAUAUGUAACAUGGCAAUAGAAACUAACCCUGUUGAUGGCCUUGUUGCCUUCAUCUUCUUUGUACUUCUCGCUUUCCUCCAACUCAGAUAUCCAGAAAAUUCCACCCCAUUUCACCUUCAUCCAAACACCAUUUGGCUUUCCAUUCUUAGCUUUCUUCUUUAUUGCUUCUUCACCUUCUCUGGUAACCUCAACUUUGGUAUCAGAGUUAAUCACUUUCAAACCCUCAAGCGUGUCUUCGCUUCACUCUCAUUGCUUUGCAUGCUGGUGCUGUUGCUACCCGAAACUUGGGAACGCUUCGGUUUCCUUAUUUACAUUUUAUGGUUCAUCACUCAUGUGCUCUCCUUUAUCAAAACCCACUUCAUGGAAACAAGGGUGCAACGUCGAAAUAUGAGGAGGGUGGUGCGUCCACGGUUACCAAUCACUUCAAUGGAUUUUAAUUAACUGCUUCAUCACUGGGUCUUGCUUUGUUUGAGUGUUGGAAGAGUGUGCUGUUACUCCUUUUUUAUGUGUCUGGCAUAGGGAUAUUAAUUUACAUCAAAUUUUACUAUCAAAGCACAAGACAGAAGGAGAAUUAUCCCUCACUUCUAUAAGUUUGUCAUCCAAAUUUACACUGUCAAUAUAUAUCAAUUAUAUAAGGCGUAAUUAAGUUUUUGUUGCUAGAGGGAAUAUUUUAAGUUUUUAUCUCUGGUAAAAUGUUUUAUGUUUUGGACGAUACUUCUAUAUUCAAACAUAAGGGAUGCAAUGACAAGAAGAUUGUGAAUAGUAAAAAUAUAGAAACACUUUCAUUUCUUUAGGUAUGGAUCUUACAACAAAGAAAUAAUAAAUAAACUUAAAAGAAUGAAUUGGUUAAGGUUCAACAAAGUAUAGCCUAUUCAUCCAACUGUCUACUAUAACUAUUGAGAGACUAAUGAACUAAAAACAACAAUAUAGAUGAUUAAACAAAUUAAGCAAAUUGUCCUUCUAGACCGUCUAUCGAGAAUUUUAAUAACUUUAAAAUUAAGAAGUAUUAACUAAAAUACGUUGCUUAAAGUUAUUAAAAAAAUAUAACCCAAACAUUAAAAGAAAAAUGUGACACAUUAUUUUUUAUUGAAAAAGAAUAUACACUAUAUUGAAUUAAAUUAGAAAUAAACUAAAAAAAUUAUUGGUAUUUAAAAUAUUUUUUUAUUUAUAAAAAAUUAUAAAAUAAUUUUUAAAUUAGUAUUUAAACAUUAAUUACCAAUAGUUACUGAUAUUUUAAAUUUUUUAAUUAAUUUCUAAAAGACUAAUUGAACUAAUAUAAAUUAAAAAAUAUUAAUAAUAAAGUCUGAUAGAUAAUCUAAAUACCAAUUUAGAAACUAUUUUAUAAAUUUUUAUUAAUAAUAAAAAUUAUUUUAGAUAUUGAAAAGUUUUUUACUUUUAAAAUAAUAUAUAAUUUAAUUAAUAUAAUAAUUAAUUAUUUUUAUUUUUAAAUUUAGUUAAAAUUUAAUAUUUUUUUAUAGUAAUAAUAAAAAAAUAAAAAAAAACUGUUGCAUUUAAGUAAUGGUUACGAAGGCAUACUCCACUGUUGCAAGUCAAGACCAACUAUGACCUAAAUUUAAAGCUACAUUUUUUAACUUUAAAAAGUACUUUUUAAUUAUUGUCCUAAAAUUAGGAUGGACAAAAAAUCUAAAUAUAAUAAAACUGUUCUAUUUUUACAUUGAUUUAAUCUAUUUAAUAUCCAUUUGUUUAAACUUAAUUUUUAUAUUGAUCCACAUUUUAUCAAUUUUCUGGAUUAGAUAUCCAUUUUAGUUAAAUGGAUUUUAGAAUUUAGAAAAUCCAGAUUUUCAAUCUGUAUUUUAUUCCUCUGCACCGUAUGACCUUCAGUAACUCUUUCAUGUGCAUAUACUUCUUCAUUCUUCUUCCUUUUUUAUUUAUACUUUAUUAUCUUCUUUUUUUAAUUUUUAGAAUAAUUUAUUUCUAUUAUUGUUAUUUUCUUUUGUUAAAACUAAAGUUCUUUCUAUAAAAAAAACUUAAAGAUCACAAAAUCAUAUAUUAAAAUUUUAAAAAAAAAUUGUUUGGAUUUUUUACUCUUUUUUUUUCACAGAAAUUUAUUUUAUUUUAUUUUCUUCACUUAAAUAUUGCAUUGAUUUUCAGUUGUCUCCAUGCAUAUACACUUGAGAGGGAUUAUAUACAAACAGUAAUAUACCAAAAAAAUUUAUCAAAAAAUAUAUUUACAUUUAAAGGAUAUUCUAUACAGUAAAAUAGAAAUUCAAUGGUUGAUUUUUAUACUCAUUACUUUAACAAUAAAAUUAAAAAAAAAUCACCAAUUUUAUGUCUAGUUUGUAAUUGUAUACAAUUACUUUUUCUGUAUUACUGCAACUGUAAUGUUAAUUUUUAGUAUUAUUAAAUUAUAAUUUUAUUAUAUUUUCUUAAUAUUUAUAUGAUAUUAAUUUAUUUACAUAUUAUUAUAUUAAUAUUAUAGUAAGUUUUUACAAAAUAUAGAUUUAAUUUAAAAAUCCAAUUUAAUUUAUUUUUUUAUAAAAAUAUGGAUUUAGAUUUAAAAUCAAAUAUUUGGAUUUGGAUUGGAUAUGAAUUAGAUUUUACAAAAUCCAAUCCAUGAGUGCAGUUUUUGUAUUUGUAAGCUUUUUAAAGUUUGAGAAUUUUAUAUUCAAACAUCUAUUCAUGUUCUGAGGAGAAGUGAGGAGAAGGAAAGAUAUUAUUAAAGUUUGACAAUUUUAUAUUCAAACAUUUAUUCAUGUUUUGAGGAGAAGGAAGAAUUACUAAAACAAUAGUUAUAAUUUUUUAUAUUAUUAAAUUAUAAUUUUAUGAUAUUUUUUUAUAUUUAUAUAAUAUUAAUUUUUUUGCAUAAUUUUAUAUUAAUAUUGUAAUUUUUUUUUAAAUAUAAAUUUAAAAUUCAGUUAAUUGUUUUUAUAAAAAUAUGGAUUUAGAUUUGAUUUGAAUUGGAUUUAGAUUUAUAAAAAUCCAAAUUGAUUUAUAGAAAAAUAUGGAUUUGAAUUUAAAAUCCAAUCCAAAUAUUUAAAUUUGGAUUAUGUAAAAAUCCAAAUUAGUUUUAUAAAAAAAUCCAUUUCAAAUAUUUGAAUUUGGAUUUCUCAAAAUUCAAACCACCCUUACCUAAAAUAAUAAAUGAUGUAAUAAUUUGACUUAAUUGCCUUGUAGUUUGUAUAUUCUUUUACUUUAGCUCUCUCUAAAUUUUGUUCAGGAAUUAAACCAAAAACUGUUAAUAUGUUAUUGUUCCAAUGAUUUUAACAUGUGGUGAACGAGUAUAUAUCACCACUGUAGCACAGACUGAUACGAAUAUUCUAUGUAGCAAAAACAUUAAUAUGAAUAUUUAUACGAGAUAUGUAUAAUUUUUAAAAUAAUAGAGCACGGAGACAAAAAUCUAUAUAUUAUAUAAUUAUUAAUUAUAUAAAUUAAUAAUUAAGAUUUAUAUACACCAAUUAUGUUUCAGUUUUUUUUAGUAGAAAGAUGAUUUUAUGCUGUUUCAAAAUAAUUUGUUCUUUUUUUUUAAUUAGGUUAGACUUGUGCUAGAAUUGUCAUAAAUUUAACAAAUAUUCUAGAGUGUCAGUGUCUGAUAAAUGUGUUUGGCACAUACACAUCAUUUAAGAGAAGUGUUCGAACUUCAUAAAUAUCACAUUGUUAUUGUCAAGAGAAAUUAUCAUGUAAAAGCUAAAAUUAUAAAACAUAAUUUUCUUGAGCAAAUAUAUAUUUAGAGUAUUAAUCAUGCUCUCAAAUUAUUCCUAAGUUUCAAGAUAAUAAUAAUUAUUACUAAGUUUCAUGGUCAGAUAAACUCACAUACAUGACUUCUUCCCUAAUAAUUCUCUGCGAAGAAUCUUUUGCGGAUAACCGGUAAAAGGAAUGCGCCCCAUACAACCCUGACGUAGCAGGGAUUAGUAAUGUGGCAAAAGAGCAUAUUUGUCUUUUAAUAUCAUUAAUAAAAAUUUAAAAUUAUUGGUAAGUUAUCUGAGGAGUGUUUGUAACGUAAUUCAUGAGGAGAGUGGAAAUGGGGAUAAAAAUUAGAAUAUUUGUUUUAUACAAAAUUUUAUAAUAUUUUCCAUUUACUCGUGUUAAAGAGGAAAAAAUAAUCAAUUUACUUCAUCAAAAGCAAUAACUUAUUUAUCGAAUUCGGUAAUAGAAAAUCAUACUUUUCAAAGAUUUUUAUGAUCAUGAAAGUUUCUCCAAUAUUUUUAUAUAUAAUUGUAUAAAGUUUAUAAGUAAGAAAAUAUUCACAUUAUAUACGCAUAUACACGCCAUAUUUUUUUUAAUUUCUUUUGAUGUUUUUUUAAGUAUAUACUUUUAUUCUUUAAUCAACAAAAUAUAACUUUUGAUUUAAUAAAAUAAGUAUUCAACAGCUUCUCUAUUAUCUAAAAUAACUAAAUAAUUUCCUAUUAAAAUAAGUAUUACAUGUUUUAUUUUAAUAUCAUUUUUAUAAAAUCAUAUAUAUAUAUAUGUAUAUAUAUAUGUAUAUAUAUAUAUGUAUAUAUAUAUAUAUAUUUAAUUUUAUUAUCGUCAAAUUGUUUGAAUUAAAAAAAUAGAUAAAAAAAUUGUUUGGAUGAAAAGAAAGAGUAAGAAAAGUUAUAUAAAAAUUUAUAGUAGAUUUGAUUAAUGUAAUAGAAUAAAAUAUUUUCCUCUACAGUUGCUUGAUGAUCCUAAUGGUUGUGUAGUUUGUUCGGUUUGUUAGAAAGCUUGUUGAGUGUGUCUCCGAACAGUUGCAGACUACUCCUGGUUGUGGGUGUGAUUGUCUAAACGAGAUUUCUCUCCUCAUUGGUUUCUCAAGUUUUUGUUUCAACUCCUUAUUUUCUUGAGAAUGCGCACUUCUUCUUUAUUCUUCGCUGAUUCUCGAUGUCUUUUUGACGCAUCUCCUCCAUUUGCUUUUGGAGUGUUUGAAACAUGGCAAUCUGCUCCUUAGUGAUUCGAUCUUUGUUUGUUGUAUUCCUUGUUGAAACCUUUGUUUGCUGAAAUUUAUCUCGACCCCAUGAUGGGCACCAAUGUACUUGUAUAGACCAAGUGAACCUAGAUAAUAUCUGGAACUGGUUGUACAAUUGGUUAUGUGUCGGUCGCUUCCUUACUCCUCUCGAUCGGGGUUGACCUGAGAAAGAUACUCUAACAAUCAAUCUAACAAUCAAGUAAGUACUUUGUGUCAAGUAAGUACUUUGUGGUAAAAGUUUACAGUGAAAACUGGUAAAAACGUACCUUAUAUCUUUGCAAAGGACUUAUUUAUAGUGUUUAGUCAUGGAACUUUCUUGUAAUGGACCAAAUCUAUUAAAUAUCACUAUUAAUUGAUUUCUAUCGUGAUCCCUGAUUUAUAGAAAGGUAUAUUGGUACUGAAAAAUAUUUUUAAUAAACAAUAUCUUACUCUAAAACAGUAUUUACUGAUUUUUCAACCCCAAAUUUAGUGAGACAUGAUUACAGGAAGUUUUCAUAUUUAUCAUUGUUGUUAUUUAUUGGACGUCUUUAAUGUAUAUUAAUUUGGUCAAUCGAUCACCAAUAUUGAGUGAUUGUUCAUCAAUACCGACCCAUACAAAAAUAAAAAACAAAAGGUAAAUAAAAAACAAAAGGUGAGAUUUUAUAAUAACUGAAUUCUCUUUGUAAAGAGAUAUAAAAGAAAUUAAAUAUAAAAUUGUACGAAUAACUAAAUAUGAAUAAUAAAGCGAGUCAUCUGAAAAAAAAAAAGUCAUGUGAAACAAUCAGAUUGCAAUGAAAAUAUUAAAAAAACUGGUGACAGUUAAUUGAAAAGCGAAAAUUAAAAUGCGUCUGAUAAAAAAAAUUGUAUGAUAACGGCAUAAAAGAGAAGAAAAUCAAUACAUUACAUAGAAUUGUAACUACUUUAACGUCUUUCCACAUCGCAUAUAGAAUCAGUAUAUUUAGAUACUAUCAUUCCGAAAUUCAACGAACCAACUACGAUGCAUCAUGCCACAAUUUCAUAAUUUCAAAUUGGGUAAUAUGAAGAAAAAAAUACAAAACUAUUACAAAAUGAAGAGUUGCUUUAAGUGUAUCAAGAAUUAAUUUGAAUAUUUUUUUCUAUAACUCGAUAAAUCUAUAAUAAUAAUAAUAAUAAUAAUAAAGAAAUUGAUAAUUAUGCGUGAUAAAAGGAUUUACAGGUUGAUCUUUGCAAAAAUAAUCUACAUCUAAGAGGGCUUACCAUCUUUACUAAAAUAAUUAUAUAUUAAAUAAUAAUACUUUUUACUUAAUAUGCCGAACAUGUUCUUACUUGUACAUAUACUUCCACUAUAAGUGAUUAUUCUCAACAUCUUUAUAUUAUUCCCUUCAUCUUUAUAGCACACAAGUAGAGUUGUUGGAGUUUUUACAAUAAAACAUGACAAAUGAACACCCUCAACGGCAACCUAUGCAUAUACUCCUGCAAAUUACAAAGGGGACAUUACAUCGUGUUCAGUGGUUUCAUGCUAGACAUUUUGGAAGUUGCUGGUUUACACCGUUUUGUCUUCACUCUCUUGCUUCUGCUCCGGGCUAAUCUCUUCUCCAACUCCUUCACUCUGCCAGUUAAAUCUGAUAUUACACUUAACUGUUCAUUCCCAGCCUCAACCAACUUCUUCAUCCUCUUCCUUAGCUUCUCAUUUUCCUCCACUAACUUCGACUCACCCUUUAACCCUUCAUCAUCAUCAGCCACAGGUACCACUUCUAAUGCAGCUGAUGUUGCAAAGGGUUCAGUUUUCUCUUCACCCCAAGUUUCACCAACUAUCUCUUCACCAUCCUCUUGUGUCUCCUUGACUGCAAUCUUUCCUUCUGGUUCCUCUUCCUUUUGUGUGUCAUUUAUAGCCACGAACUCCAUUGGCUCGGGUGAGCUGUUGUUUACAUCAUUUGCUUCCAAGCACACAUCUUCAUUUCCUGGUUCACGAUCAUUGACAUUUGUUGUCAAAGGUGGCGACUCAAUAUCAGUUCCAACUCCCUCACCUGACUGAAGCUCAUCUUUGUUGAACUCAAUUUUUACCCAUCCAUCUGAUUCCCCAGAAGACUGCACCUCUUGAUCUUUCAGUGGUUGCUGCUGUUGCUCUAGUUGAGUUGCUUUUGAAGUAUUAUCUGUGGAAGAACUUGUUUCCCCAUCUUCAUUACAUUCCCCUGCUUGAGCUAGUAGAACCUCUUUAGGCUUAGCUUCAUCAUGCUUCUCAACUUCAGAUUCUUCUGUUUUCUCAUCAAGUAGUCCCACUGGAAGCUCCUCCAUAAAUAUCUCAGUUUUAGUUUGUGUUUCUUCUUUAGAAAUAUUCAUUUCAUUGUCCCUUUCAUCUUCAUCAAGUAGUCCCACCGGAAGUUCCAUCAUUGCAUGGUUCUCCGAAUCUAGUCCAUCUUGUGCAGAAUCAUUCACCAUGGCUGGUAGACUUCCAGAACCAAUAUUAUCGUGUUCUUCCUUCUCAAUACUAGCAUCAUUGCUAUCUUCAUCAAUAACUCCCACUGGCAAUUCUUCCCAAACAGUCGUAUCCAAUUUAUCAACCUCAAUGGGAAUGUCUUUCGCUUCUGAUUUGUCUUCGGGUUCCACAGCCAUUUUGUCAGUCUCGGAUAUAUCACUUGUAGAGUUCAAUGUAUCAGCUGUAACGACUUGAAAAAGAGAUUCUGCUCCCUCAUUUGGUACAGGAUCAACUGGUGACUGAGAUACAUUUCCAUCAUCACAAUUGCCUUCAGAUGAAUCUCCUGGUAUGACAACUUUUUCUUCUUCCUCCUUAUGCAAAUGUUCUUCAUUCUGCAUGUUCGUUGGAGUCACUUCAACAUCUUUCUGAAUAUCCUGCAUCUGCUGCUGAAGUUUGUUAGCCAUUAAAGAAUCAAGCCUUUCUUGCAAGAUUGUGAGCUCUCUAGCCAAGGAUUUUCUGAUCUCCCUAAAACUUGGAUGCAAACCCUGAUAUAUAUGUUGAACAAUAUGUAAGCAUAACAUUGAACAAGGAAAUAAAACUGCGUUAAUAUGAAAAUUGAUUAAUAGCUCUGACAAACCACAACCAACACUCAUAUGUGCAAAACAAAAUAUCUUUGUUCACAUGCACAGUGCUUAAAAUAGGUAAUUAGGCAUGCGAAAUUUAUUACCAUAUUCUUAAAUGAAGAAAUCUCGAAACUAUAUAGAAUUAAGGGCUUGAUAUCCCAACCAAGAUUAGCUAAACCAAAACUAUAUUACUGGUGCCAUGAAAUUUCAAGUACCAUGUAAUGCUUACUGUCAAAAAUCAAAGAAUAUCAAAUAUUCUUUAGUGAUUCUUCUUAAGCAAAAUGGGGUUAUCCGAGAUGUACCUGUAUAGUAUCCAACUUCAGCAGGAGUCUCAUUAUGUUCUCUCCAAUUGCAAUUUUUUGCUUGUCAUCAUUUUGAAGACCAGAAGAUCUCUCAAAAGCUUGAACACGAUCUUGAACAUUGGUCACCUCCUUUCUGACUUCAUCUAUUUGCUUCAGUUUCGUCAAUGGUUCCCAUUUUCUAACUUGAUAACCGCGGUAUGCAGCUUGUAUCAAAACAGCAGCAUCUUCAUCUGACAAGAUUCUUCCCUCUUUACUACCAACAUCAGUUGGUGUGCUUGAGUCUUUCACUUCCCUUAAUUGAGUAGUAUCCACCGUAUUUUCUGCUCCUUUCUCUGCCUUUCUAUUUUCACUCUUGCAUUCAUCACCAUCUGUGCUGGCAUCGCUUGUCUCUUUUGGACCUUCACCGGGCAUGUUUACAUUUAUCUGGUUCUGACAUCCAUAUCUCCAGUCAACACCCUUGUUUUCAUUCGUUUGAUAUUCAGAUGCCUGAAUGGUUUUCUCCUUUGGUUCAACUUUCUCAGUGGUCUUAGGAGCUUUCUGAUGACUCAAAUUUGGCUGAUUCUUNNNNNNNNNNNNNNNNNNNNNNNNNNNNNNNNNNNNNNNNNNNNNNNNNNNNNNNNNNNNNNNNNNNNNNNNNNNNNNNNNNNAUCGACCUCGAACUCCCACUGCCAUUUCUCUUCCUUGGUAUUGGAUCAACUCUCAGACAAACAGGAGGUAACUUGGAUGCUUUUGGUGAAGAUGCAGAUUGUCUCUUCUUAUCAUCAGUACGGGAGUCCUUUUUUGUCACACUCUCUUCCUUUUGAUCUAGAGAAACAUUUUUUCCUAUCUGCUUCACAGGUAUGCUUCUGGCUUUAGUCACUUUCUCUGCAACAUCAGAAGCAUUUGUAUCAGAGUGUGCAACUUCAUUUGAUCUGGUUCCGUUCCUACCACCUUCAUCAACAUUAGACUUUACUGGAACAGAUUUGGUUGCACGAGGCACCUCCUCAAUGAUUUUUGUUGAAGAAGUGUUCUUCUCCUGGUUGUUGGUAUCUCCACUCUCCAGCUUAUUGUAAUAAGGCAACCAGAAGACAGGAAACGGGAAUUCUGACCUCUUCUGUUCGCUUUGACGUUUCUGGUCCAUUUCUCCAUCUUCAGAUUCCCCUCCAUUGUUGCCAGACUCCUGUUUCUGGUUUCUUAUUCCAUCAUGUCCAUCAUGAAUCAUGCUUGGGGCACCCUUUAUAUCAAAGGGUAACCAUCCAUUCCAUACUCUAGGCUCUUGUGCUGGCUGUGCAACAGCAUUAGAACUCUCAACACUAGGAGGCUUGUUUUGUUCACAGACCUCCAUCGUAUUAGGAUUUUUCAGCUGUUUGUUACUUGUGUACUCCUGUGGAAUCAAAACAAAGGGAUAUGGAUAGUUAUUGAGCUGAAUAGGAACCAAAGAAUCAUUGACUUUCCUUCCAACAUCAGGUUCAUGCUCUUCAAUCUUCACACUUCUACCUUCCUUUGAGUUGCAUGAAUGAUUAGGACAACCACAACAAUGAUGAUCACGGGGCAUAUAUUUGUCAUACUCAUAUCUGGGAAGCUCCAUAGUAUGAUGUGGUUGUGGAGAAAAAGGAACAAAAUACGGUUCACUAUAUGCAGGACAACCUCCAGAAUAGUACAUUGGAGAAGGAGCGUGAGGAUAUGAAGGCAUGUAGCUAUAAUUACAAGGGAAGUUGUUGUGGCCACAGCAGAAAUGUGGGGGAAUAGGGUGCCCAUAAUUGCCUGCACAGGGCCAACGUUGGUCAUAAGAAAGGUGUGGUUUGGAUGGAUCAACCUUCAUUUGAGGAGGAAAAGCCUCAAUGCCAGGAUGAUAAUACUGAGGGAAUGGCAUUUGGUUUCUCUGGUAUGGGUAUGAGUCCAUACUUCUGAUUGGCAUCAUGUUUCGUGAAGCUACCAGGCAGAAGAGAGAUUUUUAUGGGGUAAGUGUCUGACCUUGGUAACUCUAUAGCGCAA